ACUAGCAGAAUCAAACUCACACCGAGCAGACUGAUGCGGUGCCUACUAUUCCCUUACUUGCCCACCGAUUCCCUGAGUAUUCAUUAAGUGGGGCUAUUUGCGGUAAGCUAAUCUAUGGUAUGUACUAGAUUCAGAAUCAAACUCAGUAGACUCAGACUGUGCCCCAGCAGUGAAAGAAUCAAACUCACUAGCUACAUUAUUGAACCGGGGAGUCCAAGAAUAAGAAAGGUAUCGGUGAGCUAGGCAGCCAGUAGUGAGUAACAGAACGGAGCUGACGAAACUCAGAAUGAACCGGGUACCAACCAGAAUGAAUAUAGUUGUCGACUUGUCCGUUAGUUGUGAUGUGACUUGGCCCUUUUAAAGAUGCUUGCUAUGCGAGUGAUAGUCUUCAGCCCUCUAUUAAGUCGGGGGAGAGUUGCUAUAGUUGAAUGAGUUGUCGAUGUAGUCCUGUUUUCGGGAGAUAGAGAAGAUACUUUGCCCGGAAAGGAGGGUAGUAAGGCUGGCUGUUGCAAGACUAGAGGUCGGGUCGGGCACUUAUGAGAGGCCCUUAUUGUAAGUUGUUCCUAUUGCCUAUCAAACAUGCCCAUAAAACACAUGCCCGAGCCUUGUUUCUAUUGAUAGGAAAACAGAAGGAGGGGCUUGCCGCGUAACUUACAUAGUUCCUUGGCCGGUAUUCCACUUGGGAUGAAGACUAGAUAACUCGCGAACAGGGGCAGGCUUGAAGCACCUUACUUUCUUGCUUGUUCGGAUGGGACCUUACUUUCUUGCUUGUUAGGAUGGGUAUGAUAGUCGCCUGCUGCUUGGCAGUUGUUAUUCUGACAGUUUCGUUUGAUGCCUUGGCCCUUAGUGCCUUGGCUAGUUGUCUGCUCGUCUCUUCCUUUCGGGAUUCUAUUUCCAUUAACAUCUACUAUCCCAAUAAGAAGAAAAGAGAGUACUGGCUAGGUAGAAUCAACAGAAGAUUUGUGGUUGCUUGCCCUUACUUAUUAAGUCGGAAGAAACAGACUCAUUAGCCAGAGGGUUAUCGGUUAGUAUUGACUGGCAAGCUCGGUCCUCUUAGCAAGACUCAGUGUUAACGUGAGCAGCUUGAUUUCAUUCUUCUUCACUUGUGAAGGGCUUGAUUUCAUUCUUCUUCACUUGAAGGGAUAGUUCGGGUCGGGUGUGUGGGUGCGGUUGAGAGGAUUCCUCCCUUACUUGGACUUGGCACAUAAUAAAGAAGAAUUAGUAUACUGAAUAGAAUCAGUAAUAGGGCCAUAAUAAAUAAUUGCCAGCGGAUUCUAUGAAUAAGUAUAUGCAUAGUUAUAAGGCCAUAAUACAUAGGCUAGUGAGGAAGCAAUGCCAAAGUAAGCAGCAAUAGAAAGGAAGCACUCAGCAAUAGAGAGGAAGUAAGCAGCAAUACGUUCUUCAGGACCAAAAGCGGGAGAAGAAGCAUCAGAGGGUUGUCUUAGAACGGUUCGAGACCAUGCUUUGAGUAGAGUUUAUAGGAUGGAGCUAGAGCUAGGGAUGAUAGAAACAAGUAAAUAGCUUUGCUUUCCUGGUACAGUAUCUUUAGGUUCCGAGUGUGAUCCAUUAGUUAGGAAAACCGCCAAGUUACUACUAAACAAGCAACUGUGUCAAAAGAGUCUUUAAGGUCAGAGGGGCAGUGAAUAAGUCUGUAGCGGAAUUGCCAGUGACUCGGGUAGGCAGGUUUACUUAUUCAUUUAGUUGAGAUGCUCUAGUCCAUAGGAGAGAGAAAAGAUCUUCGUUCACCAAAUCACCAAAACCAGAGGUGGAGGAGCAAUCCAAUACCUAGUUCUUAAAGAAGCAAGUCAGCGCGGAAGGCAGAAUACCCCUUUUGCUAAGUAGAAGACCGGUAGUAGCAGAGUGGAAGACCUGCUCGUUAAGUCUCGUGUUGUUGGCAAAGGAAGGGGAAUCCUCCAGAAUUAUUGUUCCCCGCCUAGGUAUAUCAGUGGAAAUGCAAUUCUUGACUAUACUUCUACUAGAUGCAGAGUAGAAGCCCGUUAGUAGUAGCGAGGGUUGUUGCUCUAGCUCACUCCGGGCAAAGAACCAAAGAACAGGAACAGGAAGGUCAAAACCGGAAUACUUAAUGAAAUGAAACUACUACCGCAGGCCAAGAAAAGAAAGUGAGUUGUUGCUUUCAAAAGAAAAGAGCUAGAUUCUCUUCGGCUUCGGCUGUAUAAGAUGAACCAAGUAAAGCUUCCGAUGAAACUAAUUCCCUUAGAGCAAAAAGAAAGAAGGAAUAUAUGAUUUUGGACCUUAACUUGACUAUCUGAUUGCCCUCACUCUACUUGAAACAGUUUAUUCUCUUUGUAACAUUCCUCGACAAUCACCUCUUUCCACUCAUUCACUAAGCGCUACAUAAGGAAUUGAUUCUUUUACUUGGGCGUACGUAGUUGCUUGACGGGUCGGACUACUCUAUUACUAUACUUUGAGGGGCUGUAAACCAUGGCUAUCUGAGUUUCUCAAUUCCUAAACUGGAACUAACUAUUCUUUAGUUCGCUACCGGGUAACUCCAUUCUUAAAGGAAGCAUCACUAGGUUCAGAGUCAAGAACAGGCGAGGUCUAAUUGAACUAAUUUACUUACCACACCUGGGUUUAGUGAUAGGGAAGGCUCUGGAAAAACACUUAUUGAACCGCGCAGAGUAUAGAUAUAGAUUAGAUUACUUCUUUUUAUGAUGACACUCAGUAUUCAACACGAGCACACCCGAACUUGGACAACACCGGCACAGCGGAUUCUCUCUACCCCUCAGCCUCACCUUUUGUUUGUCUCUGCCUCUGCCUUAGCUUCACCUUUAUUUCAUGCUUGGACUAGACCCGAACACAGGACUCAAAAGAAGGAGUGCAAGAAUGAAAACAAUAACUAUCAGGCUUGGACUCCCCGGUUGCAUUCUAUCACUUAGCAGCUCCAUUCUAAACACCCUAGCCUGGCAUCCAAUACUAGCUACCACUGAUUUGAGUCUUAGUACCACUGUUUGAAGUCUGCUCCCACGGGGGCCAACUUCCAUUCUGAUAGGUGUGAGUUUGAUUCUUAGUAAUAGUAGCGGGAGUCUUGCUAGCACUGGUUGAAGGUUGUCCAGCACCGGUUUGAUUCUUUGACUCCUUAGCAGCAGCCUGAGUAUACCCAGCAUCAAGCUUGGAGUUAGUGCUUUCAGGCUUACUGGGGCACUGUUGGAUUCUGAUCGGAUCUAGCUGAAGUCUGUUACUCCUUAGCUCCAUUCUUAGGUUAACCAGCUCCCGAACACAGGAUUAGAUGCACCGGUUGCAGGCUUGGAUGCACCGGCCUCAGUCUUAGCUGCAGUGUUUCAAGCCUGUUUCUCGCUGGGGUAAGUCUGAGAUGCACUAGUUUCGUUCUGCUUGUUAGUGGUUUGGGUCUUUAACUACUGGGGCUCAGUCUCGUUGGCACUGGGUUAAGGCUUAGAGUUAGUUGUUUAAGUCUGCCUAGCUCACCUCUGACACCAGAACAUAUGAGUAGUUAUCAGAGAAGAAGACCGGAUGGCUAGCUACACUCUUAAUCUGUUACUCACUAGUUCGAUUCUUUUACUUAUUGGUUGUAUUCCUUUUCUCAUUGGUUUGCUCCACUCUAGUAGUAGUGCAUUCUUGUUAACGGUAGGCUUUCAGCACCUUAUCAUAAGAACAAGUAGUAGAGGCACCAUCCCAAGUCUUAUUAACGGGUAGUUAAGCCAAUAUUUCUAGUUUCGCCUUCCUGUAGGAGUUUGCUUGCCCAUGGGUUAUUCUUUUUAUCGGUUGCUAGGAUACUGGUCUCCACUACAAGACCUAUAAGAACGGCUAUAUAGGCCCAAUAGUUUAAAUACAGAAUUCAGUGAAAGGUUAUAAGAAAGAAAAGUCUUAGUAUAAGUUGAAGAACGAAAGUGAGGGAUAUCAGCUUUGAAGCAAGGGGACAAAGGCGUAGUAAGUAAAGCAAGGUUCGGGGGCUGUAGUGACAGGCUAGGUUCCGAGCUAAGGAAUUAGAAGCUGCAUUGCAUUGGUGAAAGUCUGAGAAGCACUAUUUGCACUCAAAGUUUCUUAUUCAAUUGUGAAAAGGUGGGCUAGAUCUUACCCGAAGUUAUAUAGAAUGCUAUAAGGUAUAGUCAGAAUGAGGUAUAGGAUAGUCAGAAUGAGAUACUUCCAGGCGAGAGCGUAUAGUAGUACUCGGUUGCCAAAGCAAAGGUAUUAGGGGUUUUUUCAUGAUCUUAAGCUGUAGAAAGUAUAGUAAGUCAGUUUCAAGUGCAAAAUCUAUUAGUAACGUUAGAGUGCAUUUGCUACUUAUAUCCUUAUUGGUAAAGGAAGAGACAAGUACUACCUUAUCUGCUAACAAGUCUAUAUAGUAAGGAACAGGGAAUGGUACUACGGACUUCAAAGAAGAAACAAGAGAAAUAGAACCAAACUAUUUACAAUGAACCUGCCUUGCCUUUGACUUUAAUGCAGAGUUGAACUAACAACAAGGUGCUUCAAGCCUACCAAGAAAAAGAAUCCAAAUGAAAACUAUAGUAUAGGCCUCUGUCCCACUGGGGACCUACAUCGGACUACCUUAAACCUUAUAGAAAGUAUUUAUCUACAGCCUAUGAGGCUCCUGCUCCCUUCCUGAACUUUCAAUACCCUGCCUUUCCGUCUUUGUUUCACCAGUGAGCCCUUCCACUACUAGCUUUUAGCCUUACUUGUGUUUGCCUCAACCUGAUUAUCCUGGCUAUCGUCCUUACUACCGUGAGUUUCAGUAUGCCUUUACUUCCUUAUAGGCUUACUUGCCCUCUCAGCAAGCUACCUAGAACUUACAUUAUUAAUAACCUGUCGAUCAGCCCCCAAGACCUAAAACACAGGCAAGUAACAACUAGACAAGCAACGGGACAAGCAAGCGGUAGCGAGUUCAAAGCAAAAGUGAGUUCCUCGUUGCGCGGCAGGAACCCCGGUAUUAUCUGCAGUGAAGCGAGUCUUAUCUCUUAGUUUCAGUUUGAUUAGUAUUAGUUCAAUCCCUGUUCAAUGGAGAAGUGGACUAGGUUUGCGCCGGGCAGUACCAUACUACUAACGUUCAAUGCAAACUACUUAAUUGAAUAAAGAAAAGAGAGAAUGUCAAAUAAUAAUAAUAAGAAUGAUGUUUACUGAACACCAGAACAAGAGCUCUUUGAUAGAGAAAAUAAACUACCUUUUUGAGACCAUGUUUCGCUAAUCAAAUACUCUCCCAUCCUUUAUAGGAAAACGAACUACUUAAUGGAAUCUAAUAAGAAAGUAGAUAAGUCAGAAUACCGGCUAGGGUGCAAAGAACGAUAUAAAGGAAAUCCAAAAUACAGCAAUUAGUAGAAGGCUAACAAGUGAACAUAGGAAUUCUUAUCGUGUGAGGGGCGGGCCUAAAUCUAAACAUAGGCAUUAAGGACAUAAGCUUAUAGAGUAGAAAGUAAGCCCCAGAGGCUGUAAAGACAGAAUUAGAUAAAGAAGAGUUAGCUUAGGUGGGGCAGUGAGCAAGGGCCAAGCAACGGCGCGCCAAGGAACGGAUAGACAAGUGUAACUGUUGGAGGAGAGGUAGUCCUGUUUGUUACUUCAAUGAGUUAACCCCGACCCUACUUCUUUUGGAACUAGCCCGCUUGCAGCUUACUUGAGAACUUAUCCUUCUCUUGCUGAACCCUGUCCCUUAUCUUAAUCCAAUUAUGUUCCUACUUCUUCUGUUGAUGCAGUAUGUUCGGCUAUAGCUCCUUAUCCCUACUUAGUCUGCCCGGUCUUCUUCAACUUGUUGGGGUGCUACUAAGGCUGGUGCUAGGGAUGCUAAGCCUAAUACAGUGUACAAUCAGAAUCAACCUAGUUGUCGACUUGGCCCCUACUAAAGUCAAGAGCAUUCCCAUCUAAAUUCUAUAUUCUCUUUCAAAAGGAUAAAAGACGGAUUCCAGUCAAACACCCGAAGGUACAAUAAAAACAUCAGUGCCUUCUCCUUCCCUAGCAACAGCCCUGAACCCAGCUUCCGAACCAACCCUCGCUACCCUGACUUUCUACUUAAUAUCGCUACGUGGGUUUGUUCACUUGAAAAGACGAGGAAUACCUAGACCUAGCUGAAUCGAGAUGUCAAUAAGAGUUCUUAAAGUGUAGAGAACAGACAACUGCAGGAAACUACUUUUAACUACGAGCUACUGUAGCAAGCCAAGCAUUAAGGUCCAGGUAGUAAACCCAACAAGUAACACCGCAACUACUUCAGAAUAGAAUUGAAAAGAAGCAGUUUCCAAAUCUGACUUUGUUUCAAGAGCAAGAUAGGAGCAAUAAGUAGAUGAGAUGAGCCUGAGUUAACCUUUCUUUUUGAGUCCUAAUUUUUCCUCUUGCUACUAUUGUCUAGUAUACGCUUGGCCGGGUUUAGUUCAUAGUUCUCUUCUUUCUAAUAUAUAGUUAGUUAAUAGGGUUCUUUCAAUAAAGAGUCAAGGGUUCUUUCGUGGGUAAGGCUUCUAGAUACUUUUCUCAGACCCAUUGCGGAUACCUCCUAGUGGCUCUAUUUCAUUCAGAGCUAGCAAUUGGCUGCCGUAUAUAGUCCUGUCUGUACCGUAGCGCUUCGGAAGUGACUCUGGUGUCGUAGUGGAAAGUGUAUCCCUUGAAGAAAGAAAAGUUUUUAGUAAGAAAGAGAAGUCUUUUUAAUCAGCCCAUCCCGAUACGGCAAAAGAAUGUGGAUUCAGAUCCAGAAUGGAUUUAUAAGAGUCUCCCACUUACAACAGGUACAGGCAAUGGGAAGGACGUACCUUGAGUGGUGGCGCUUUCAUUCUGUCCUCUUGUGAUUUUUCUCUUUUGAUUCAAGGGGACACCACGUUUUUGAACAAUUUCGAGUAAGAGGCACCCUAAUAAUCUAGUAUAGGCAAUGGGCAGAAAGAAGUCGCCUUUCCUUAAACGUAGGAAGGGAAGAAAGAUAGCCUUUUCUUUUCCUUAAGCGUAGGAAGGGAAGAAAGAUAGCCUUUUCCUUAAGCGAUUCCAUCCAAGCUGCUUAUAAAGCCAGCGCCUAUUCUACCUACAGACAGGCCAAGCCAAUUCAUAUAAACCGAUUCUCUCUCUUCUCUUCUGUCUAUGGCACAGGCUCGAUAAGCUGCUGUAACAGAACUCGCCGAUCUUUGAUAGGAAGAUAUAAUAUUAUGGGAUAGAUCAACAGGGGAUUCUUUUCCACCAAUUCAUUUUAUCGGAAGAUAAGCUCAACUCCUAUGAGAAAGAAACACUGUCUCCGCUCCGAAGGUCUAAAAAGGGCAGCUGCUAGGACAAAAAGGUGAUAAGAUGGAUACAUAAGAUGAGUACAGGUUCUGAGGAAAAGGUUAGCUUCCAACCAUUCCUUGACUCACGUAUGCCUCGCCCGGAACUUGAAGGCUAUGCCAUCCCCUAUGGGCACCUAAGGAAAGAAUCAAAAAGAAACUAGUAUAUUUAGGUGCCUCUUGCAAUAAUAUAAUAGAUAGAGGUCGUGGGUGCAGUAAAUCAUUUAUGAAUGUGCAUCAUCUUACCAAAGCCUAGAUUCAAUAGCUCACUCCUUAUGCUACUGAUUCUCUUCCCAAAGACAGACCUGACAGACCAGAUGAAAUAGAAGACUCCUUCUCUUGCAUUGGAGUUUUGCUUAUGUGGAAUCUGAGAUCAAAAUAAGCAGGAAUCAUGGCAUUCCUUCCAUAGAGAUUUUCCUAGGCCUGAUUGCUAUUGUGGGGCUUUCCUUCCUGCGUAGUGGUCAAUAGUACCUGAGCAUCCGCAGACACUUUCAAGAGAGAGAGAGAAAGAGAGAGAGAAUAUAGGCACCGGAACCCUAUUAUGAAAGAAUCGACAAACUAUACUCUUAGGAAAUAACUUAGGGAAAGGCAAUGCGAAGUCAAUCAAUAACAUAAGGUGCAGUGCGGAAAUGCGAAGUCAAUCAAUAACAUAAGGUGCAGUGCGGAAAUGCGAUGUCAAUCAAUAACAUAGGGAAAGGUAAUGCGAAGUCAAUCAAUAACAUAAGAAAAGGAAAUGUAAAUAAGAAAUCCAACUACUAGAGCGCUUAAGUCACCACACAUUCAUAGCGGUUAUGUCACCACACAUUCAUUCCAUAAGCAUAGUCACAAAACUGCUGACUCUAUUCAACAAGAGCAUAGUAACCAAACAGCUUACAUCUGAAUGCUUACUUUUUCCUUUAAUCACUUGUAUUCGUAUCGGCAGCGUAACCCUAUAAUGACUCACAGGACAGAGUCACCGUGUCAUAAAAGUGUCUACUUGUUACUGCAGCUUGUUCCUAUUCUAUCCCGCAACUUGUUCCUAUUCUCUCCAGUAGUAUAGUUCGGUUACUCUCUUAACUACCGAAUAUCAUGAUUAUUGAAUACUAUGGGUUGGGUGCCACCAUAAUAUAGAGUGGAUUAAGGUACCGCUACAAGGAUUACAAUUCAAUCUAAUAGAAGAGAGGCGCCUAUGAUAUAAUGGAAUAGAAGUGUGGAAAUAGAUGGAUUUUUAGAUAAGUAAUAGAGAUCUAGAUUGAUUUGGAUAUAUAGUAAUAGAGAUCUAGAUUGAUUUGGAUAUAUGGAGAUGUUGUAACCUAACUGAUUACUUCACCCACCAAGCUUAGUAUAAUGGCCAAACAACGAAAAGAUGAGAAUCCUUUAUUUCCGCUUCUAAGCUAACUUUCUUCUUUAUCUAAGCUAACUUUCUUCUUUAUAAAAGGAAUUGAUCCGGAUCCUGACUCGGAAUUAGCAUACCCGACAACACAAUCAUAAGCAGUUAAGUAUAUCAGAAAAGAUUCUCAAUCUCAAUCCGAAAGAGGUGAUUGACCUUACCUUGUAGUUAAGGGUAGUGCUUUGCUUUACCUUUGCGUGCUUUACUUGACCUUAGUUGUAAGAGCUAGAGACUUAAGGAGACUUUCACUUUGACUUCGAGCUCACUCAGGUCUCUGGGAGUUCGAAUAGCCCACUACGCCGGUAACAACACAGCUGACUCCUGACUUUAGGAACUACGCUAGGCAUCCCCAACAACAACUUGCAACGCUACAAGCAGUGACUGUUGAGGUGAUACUAUCAAUGUAGGAGGGAAGCAAGGAUGCCAGGGGCAGAGCUCGUAGUUGAUUUCCUUGAGUUUAUUUCCUAUAGUAGUAGCGGGAUUCUGAUCAUAAGUAUAAGCUCUAUAAGCGCUAGUUCAAGUCACUAUCUGGAGGUGGAUUCUGAUUAGUACCGGUUGUUGUCUUAUCAGUAGUAGCAAAAGUCUUAGUUCCGAGCUUGGUUCUUUUUAGUAGGUAGAGGAAUCGAAGCCAUCAAUACAUAAUGAAGUAAGGUCAAGCUCAUAGGCAAUAAAUAAAGUCAGGGCAGCGUCAGCAGCGAUGGCUAAGGGAGUGGACUCUAAAGGCCAGGCUUUGGCUGCUGGUUUCUUUCUUUUGUUGAUGAACUCAAUUCUGAUCUAGGAAUGUCCUGCAGCUCAUUCUUUUGCUUACCUAACUGACUCCUUUACUUAUUUCUCUAUUCUGCUGACUACGAGGUUGCUUUUUCUUACCCUGACUUGAUGCAAUGGAUCGAUCAUACCCUAUAGGCUAUAUAGGCUAUUGACUCAAACUUGACAUAUCCACUCGAUUGACUCAACCUUAGAUUCAGAUUGCUCAUAUAGAAACUACACAUGGAAACUACAUAUCGACUCUCUACAUCUAAAAAGUGAGCUUCGAGGCUGACUAUCACAACAAAAUGAGAACGCUGUAUGUUGACUAGGCGGAAUGGUGUUUGCUAAGAAGAAUGAGGUUGACCUAAGAGAAUGCAAGGUGGGGCAACAAGGCUGGUCGGGCUAAUGAGUAAGGCGUGAACAGCUUUUAGUAAGGCUUCAUUCUGAUGCUUCGUGUCUACAUUCUGAUUCCUGCUAGUGGAUGCGCUGGCAAUGUAGUAUUAGGGCCUUUCUUUUGUUUCACUAGUUUGAUCCUUGCUGUUAGUCAUGUCAAUUCUGUAUUCUUGUAUUGAUUAUAUUGGUCCUGAUAGUUAGUAGGCUCUUAGCACCUAUCCCCUGUUUCCUCUUUGGUUAAAGGGUCCCAUUCUUCCAGUAGCGGAGUCAGUCUCAUCAGGUAGUAGUCGAUUUCUUGGUUCCGAGCUACUUUCUUAUUAAUGGAAUUCCCGUGUUCAAGUUGGUUUCUUAUCGUUAUUGAGUCAAGUCCUGUUGCCAUCGGCUCCAAUCUUUGUUGUAGCAAGCAAAAAGGAUGAGAAGCGCUAGAUAUAGGUUAAAAGAAUGCUAAUAGAGGAAUACGUAGCUAAAUAAAUGAUCAUAAUACUCAAUUCCACUCAGUAGUAUGGGCAAACACUAGAUAUGGGAUUUGGAUCAGUAGCUUCAGUUGAAAAGCAAGGUCAGCGUCAGCUGCUGGCAGCGAUGGCUGAGUUACAGAGGAGCUCAGAAGCUAUCAGUGAAUUAUCUUACAAGCGGGCACCGGUUCGUUCUCAUAUGCUAUGCCAACACUUUCUUCUUGAUUAUUGAAGACAUAAGCAGCAAUAACCGAUACAAAAACGGUGAUUCAUUUGGAGUCUUCUAAACAACAGCGAAGACAACUGUCGAAGAAAACAGGCGUAAAGAACUACCUUACAAUACAGGGUUCCCCUACCGCCCAAACACACUUCUUUAUUGAAGCAUUUCGAUCGUUAGCUCUUCAACCGAGGGAUACUAUAGAACUAAGUCUUUAUCUAACCCAUUAGCCUACCGCUACUGCCAGUUAGUCUGACUUUUCGUUUGGUUAACUCUGCUUUUCCUCUACUUGCUUUCAUUGUUGUGUCCCCUUCUCGGCCUUCCGCUUCUUGCUUCAAUUAUGGAAACUCAGGCCAGGAAUCCUCACUACCCCCAAAAUCGAUAAGUCUGACUUUGCUGCUUAUGAGUCUGCCUCUCCAUCCAGUAUGUACUUCUUUACUCGCGCCCCGGGUUCUCUGAUUGGUGUUAGCAUUCUGAGACCGUGCCCCGACCUACUAUAUUGAUGGAACGAAGCUACCCCAAUAGACUACACAUUCUGCACCAAUAGCAUCAUAGGGAGCACAACGAGCUUGACAAAGAAUGCUCACAAUAGGGAUGAGACUGAAUGCACCUAGGCCCCCUUACGCCGCAAACAGUUCUCAAGGGAAAAACCAAGAGCUGUUUUGUGCUCCAAAAAGGCUACCUCUCUAUACGAAAACUCAACCUAUUCCUAAUAGAAGAUAAUAGAGAAGCAAAACAUAUAUUCUACGCUUGGUCGUAAGUAGCGACUUGUAUGCUUGUUGCGUAUGACAUGUUCCUUUCGCUAGGACUACUGAUCCGGAUCUCUGCUUCAAAACACCUAUCUAUUGGGGUCAAAUCUGAUUCCUCUCCUAAAAAACACUGCCGCUACUUACCUUUGCUCUUCAACUAACUACUAUGAUACUUUAGCUGCUGAUCCCCAAGCUGCCUUUCUCCUCUUUCACUCUUACUGAGACAGGAAUAUCAGAAAGAGAGACAGGGAAGCGAGACUCAACAUAAGGAGAAGAGUAUACUCAAUCUAACAUACGAAUCAGUACAGUAACUACAGGCCCAAGCAAAGAGAUACAGACUAAUAUGGUGGUAGUAUUAGGCUAAGUUCGGGGGGGAAAUGCUAGGAUCUUCAGCUGUAGCGAGAGACUAAAGGCAAGACAGGGUUGGUGCCCCAAGGAAGCAGGGCGAGAAGCCAGGGUAUUGAUAAUUAGAUAAGGCAGUAGAAGUGUGAGAGCGAGCAGGGACAUACUGAACCUAUCAAUACAUAAUGAAGUGAAGCGGUGUCAGUUUGAAAGCGAGGGCAGCAAAGCAGCUGGCAAUAGCUUACAUAAUAGAAGUCAUAAGUCAGUAGCCUAAGAGUAGACAAGUAACUACCAGCAUGAAACCAAAGGGGUGUAUAGGCUUAAGGAGAGGUUAGUCGGAAUGGGAGAAAGUAGUAACUGGCCCAUAGUUGGUGUAGUCGAAGGAUCACAAGAGAAAUCCGGAUUUGAGUUCAGUAGCGGUCGACAACAUCGAACCCUGUUAGUAGUAGCUCUAUUCCGUUUUAGAGGUAGUAGUGACAUGCUAACAAUCAAACAUAGGCCAUAGUUCCAGUAUGCAAGUACUGGCAGUCAGCCUUGGGAUCAAUAGCUACAGAACCAGGCCUUCUUCUGAAGGUGCCCCAUAUAAGGAAAGACCAAAAGGAGAGACAAUGGAAUGGGGAAAAGUGCGAAUAAGCUGUUUUCAAAGAUGCUGUCAGUCACACGGCAAGAUGGUUUCGUUCUUCAGAGCAGAGACUGGACCGGGAAUCCCUUCUAUGAGAAUUAGUUCUUCACAAGUUGAUAAAGGGUCGUGAGAUUCAGUUAUCAUGAUCCUCUAGUUUGUAUAUAAUAUUCUAUUCCACUUUCUGGGAACUCUCUUUCUUAUCGAUAGGCUGGAAAAGUGAAUUGAUAAAAGCCAGCGAAAGAGACAUGAGACAAUGGGCGCGCUUACGAAUGCCAAAGCGAAACCAUAAAUAAAGAAAGGCGUCUGUAUACGAUUGACUCUGAGUCGCCUGACAAUAUGAGAAACAGAAGCUGAUGAUAUUCGGUGUUCUUAUGAAAUAAAGGCUUUCGAAUUCCGUUCCGGAAAAAGAAAGAAAGUGCUCUUGAGCUGUAGCACUCAGGAUCAGAGUUCGCCGAUUGGUCAUGACAACAAAAUGCCAAUUCUUUCUGCAGUUCCAAAUAAAGAGAAGGUGGAAAGCAUGAAUCCUGCCGGGCUACUCAAAAAAGAAAAGAGAAAGAAGCUGUGCCAGUUGCACUAAGUAAGAGAGCUAGGGAUUGUGGAUGAAGGUAAGUGUCUUCUUGGCAGACCGAAUUCGAGAGCCCGCUUGGUGAUGCUAAGACCAAAGAGAAUUCCUAGCUUUGCUUUCCUUCUAGGACUCCGGAACAGAGAAGGGAGACUUCAAAGGGGUAAGUAGGACGAAUUCUCAACGGGGAGCCAGUUGCUAAUUUAGGUCUCUGACACCCCUAUAGACUAGAAUAAUGGAUUUUAUUACAUUUGAAAUCCUGAAUGACGAUUCUCCAUUCUCUGGGAUGAGAGUAAGGAGUAUGUAUUCAAGGGAUGGAUAAUAAAUAGCCCCACUUGACCAAAGGAAGCGAUAGCGCCGCUCUCAAAUAAGCAAAAAAGAAGGAAGUGGAAUAGACAUAACAUUGAAUCAUGCCUGUUUUCCAGAGCGGAGACGUGCAGUCAAUCUCCAUCGAUUCCAAAUAGAAAUAAAUGAUGCUGACGAACUAUUCAAGUUGGCUUUAGUUCAUUCUAUUGUAUUGCUUCAGUGGGAACUGCGGAUUCCCCUCAUUGUUACGUUCUUUGACGAGACGCGUGACCAACUCGAUGAGGAACUAACUCCCGCUCAGACGCUAGGACUAGGGAUAGCAAAAUGCUAUAUUUCCUGAGUGGGACUCUAUCAGGCUCGACUCUUGUUCUAUUUCUCUUUCUUUGAGAGAGCGCAACGAGAACCAAGUCUGGCUACAUACAUGGGAACAGGUAAAGGCUAUUUUGUUGGAUUUCUAUUUGAUUCCUUUAAGUCUUUCAGUAUCUAUUCUGAGUUAAGUAUUUCUGUCUCUAUUCUUAUCCGGGAAUCCUAGCAAGAGUCAGUUUCUAGUAAACCAAGGUAAGUGAUUGGCAAGAGUCAGUUUCUAGUAAACCAAGGUAAGUGAUUGGGACAUUUUGUCCGCAAAGAAAAGAAGGAAAGGCGUAUAAUUACGACGGAGAAAUUCCUCGUAAUUACGGAAAUGGUGACUCCGAUAACGGACGAUUGGCCCGGUGCUUUCUAGAACUUUAGCACACUAAAUAUUCAUUCAUCAUUUAGCCAAAGAUGCACGCACAUCCUUCAGAGUCAUUGCUUAAGAAGGCGCUAAAAACACAGAAUGAAAUGAAGUCAAUCGAGAAUCAAAUAACAAGUAAAUACGGAGUGAAAACAAAGGAAAGUAGUAAGCUCGAGAUCAAGGAAGGACGCAAGGCUAAAGUGUGCCCAGAGAGACUUAAAGCGCUGUUUGUUGUCGAUAGGGCCGCUCCAUAAAAGGUGUUUUGUACUAGUUGUUCCCGAGUCCUGUGUCCGUGUUUUGUACUAGUUGUUCCCGAGUCCUGUGUAUGACUGUUACGCGGUUUCGAGAGUUGUGAUCAAACAAAUCUUUCUUGUAGGUAAAUAAAUAGUGAAAUAGCGGGUGAUCAAACAAAUCUUCCUAGUAGGGAAUCUUCCUAGUAGGGAAUGAUAGAAUGCGAGCAAAAGUCGAGUCACUCUGUUGGUUACGCGCCAUUGUUUGUUUGAAUGAAAGUGUUAGUUGCUGGGCUAACAUAAAGGCAUUGAAUGGGAAAUGCAAGAGCGGGUGGGCGAGCAAAGAAAGAGAGAAUUAGGAGUCAAAGCAAUUAGCUAUAGAAUUCAAGUAAGGGUAGCAAGCCUCGUUAGCACUACUUGGAUUCCUUAUAGUUAGUAGUCGGAUUCUUAUGUAGUGUUUUCGCAGUCCUGUUCGUCAGCUCGGGUUCGAUCCUUGUUAUCCCAAGUUAUACUCUUUGUAUUGGUAGUUAAAGCCUAGUUUCUAGUUUCCGUUUUGUUGACACUAGAUCAAGUCUCUUGUUAUUAGGAGUUGGUCUCCUAUAGUAGUGAGUUCAGUCUUAGAAACAGUAAAUACAUGCCUUGUAGGCGGGAAUUCGUACCUAAGCCUUUUCCCACUGAGUUUCUUCCUUCCCUUGCGGGUUAUCAUUCUGAAUUCGGAGUUUCACUCUUUUAUACCACCUUAGCGGAUUCCGAUCUAUGAGAGGCUGGGCCCAUGCUACACUCCUAUACUUAUGGAAAUUCCUUAUUGGAUUUUAUUGUACCUUCAGUAGGGGGCUUAGUCUUCUACUUGCUUCUUUCAGUCGAAGAAGAAUAGGAUAAGUCCAAACUCACAUAAGUAUGAGAAUGACCCACCCUACAUCGUACCAAUACUACGAUAACUUCUACUGACCCUAGAUCAGAGACUCCCUAUUAGGUAAGGACCCUGAGUCUUAUAGCUCAUCACCUGGGAAUGAAAGAAGUUAGUGGCAUAGCGAGACAAGCCAGUAUAGGGCUAAGAGGGGUCCGCAUCUGAUUUUACCCUAUUAAGUAGCAGAAUAAGAGACUGUGUUUUACCCUAUAUGUAUAAGAAUAAGAGACUGUGUAUAAGGGCCGAGAUAAGGGAAUGCCGGGCAGGAGCUCUAGUUUGAUUCUGAUCUUAGUACCAGGGGAAGCGGCAGGGAAUCGGUGGUCUAGUUAAAAGACUUCAACAACUACCCGCCAAGUCAGUCAACUAAGUCAACCAGCCUCCCCUACCCAUACGCUGCACCCCUAAUAGAUUGAUUCGAUAGUGGAUUCGGACUUAUACGAUGAAACGGAAACUCCUUUCUUAGUGUUUGUAUGCGCAGGUGCUGCCAAGUUGUUAAUUCUUAAAGGAAGGAGCACUAACUAGGUGGGUUGGCAAGAUAGAGUGGAAUUCCUAGUUGAUAGUUGGAUUCUUAUACUCGAUUUUUAGGUAAGUAAACUCUAUUCUUAAAUGAAGGAGCACUAGAUGAGUUGCCUUAAUCUAUUAUACCCCUUUUCUCAGGCAUCUUUUCUUAUAGAUGAAACAAAAACUGGGCAUUCUUUGGCUUUCUCUCCUGCUUACUUACCUGAUACGGCUGAUUCUCGAUACUAUCAAGUUUGAAUUGAGUCUCCAUCUUAUCUCGCAUUAACCCGCGUAGUCAAAACAAUAGAAAGGAAAACGGAAAUGGACAAAUAUGGAACUCACCCCAUUGAAAUAGGAAUUGAGCAGUGAAGGAAAAGAUCUUAGCACAGAAGUCAGAUCUAAAGCCAUUAAUAAAGUCAGCAGCAAGACCGGAAAGUUUAGAGUAAGGAGUUACCGCUUCCACUGUUGGGCAUUCCGUCUCUUCUUAUGAUUCUUCCCUUGCGUUUCCCUAGAUUCUAAGUUAACAGUCAGUUCCCUUGCGCUUCCCUAGAUUCUAAGUUAACAGUCAGUUCCCUUGCGUUAACGGAGUGUAGUGGCGUGGGCAGUAUAGAUGAUAUUCUUUCUUCUCUUUUAGUCAAGCACAAUAAAGUCAAUAGAUGCUUCAUACUCGCCCCACUUAGUCGUUUGAGAAGCAGUCUCGUAUCUCGUCCGUUUAAAGUCUCUACGAUAGUGUAACGUUGAAAGAACAAGAAGCUAUGGCGAAGGAAAAGUCCGGUCAGAGUGUGGACCCGUCUGGUCUCUUAUAGAGAGAGCUUACAGUAUAUCCCAAGGAAAACGAUCUUAAAGGACUUAAUGUUCAUGACCGACUAUAGUAAGGUUGUUGUCCCGGUCCUACUCGAUCUCAAGUAUCCCGAGUCUUGAGAGGGGUGGGUGCCCUAGGUAAGUCGGUUGAGGGAGGUGCUCUUCUUGCUCUUGUCUUUCUUGCCUUACAACAAUAAGCCUCCACCUCUAGGCCCGGCUUCUACUUGCAUGUUUAAAGCAUAUAGCUAGCCUUCUUUAUCUACGCAAUUUCUCUCAGUAGUUGUGUAUUGUCCGCUUGCCGAUCCAUGUAAAGACUCAACACUAGAAACUCUCGGGCGAUGACAUGCACUGGAUUGAUUGCCUGGCCCUAUAAUAUAUCGGUUAUCGGUUGGAGAUGCCUUAUGGGUUAUCGGUUGGAGAUGCCUUAUGGGUUGAAUCAAAGCAAAGGGGACUCGCUUCUCCUGAGUGAAAGCUAGACAGCAGAAGAACAAGUCAACCGGGCGUUAGCAACGCCAAGAACCUAUCUUGUAGACAACAAAGACAUCUUACUCGCGCCAAUCAUCGAACAUAGACUUGACUAGCACUAAACUAUCCUUUCAACACCACCGAUUGCUGCUGCCAAGAAGGCAAAGUGCGCCACAAGAACCUCUAUCGUACGAUUGACAAGCACCCGACCCUACAUCAAAAGUGGGAUGGAUUUCAGAUCUGGAGCUCCUACUUAUUCUCUUGAUCGCACACAUCUUGGUUAAGGCUAUACUGGGCGAGAUCCACUUGUUUUAUCUGAAUCCGCAUUAAGUAAGUAGGCGAGGGGAGCUCACUUUCUACUCUUCCUUGAAACAGUUUAUGCUGCUGAAGAUUCCUUUAGUCUUAACUCGCACACAAAGAAACUCUAUAGCUUGUUUCGACACCUCGCUGAAGAAGGACGGCUCUUAGACCACACUGCUUAUCAGUCCUUUCCCUUGACUCUCCACUGUCGGAAGAAUUCCUUGAAUCUUUAUGACCCUAGUGAAGUAAUAUUACCAGACUCAACUUGCUUCUUUCAACUAGGAAUGAAUGGAACUACUUCUGUUAGCACCGAGUAAACCUAUACAUAGCCUUUCUUUCGAGCUUAGCGCCCUCACUUCCAGAGAUCUUAUCUUAGUCCAGUCCAAGAACCUAACUAUCUCAUAGACAAGGAGCGUCAGCGAGAAAAGAAAACAAACAAAUGUAAUAAUCAGCAAACGAGGGAACUCGCACCAAAAGAGAAAAGUAUGAGGUAAAAGGAGCUACCUCUGGUCGGCUUCUUAGAAAACGGAAUUUCUAUAGGAGAAAAGUGGACUGGGAUGAAACUACAAUGAAAGUAUUAUUUCCUUCUCCCAAAGUGGACUGGGAUGAAACUACAAUGAAAGUAUUAUUUCCUUCUCCUUACCGCUUGCUACUGACGUGAGAGAGUUUUUGAGGUUGAAACUAGCUGUGAGGUUAGAGUCGAGUCGGUUGUCCUAGAGAGUGCUUUGACUAUCUUAUCUAUAUGGUUAUGAGUAAAGUAAGGGGUCAGAUGCUAUGGUUGGUUACCAAUAUCUAUCAUACAUAGCGAGUGGGGAACUCUAAUGAUUCUGUUUCUUAUACAUCUUAUGAUCCUGAACCAGUAGAUGAUCCAGCUCUUUCCCCUGCUGUAGACUAGACUCGAGAAGAAUCAUAUGAAUAAGCUGCAAUGAAAGUCUAGUUCGGGGAAGUCAAGUGAAGAGAAAAAAGAUAGUACGAGUAGCAGCUGGGUACUGACAUUUUGUAGACGUGGUUCGGUUAUUGGCGCUUGUGAGGUCAUCUGCAAUAUACGAGUCUCCUCUUUGAAUCGUUAAGAUAAUCUCAUCUCGAAUCGAAUGACCAACUACGUCCUUUCUUCGUCGGCGAGCGGAAGUUGGUUAGUUACCCUCUGAUUCUCUAUUUCUAUUAGACCCCUGAUGAUAGAUUGAGGUUACUACAUAGGGUCAGAUGAUAGAUUGAAGUUACUAGUAAUAAGAAUUCCACUCGAAAGCGCCAGCAAGCCAGAAUGAAACUAUACUUUAGAAUAGGGUUAGAGUUAGAUAUAGCACAUAUAGAUUCAUAAAGGAAUUGAUCCAGAAUGAAUAAAGGAAUUGAUCGAGAAGCAGAAAAAGCACAGAAAAAGAAGAAUUUCUCAGAGGUAUCAUUCUUAUGGAUAUGGGCAACCCCCGCUGUGUUCUUUCUCACCUACCCCCGUAGUGUUCUUUCUCACCUACCCACCUAAGUGCUCUUUGUUAGUGCCCCACCUCGACUUGUUGAACCGGUUUCCGCUUCUUACAGGAGAUGCUGCUGUAUCCAGGAGAAAGUACUGGUGCGCGGGCAGAGCAAGCAAGUUCCAUUACUAGUGUUGGCGCUGCAGAAUCCAAAGAAUGAUUAUGGUUCCCCUAUUGUUCCCAGCCUAGGUAUGAUAUCUAUUGGUAACUCCCUAAUGCUCUUUCUUGAAAGUGACUGAGGACUGCCGCAACGUAGUGGAAUUCUGUUUCUUCAUAUUCCGCUCCCGCUUCUAAAACUGGAACUUUACACUAGUAUUAGAAAGUAGAAAGUUGAAGCAUAAGCGGCACCCUCAACCGAGACUCUUUUCUUCCUUCCCGCUACAGGCAAACAAGAAUGGAAAUUGUGCCCCAACUCUGUCAACUCGGACAGGACUCCUUCUUUCCUAGCGCCAAAGCAUCCUCGUACGGAUAUAAGGAUUUUGUAUACUAAGAUUCUUUUCCGCCUUACCCUUAAGGAGUUUGGUUACGAAGUUCUAUACUAACCCAAUGAACGCUAAGCUAGAUGAAACUGCAUUUCCAUUCUCACUUUUGUGGUGACAGUUCUCUUCUUCCAUUCCAUUCUUUUGAACGGGCGCUAAGGUCAAGCCAAGAGCAGCCCCGCGUACCGCUUCAGAUCCUUCAACUAGUGAUUCUCUUGUCGAUGUCAACUUAACAAGCAAUACCUUCUCUUGCAAACAUGAAUAAGUCUGGAUCAGUAGGGCCCGGAAUAUCUCUUCUACCCAAAUCCAGAAUUGUUGAUAGCGUGUGUUCCUCAUAUAGAGCAUUUUGUAACCAGAGCACCCAUUCUUAUUUGAGGACUCCUAACUCACCGCUUUGCUUCCGGACUCCUCUCAGGACUUGAGACUUCGAUGGGCAUUCGCAAAUAGAUGAUCUUCACGAGAAAACUCGCAAUGAAAGUCAACUGUCUAUUACACCCAACCUUUGCUUAGUCUUGGGCGCUGGCUGGCAACUUUCAGAAGAGCUCUCAAAACAGGACUUGAACUUGCUUGCUAUGAAACAGAAACAAGGGGAUCGGAUUGCUUUUUGACUUUGGAAUGGCAACGCAACAAAUACUACAUUUCCAGAUAAAGCAGAAGAUCUCGUUGCCUAUGCUCGUGCUCGAACAUAACUAGACUACUACUACUCGGUCGGUGCUUGAUAAGGCCAUAAUCAAGGUGUUUGUUGUUUAAGGGCGGGCAAGAAGACAGACGGUUGCGGUCAACUUCUCCAAUAUGGAAUUAGCUAUAAGAGGAGUGGCACAGAGGUUUUAUGACUCCAAAUCCAGGGGUUUAUAGUCUUUCCAGAGUAGUGAUCGGGAACACUUGCUGCUAUGUGUUUGUCGUAGUUACUUGGCUUAACUCUUCUAUUCAACAAACAAGGGUAGCUAGAUUCAAUGAGAGAAGCAAGGCUCGGGCGGAAUCGGAUUCUUCUUCAGCCUACGGGCUGGCUCUAUACACAUACAAUAAGGGCUAUACACAUACAAUAUAAGAAAAAGCAAGUAUAACCUUUUCACUUCACCCUUCCUUCUUUCCUCAACGGAGACUCUGGCUUCAUAAGAGCGGCUGUAAUUGAGAUCCGGAGAUGGAAGAUUCAUAGAAGACGACUAAACCUCAGAGGAUGUUGGAACUGCUUAUGGCCUUCCGAACAGUUCAUCGGAGCCAGUGAAAACAGGAACUCCCGAGCUAGUGGUUCUUCCUAUCUUGAUCUUGGUCCCUACCUCGCGGAAAUGCUAAGAUGAAAGAUAAGAUGUGUGAUCUCCUACCAUACGAUAUCUUACUGAAUCUUGAAGCAAGCAUUAGUCCUGAAUUGAAUCCCCUAUUCGAAUGCGAAGUGUGUGUGUUGAGAUAUCUGUUAAGCCAAGGAGUGGAGUUUCGGAACCGCCUAACUCUUCUUCUAUAGCAGCGCAAUGCUUUUUCAAGUAGGCGUGCCAAUCCUUAGCAACAUGAUCUAACUCUGCUAUAAUGACAGGGGCGAGUUACGAGCUUAUGUACUCCAUUCGUACGUAAUUACGCCUUUCCUUUCUUUGUGUGGUUAUAGUUAUAGAGACAUUUCAUAGCAGGUGCCCCAAUGCAUAAGUUUUCCAUAUCUGGGAUGAAGACGUGGUGGCUUACUCGGCAGGAGCGGAGCAUCUUACACAGGCGUCUUUGGUUCUGUAUGUACCAGUCUACACGUCUCGAAAUGAGAAUUCCAUGGCUUGGAUUUAUACUCUUCGCUCCGUAUCCCAUAGAUGAUAAAGAGACUAUGAAUGCUAGUAUCGGUUGACAACAUGUAAAUAAUGAAAGUGUGCUAUCUCUCAGUUCCGAAGUAGUCCCGGACUGGGCAUUUUCCAAUCAAAUAGAAGUUAGCGGUUUCGAAGUCGAAGCUCUCCACCACGGUUGCGAACCUAAGCUCUGAGACCUAUCUGACGCAGAGAGAUCUGGUUGAAAGAACCAAACUUCGAGCGGUUUCAUAUAGGCUUCCAUCAACAAGGCUGAAAAACGACUUAGAAAGAAACUUCAUUUCCAAAACUAGAGAAUAUAAGAUGUCUGUUUUUCAAAGAUGCUGUAGUUUGCUCCAUUAGAUAGAUUCAUAGUGACAUAACAUAUAGCUUCCUUGUUCGUAGACAAAGCGGAUUCUCCAUUAGAUUGAAUUUGAUAGCAGAACUAGUAUGCAUGCCAUGCGCUUCAUAUCCGCGUAGAGCUCGCUCCAAGAAAGAUAGCCUUCCUUCCCUAGCCCACCAUAGUCAAUAAUCCCACAAGCUUCUUGUCCAUUCUCAUUCGAUCAGUGGAGCAAGUAAAAGAAUCACAGUUGGGAUAAUAAGGCUCGAACUUAUGACUUCCACCACGUCAAGGUUACACUAUACCGCUGAGUUCUAUCGCUUACCUUGCCCUCAUCGAGAAAUAGAAAGGAAAAACCCUAAUAGAGAAAUAGAACUUACUAAUCCAAUCCGGGUCGAGAAAGUGAAGGCAACUCGAACAACUUGGAGUCGGGCCGCGCUAUUACUGAUAUGCAAAUAAAUAGAGAAUGAGAUUCAAUUGGAAACUGCUCCUAUAGCCAUUAGGAUUUCAUACUGAUUCGAGCCAUAGCACAUGCUUUCAGAAAAGCCUAUGAUCUUCCCUAAAGAAAUCAAGAAAGAAAGCAAGACAAGAGAAAUCAAGAAAGAAAGCAAGCGGUUUUGACAUGAAGAAGAUUUGGCGCAGCAUCUUAUAUUCGAUAUGGGUAGGACAGGACUCUUAUUCCUUCAAAUAAUAGAGAAAUAAGAAGGAAGUCAAUAAAUAUGAUAGAGGCAGAUAAAAAGAUCUUACCAUUUCCGAAGCAACUGUAGUUUGAUCUCCUUUCCAUUUCUAUUCCAAAGUGAUUCUGUCUUUCCACGCCCACCCAGACUCCCUUUCUUUUUCUUAGGCAAACAUAGAAUCUUCGUAACCAAAAAAAGGAUAAGGGUCAGCAAGUAUACCAUUGAAACUAUUGAAGGUAAGUCCACCAUUGACUAGUGAAGGUAAGCCCACCAUUAAGACGAGCAGAGCCCCCAUUAAGACGACGACCAGAGCAGAGCCCCCAUGGAUGGAUAUGGAACAUGCAAACAAGUAAAUAAUCAGAGCUUGUUUUGUUCCCCGGAUCUGUUUACUAGUUUGUGUUACCUGUUCCUAAAACAUGGAUUUCAAGCAUCUUUCCAGUAGUGCGCCUAGCUAGCUAACAAAGCCUUUAAAGGCAGUAUAGUGUAGACGCAGACUUGACUUUAAGUGAGUUCUUGUUGUUGAGUUGAGUUUCUAGAAGGGCUGACAGUGUUGGUACUCAAUUCCAUAUUGGGAUAGCUCUCUUCACUUCAACGAGCAAGGGCGGAAACUCUCUUAGGUGCCCAUCUUCAACAAGCAAGGGCGAAAGAACAAGCUUAUUCUUAUAUUGUUCCGUUCCGCGUUAGCACUUACUCUCCCCCGCUUGAGUCAAGAAAUGAGCUAGCUGUGGAAUAGGUUUCAAUGAGAUCACCAUUUGAGGAAAUUCUGUCUGAUAAGAGCAAGGAAUGAAUGAAGACUGUCCGAGAAGUCAAACUGAUGUUCGCAGCCCCCACCAUUAAGAAAAAUGCCCUCCCUACUGAGUCUGGGCCCUGUCUCAGUCCCUCCGCCAAACUGUUGCAAAGCUUUCACUCUACCAGAGUUGCAAGAAUAGUGGAAAGAGAAGCAUACAACAAAAUAGGGAUAACGGGCGAAGAAUGGAUAUAUAUAAUAAGUAUAAGAUCAUAAUAAGUAUAAGAUCGAGUGUAUUCAUCAAACGGAAGAUAUAUAAGUGUAAGAUCGAGAGCAAGGGAACAAGCAAGGACGUAAAACCUUGUGCUGUGCUAACGGUAGUUCAUGCGGGCGGGUAAGGGUCAACAGGAAAUAUUCAUAUUAUUUAUUAGCAACAACAGGGCUCUCUUUCUUUCUUUCUAGGGUUUCAGAGAAAAGCAAUAGAGCUUAUAGGCAGAAAUAGAUUAGAAGAGCCAGCCGAUGGGUAGGGAUGGAUUUGCUAUUAUAGCACAUAGUUCAACAUAGGUUCAACAACUCUAAGAAGCUUUCUGAAGCCCCUUGUAGUGGUCGACCUCUGCUUAUAACCAAGUCCUUUCUUUGGUAUUCGCCCGUCUUCAUCAACUAAGGUGAGAGUGAGAGUUGUAGCAUUUCUAGGAUACGGAUCUUAAAUAGGUAGUACAGAAUCUUUAGCUGUGUCAGUAACAGUAGAAGAGGCAAAAUCCAAGUAAGGAUCCGGGGGGAUCUAAAGCAGAAUCCGUCUUGUUCCACGCCCCCUAUCCCUAUAAGAAUAUUAAGGUUACCAACCCCCCCCGCUCGCUAACGCCAUGACGAACACGGGAAGUGCUCUCUGAACCAACCCAGCCAGUAGGUGCUCAAUUCUUCCAUUUCAUAUUUCAGGAUUUCCCGCCUUACCACAUUUCAUAAUUGAGUUUCCUCUGCGCAAGUUCAGAAGCCAGGGAAGACAUAGAACUAAUGGAAUUGCAAACAUAACAUAUGAAUUCAGUGCGAAGAAAGUCUACUCGAUUUGAAGCAACAGCGGAUAUUAUUUAGGCCAGAGUGGGAAUAAUAUCUGAUGCCGAAGCCGAAGAUGGAAAGUAGAUAAGAUCGGUAGCUGGAGAAUAGGCGGGAUUAGAGGCAAGAUCUUUAGCUGGAGCCGAAUCGAAAUGUAAGUGGGAAGUUGACAAUCGGUUCCUAAAGUGGAGUUAUACUUGCAUCCCGAGUGGAAUAAGAAUAAGAGGCAAAAGCGGAAGCUGGUAAUUAAGAGGUAAAGUCUCAAGCAUAAGAUGGAGCAGGCCCAAACUCAGGCGGGAAGGGAAAUGAAUGAGUUGCACUCUAAAGAUGAAAUUCAGUAUUAGCUGACUCUAAGCUCGAAAGAUCCGAUCCGUAUUUGCAAGAGGGCGAGCUAGGUAUUCCAUUACUGUUUUCCUUGGUGCUCGAUAAUCAAUGAAUUCUUUUCCUGGGUGACUCGGUGCACUAUAAUCAAGAGAUGGUUUGCAUUCUUAGUUGACUUCAGCGUUAAGUCAUGCCAGGUAGUACUGGUAGUACUGGGCAACUGGGCUCCCAAAAACAGGACUUGGCAGACUUGCUCAUAAAGGAGACAAGCCACAACUUUGCAACUACUAUACAAGGUUGGUGAUAAGUAUCUUUCUGUUCGGACCUUUCAUCCUAGUCGACUCGAAUGGACUGUUCGCCUAAUUUAUGGAAUGCUCAUCUACGUUGGUAAAGUCUCAAAGAGGAGUAGCGCGGGUCAUCUGCUAACGGUUAUUAUAGUUUAGUUCGAGGAAGAAUCAUCCGGCUAAGGAUCUUUAUAUAUGCGAUAUAUGCGUCCCCUAUCCUCACUACACUAGAUUAUAUGAGCAACGGCCUGCCUAUCUGAAAUUGAUUCUUUGACUUUCUUUCCAGCGAGGUUAAGAAUGACAUAGAAUUUAUGGAGCACAUGGUAAAGAAUAGAAGAAAUACACCGAAAACAGGACUUGCACCUGGAACUCGAACUGCGGAUGAAGAUCUUGGCACUCAUUCUUAUCCUUAUUAAGAUCCAAUCCGAUUAUUCUUAUGACCUAAAUCCAUACCCGGGCUCCUUAUCUUGUUCUCUUGCACCACUUUCCCUUGACCUAGCUGCUUUCCUUUCCGACCCUCCUUUUUUCUGUGAGGACCCGCUUGCUGAUAAUAAUGGAACUGCAACACCUCCACUCCAACACACACCUCUAAGUUAUUCUUAUUACCCGUUUCUUCUAUACUAACCUUGCAUGAAAUAAGUGUGGCGCUACUUACUUUAUACUCUGGACUGGAAACAGAAUAUUCCGUUACUGCUACUUCGGAUUAAGAUCCUUAUUCUUCUCCUGAUCUAUAUUCAGAUCUUCACUUUAGAACUAUUCUUUCUUACACUUAGACACAAGCAAGACAAACUGCAUUAAUUGCCUUAACCGCUACAUGGGCAGUAUAGAAAAAACAUUCUUUCUAUGUUCAACAUUCAUCCCAUUCUGACUCGAGCACCUGGCAUAGAUUUUGGUAAAGACACAGAUCCUGCCUUCUGUUAACACGGAUUACUUGAGAACUGAGCUUGCUGGCAUGAAUUAAGGGCACCAAAGAAAGGACAAAUUCAUUAAGGGCAACCCGACCCUACAUCCACUGUUUUAUGUCUUUCCCGCUACGCUGACUUUCUGUAAUUCCAUAAAAUAAGUGAAGUAAGGUUACACAACUUCUAUAACGGAACAGGUGUGCACCUACCCAGUAUCAAGUGUUGUUUCAGUUUGAAGAGCAGUAUCGAAUAAGUCAGCUAGAACAGUAUCCAUUGCUGUGCUAAGGUCGUUUACCGCUAUAAACACGGAUUUUCUACUUGGUGUUGCUCUCUUUUUGACCCUUAAACAACAAGGAUAGAGAAAUCAUUCUUUUAGUUCAUAAGUCCACCACCCUACCUGGCGUACCACACCUGAAUGAAACAAGUCAGUUGGAAACCCGGUCUCCAAGAUAAGAUCAAUUAUAGGCUUAGAUGGGCAGGCAAGAGAAGCUAUAAAAGGUUAGUUUACCCUGAAACAAGUAGUGAGUGGUGCCAGUUCCGGUUUACUGUUUAGUAGAUUCAUAAAGGGCCAAGUAACUACUAUACAAAUGUUACGCAUCAGUGACACUACCAUAAGAAUCAAGUCAAUACCACCGGGCAUCCACAUCUGUAUUUGCCAUAUCCAGGCCUUUCUCUUUUUCACGGAACUCUGCCUCCCAGUUUAGGGUAUAAAGUAUUACCUGUUUACUUUGAUUCUUUAUUUGAAGCUUUGGCCCGGCACUGCUUCCUGGUAUUCUCUCUACCUCGGCUUCUAGCCUGUCCCCCUUUCCGUUAGUCCUACUAUCUCUCAUUGCGGGGUGCAGUUGUGCAUUCUACAAUUAUGAUAAGAGAAUAGAGAAGUUACAAACCGAACUCUAAUAACGUGGGGAAUAAUCCUUAAUUUACAUAACCCAAAGCAUGGAAUGAAAGCGCGUAGUGCUGGAGUUAAAGAGGUGAACUUCAGAAUCCAAGUAGGGGUCGGCAGCUUUGAUUGAGGUGGGUAAGGUCGCAUAGUAGUCAAUUUCUUAUUAGCCCCAGUGCCAGUAUCAUAUGCCCUAGAGUUCAAUCUUAUAGUUAGUAGACGAAGUGCUAGUUCCGAGUGCAAAUCUAUAUAUUCCCAGUUCCAUUCCAUUGGGGCGUAGGCUUGAAGCACCCGCUUGGCGGUUGGAGUCCUGUUGUUACUGAUUUCAUUCUUGCCAUGACUGCUUGCAUUCUUGUUAGCCCUUCCUUCAUUACCAGUCCCGAGUUCGGGUAUUGUUAGCACUAGUGGAUUUCUUUACUAUAAGAUUCAGUAUUCAAAUGCACUAUUUCAGGAUUAAAACAAAGGUAUUAAGAAUAGGAGCCAGCAAGGAAAGGCUUUUAAGCACUAUUACAAGUCCGGGAAGCACUGGCUGGAGAAUAAGAUAAAGCAAAGUAGGCUUAGACUACUACGUGGCAGGCCGAUAGAAGGUUCAAGUCAGAGUUUGGUUAAAGCCCCGAUCCCAGCAAGUAAGGAUCAGAGACAUGAAAGAUAGGCUAAGAUGGACGAGUUGAAGAGCCAGAGAAGGGUAGCUCUGUUUAUCAAACCGAGUAAAGGCUGCUUUUAGGUUAGUAGUGCUUGUUUGAAAGCAUGGAGUUUCAGAACCAAGGGCUGUAGCAAAAGUGCAAGUUCCGAGCUAAGGUCUUAUCGGAGAGUAGACUUUCAGCACCUUGUUAUGAGCUAAGGUCUUUGCUGUAGUAGCUGAGUUCGUUAAUGCAGUGUUCUAUUCUGUUUCUUGGAAUUGAAAUGAGCAGGCAUCCUGAAGAUACUAGUGAGUGGAAUGGGAAGGGCAAGUCAAAGAAAGAAAGGUAGGCUGGAUCAGAUAGUGCCACACAAAUAGAUAUUAUUAUAGGCAUAGUGAUAAGAAGAAAUAGUAGUAGUGAUAAGAAUCAAUGCCAGGAGAAAGCAAGAUCAAUAAACUCGGGAACCCAACUCAACAGCAAGAAUGAAUGAUACCAAUAGCGAACAGGAGCGAGCAGGCAGGACCUUUCCACUGGAACAUAGAACCUAGACUCGACACCGAAGUACAAUAAUGAUACUAGUGCUCCCAAGCGACUCUAAUCUAAUCUAAUACAAAAGAUCGAACUCAGUAGCACAAGAACCAAGCGAGUAAGCCCUAAAGAAUGAGAAGACGCAACUAAAGACUUCAAACAAGAAAGUAGGAAUGCAAGGACUUACCAUUAAAGAAGAAAUACGCUAGUGGAAGGAUAAGAGGGGGACUCUUACUUAUAUAGGGGUAAGGCUAAGAAUAAUAAGCCGAAGAAUGAACCUAAAAAGUAGUUGUGACCUAAACACAUAAGUGAGCCUUCUACCCCCAACUACAAAACUACCAUUCCUGGCUUUUUCGUCUUAAUAUCCUAUCCCUUGGUCUGCCUCUCCUUCAUCCAAUCCUUAACUCGAAACUCAGAAUGGGGCUAUCAACAAAGAAAUUCUAUCCUAUCUUGUAAACCUAGCACUAGUAGUAACGUCAGAAUCAAAGACAUAGGUCUGAACUCCACUUUCAAGUCCAGUAGGCGAGUAAUAUGUCGUGUAUUAACGUAUGAGAAUGGAACCAGUGUUAUCAAGGAUGCACCUACUGCGGACUGCGACUGCUGUCUACUAAUCUGCUCCGACUCACUUUUCUUCUUUAAGUACUGGAAUGGAACCUUGAAAUGCCCACGAGACUAUAGCUACGUUUUCACUCUCCGCGUUGCCCCUUCUUAUUCUUAGCCCCACCUGCAAACUCAAACUACCAAUAACAAAGAAGAAAUCUACGGAUAAUAGGAAUUGAGCUGUCCAACUAGGAAUAUAAGGAUUUGCACUCAAGGAUAACUACUAAGUAUAAGAUAUUAGUGGAAGACCAGGAUACCAAGAAGAGUUUACUAAUACAAAUAAUAAGGGUACUCAUGGAAAACAGUAGACUAAUGAGUAUACAAAUAAUAAUAGGGUCAGAAGUAUACUAAGGCGAGUCAUGUGGUAAGAAGAAUAAGAAGAGGUCGGUGCUCUAGCUACAAGUACGGGUUUGCUCGGAUGCCAAGAAAAAUGGGUAUAGUAUAUAACGGAUAAAGGGAUAUAGUAUAUCACUUUGGUAAUUAUCAAUCUCUUCUUUUCUUCCGCGAAAGGUGGAGGUCGGUUCUUCAAAUGGAGGAAAUCAAAGGGUAGAGUUAAGAUCGGGAGUAGAAUAAAGCCCCUAUUCCAUAUUGCUUGUCUAAAAUCCUUCUCCAGCUCCGGAUCUCGUCGACAACAAACACUGGCACUCUUCAAUGAUUACUUGCACGGGUUAGGAAUAAAGGGAAUCAAGAUCAUAAGCAAGCAGUAUCUUCACUCUUUUCUAUUAACAGGUGUGGUGAUGGAAAUACAUCAUGAAAUUCUUAACUUCAAGGUGGAGGCCGGGAAUAGGUCACAAUCUAUAAAAGUGGUCUAAAUUCAUGGCAGUUUCAUUCGGACUUCUUUUUGAAAUGAUUAGGGUUCCGCAUUAAAACAAGAGUAUUGACUGUUGCAAUAUCAAGGUAAGGGUGGGUUAGUUCCUUCUGUAGCGGUAAGGGUAAGUAGCAAAAGAAUUUCUAUUGAGUUGGUGUAGGAACAUAUAUUGAGUUAGACUAGGGAUAUACGGGAGUAGGAACCAUAUCAGUAGUGUUGCUAAGUAAAGGUUAGUUUACCCACCUGGCCCGGAGACAAAGUCAGCAAGCUUUAGAGUUCUGUUAGGUUCGACACUUCUCUCAGUUGCGCACUUUCUUUCUAAUUCCAUGAUGAAACCUACCUAUGCUCUUUGGAGAACCUACCCAUCUAUAAUGUUGACUCAUAUAAGAUAAUGUUUGAACAAACAACAAGGGAAAUAUUAUGUCAAUGAAAUGAAGCGGGAGCCUGCCUCAAGCAAGCAGGAGUUCAAACUCAUAAUGGUGCAAGAGCAAGCACAAGGGCGCCUGUAGAUACAACGAUAACACGGGGCCCACCUUCGCCUUAGUGCAUUAGUUUCGGUGAUUUUGAAGAAGGUUGGUUUUUACAAAUUCUCAUAUUUGGUGGUGUGUGCGCAUCUCAAUUCUCUUCUUUUGACUUUUCUCAGAAGUACAGUAGUAACUUGCCUAUUACAGUGUAGUAAAAGGUCUUGUCAGUUGCUUGCCUCUAAUCAGUAUUAGUUUAUUUCCGACUUUUGAGUUUCGUUCCGAUGUUGGUAUUGGUUAAAAAGCAUUGGUACCCAGACAGUAAUUCCUUAUUAGAAGAUAUUGGUUUGCUUACCGUACCGAGUUAUGAGUAGAAGGCUACUAGUUUCAAUACUGACUUUCAGCAAGGAGUGGUUUCUAGCUUAGUUUAUGCUUUAUUCUAAUUGGAGUUCUUAUCACUACUACUACAAGCUUACUACUUGCUGCUACUACUAUAGAGGGUCAGAGAUAUCAGUAUUAGAGCUACUCAUCAGUAUUGCUACUCCGGAAAGACAGAAGGAAAUGGAAGACCAGCGGUAGUUUUCGUUUGGAAACAAGGAAUAGAAGAGUGGGCAAGUAACUGCUAGAUUAGCAAGUAAGGGGAGACUUAGAUGCCCGGGUUCCAGUCUAUGGUAGCCACGUUCAGAAGAAUCCAAAUCAUCAGUUACAGGGAAUCGAAGAGGCAAAUAGGAGACUAUAAGCAAGGCGGUGCAGGCUCGGAAGUAUUAGUGUCAGGCUAGGCUCCCUUUCUUUUGGUGGAAGCUAAGAGAAAGUAAUGUCCUACUUCGAGUUGGGCCAGUAGCUCCUAGCAAUCAAACAUAGGAAAUUCAAGUUCCAAAUGGAGAAUGUAAAUAAGCAGUGCCAGGCCAAAAGUGAGGAGCGGAAAGUGCCAGUUUCCUGUUCAAGUACGAGAAGCAGUAGUGUGAGGUCAAGAGUGAGGGUAGUUAGCCUCGGGAUCAGUAGCUCAAUUCCUAUAGUAGUUAGUUCACUUCCUAAUUAGAGUCAAGCAAGGGCUUUCUAAGGGAAAGGUCAAGUCUAAAGGUAGGUAAAGAUUACAGGGCGUCCAAAGAAUUUCCACUUGUGAACAGUUCGUAUCGCAUUAACCGAUAAGUAGGACAGCCAAGAGAGUUGGUGUUCUGCUACCCUCAUUCUUUAGAGCGACAGUAAAGUAAACAAAUCAUUCAUUCGAGCUUACUUGAUAACUGAUCUUUCUUCUUAUCCUUCUAAUGCUUCCGUAUCUGUGUAAGAUGAAACUCGUACUGCUUCUUUAAACAAUGAAACUUGAGCAGAAGAAUAAGUUUGCAGCUCGCGCGCUAAGUGAAUCAGGGGAAUAAUCUCUUCGCGCGCUAAGUUAAUCAGUGUCAACAAGGUAUCUAGAAGCUGAAUGCGCGGGUAAGAUAAAUAGAGGUGUAGCUCUGUUAGCGAAACUUGACUUUAUUUACAAAACGGAAGACGAGAUAGUAGGGGAGCGCAUGAACAACAAGGCAAUCAAUAAGUCUGGACCAGUCAACUCGUAAACUUGACAAAAAGGCACACCCAUACCCUAAACUUACUGAGAGAAUGUAAAGACUCACUGUAGUACCCCUAAACUAUCCAGUCAUCAUUUCAAUUAAUCUCUGCUGCUGACUGACUUUAGACUUAUGCAUUCGAUUCAAUAGGAGAUUCGGCUUCCUUUCCUUACUAUUAAUCUACUGCCGGAUCUUAUUAUGCUCAAGUUUGUUCUCUCGCUGACAAUACUCGAACAGGACAUUCUCCACUGUAAACUAGAACAGUCCAUUCUGCUGCUGGCAAGUGCUACUUACGGAUAAGAAAGUGAGUUACAGAGUUAUAUUAGUAAUAAGAUAAAUAAGAGACAGGCUGGACUCUAUACUAGAAGAUACCGAUACCGACCGCGCUGAAGAAGGCAAUAAUCCAGGCGGCUGUAAACCCGUAUUUUGAGUCUACAGAUCGAUCUCUGUGAAACUCUGAUGAUGGCUAAUGUACUACAGGCGGAAGGGAAGUUUCGUUUGAAAGUAUGGUUUAGGGUGUUUCAGAAGAAUCCACAGUUACUGGCGAGGAAGCUAUAAGUAAAGAAGUGUGUUCGUCCACUUGUUUUCGUUCCUUCCCCCCUUCACUAAAAAGUAAGUAUCAUUACCCUACCUACAAAGGGAGAUUGCAUGUUGAUAACUGAGGAUGGCAAUCUGUUGAUGAAAUGGACUGCUGUAGUUCAUGCUUCUACCCAUAGAUGCUUUGGUACUCAAUCUCAUAAAAGUCAAAGCCAAGCCAUAUAUAAUAGAUAUGAAUACUAGAUUGAUAGAGAUGAAUACAGGAGUGAGAUAGUUAGAUAUUCAUACAAUUCUCAGGAGUAAGAUAGUUAGAUAUUCAUACAAUUCUAUAGUGAAUUGUAAAACGAGUACAGUCAUCCAUAAGCAUUGCAUUGUAGUGAAAACGUUUCUUAGAAGCAAGCGGGGCAGGGCAGGAAUUUUCCAUAAGGGUAUCAUCGUAUAUCAUCUUUCUUGAAAUAAGGGUAUCAUCGUAUAUCAUCUUUCUUAUCAUUAAGAGAAAAAGGCGACAACAGAGGCACGGCACUUCUUACAACUAGCACAAAGAGAGAGGGCUUGAUGAACCAUAGAAGGAUAUCCUCAUCCAUAUAAAGAGAUCUGUUUGUUUGUUAUAUAGAGAUCACAUUAACAUUUCUGUACUUUAUAAGUCUUUGAUUGAGGGUGACCAAGGGAAACUCCUUCAGGUGCCUUGCCGAACUUAAACUAGCGCUUGUUCACCUUUGUCUCGGGCAUAGAAAGCGUCCAUCCUACUCUACUCCCGGUUGCCGGAAUCCAUCCUUGUCCUCUGCUCUGAUCCUUUGAUCAAUAAAUUCUACGAUGAGUGCAAAGAAAGAUGGUCGAUUUUCAGUAAGUUGAAAAGAGAUGGGUAGGUGGUUAGUUAACAGUAAGGUGGUUUGUUAGUGUUUCUAAACGGUUGUUAUUGCAGGAACAAAGAAAACAUCCUGUAAUUCCACAUUUACUGAACUUGUAGUCAAAGAAGCAUCACCCAUAUAAUAAAUACGUAAACCAGUGUACCAUAUAAUAAAUACGUAAACCAGAGUACCAUCACAACCUCAAUUCUCUUUUUCUUAUAGUAUAGGGUAGCUGAUUCAUAAUUCUGUAGGGAGCGCGGAUUCAUAAUGCAGAAAUUACCUGCUUUACGGAUUCCGAAUUCAGAGAUUACCCGCUUUAGUGGUCAUAUGAGCAGACGCACCAGUAUCGGUAUACUAGUAUAGUAGGGAUCCUGCGAAUCAGAGAGAGAGACAUAGCAUAGCAUAGCCGUCAAUGCUUGAUGGAUAUCUUGGCUUAGGACUGAGAAAAGGGUGGUUCCAAGAAGGCAAGGCAGCACAGUAUGCCCAAAAAGACCACAGAUCUGACAUAGAGUGUCAGCGCAGAACCCUUGGUCCUGAGAUUAGGCAUAUUACGCAAUACUUUUGCUGUGGUGAAGGCUAUAAAGGCUUUCUUUUCUCCCUUUAUUUCAACUGCGCCCUUAUUGAUGCAGGUUUAUAUCUUUUAUGGAAUGAAGGCCUAGAUCUCUCUGUAAAACAUGCAACGGCGCGACGAUCUGAAUUAAGCAAUGAUAUAGAAUCUUCAGAAUAAUCUUAUCUCUUCAGGAUAAUCUUCUAGGGUGGGGAAUCUGAGAACUUGCGAUGGGAUGAGCGCUCGAGCCUUCUAUAACUCAAGGAGGCAUUAGGCUCGAUGUUACGUUAGUUUCAUAGGCCCAAAGAAUCUCUGGACUGGCUCCAAGAUAAGGGGAAAGAAUACAUUUGAUAGUUUCAUAGAAGGUGUAUCUUUCUUAGCUUAGGGGAAAGCACUUCAAUCCUGAUGUCGCUCGUUAUGUGAAUGGACCCAAUCCAUGAUGAGUUAUAAUUAAACCAGAUGGCCUAUCUUUUCCAGAUGGCCUAUAUCUUUUUCAUGCUUACUGGAAGUAGGAAUAACUGACAAGCUACGUCGCCAUAACACUAGAAGAGAGCAGAGCACUAUUGAAGAAAAGAAAGGGACAAAGGUCGACAGAAGGUAAACCCAAGACUCAAUCACUACCAAUCAGUUCCCGAACACAGGACUUGUAACUUAUAUUGCAACACAUUUGUAUUAUAGGGUACGAUCUAGCACAGUAUAAGACUAGUCAUACUUAGAGUGGAAAGCGAGGGCGCGUCGAUAGUACUUCACUUUCAAGGGCUAGGCACUACGGAAGGCCAUUAUCAAGGUGAAGGUGAUGGGGGCAGGCCUCUUUCUAGUCUUUUCAUCCAUAUGAAGUUGCUAACGCCUUUGGUGUGUUAUCGAGUUCCGCUUCUUUUGCCCUAGCAAUCAAUAUAGUAGAGGAGCAGUUGGGACAAUAAUCCCUUUUUGCUCACUUUCACCCCUGUUCCACUCCUAUGAUAGCUAAUUGGUAGGGCACAGACAAUCUGACUCUUACAAGCUUUGAAACAUAAGUAUUCGAAAGUGAAUGACAGGCUUUGAAACAUAAGUAUUCGAAAGUGGCCAAGCAACUAGACAAGUUACUACUAAUGACCAAGUAGAAAGUGUAGUUGAAAGUAUAGUGGAGGGUGCCAGUACUGUUCGUGUUGUUGGCAAAGGAUCUUAACCAGUGUGGUAUGCCAUGCCAGCAGAGUGAAAAGAGCCAGAGUUACAAGAGCCUCAUUCUGUUAAUAGUAGCCAUCAAGAGUUCAAUCAAUAGUUAUACAAGCCAUUACUCUUUCUAUUACUCUUUCUAUUACUAAAUGGGGAGUAGCGGUAGGGGAACUAUACAAAUACAAUUUCUAUUCUAUCUUAUGGUAGCGGUACCUAUUCUAUAUUUAUAUGAAUUCUAAAAGGAAGGAAGAUAUUAUGUCCCUGCCCCGGAACUGUCUCUUUGAACUCUCCUAUUGCUCUUAUACCUAUGAAAACUCUCACUAUUGCUCUCUUCUCUUCUUGCCCCAAAUCAUUCAUUUUCUCUAUUCUAUCUCUUUCGCCCCUUACUUCUAUUAAGGCUGCUUGUAUUCUUCUUCCCUUAAUCCGUGUAGUGGGCUUCUUUCUUCUUUAUACGAUGACACUCAUUCACUUUGCGUUGCGCUUGCUGCUUCCUUUAGACUCUUCUCUUCCUUGAAACCUAACUGCUUAGCUGACUCCUGACUAAACUAGCAAGGACGCACUCAAACCUGCCAGCAAACUCAAGCUUCCAAUCGGAGCAACCCCUGCCCUGCGCCUCUAUUCUGACUUUCAGUAUGCAGUGUUGUUCUCCUAUAUGUGAUUGAUGUGUCAUGCAACAUUCUUUCUUUAUUGAUUUCUUUCCACAGGCUCCGUUCUCCUAUAGGAGAUAGCAAUUUCAUCCGUUCUUCCUAUAAAAGAUAGCAAUUAGAUCUAUGUCUCGAAUCAAAGCCAAUAAGAUCUGAUUAUCCUCCGCUAUUCGCAUAAGAUUGAAGAUAAGUGGGAAUGUUUUGAACUGAGAACUUGGGUAUAAGGGGAGUUGAAAGAGCAGACAGGACUAGUUUAUUGCAAGCUAACCUUAGCAACGGGGCCAAGUAACUGCGUUAGUUCAAUAAGUAUCCUUCCCUACCGGAGUUACAGAGCAAGCGGGUAUCUCGGCUCGGGCUAAACUCCAUUCUUUAGUGAAAUACUGGCUAUCUAUCCGGAGUUGUGGAAUCCCUUGUUUCAUCCUAUUAAUAAGCUCAUCUCUCUCUGAAAGCUCAUCUCUCUCUGAUGGAAUCAAAGGCGAAAGAACAAGCAGUGUAUUGGUCUAUUGAAUAUAAAUAGUCGGGUAAUUAGAGAGAGUCAGAAUCCAUGAAGUAUAGGUUUACUGGCUCUACUGCUCUCCCACCUGGAAUAAUUCUUUCGAAGGGGGAUGGGAGUCAAUACUUAGCGCUUAAGGGAAUCAAAUCAGAAAGUACUGGUGAGGCGCGUUGGUGCCGAGAAACAGGCUUCAACCUGAGCUACUAAGGCUACAACCAGUGCAUCUAAGACUAUAACGGUGUCUACUAAGGCUGAAACCACAGCUACCUAGCCUUCAACGAGGCAGUAUGGGAAUUGAGCUAGUCAGUAUGAGAAUCAAGCACCUAACAACUAGCCUGAAACCAGUGCUUCUAGGGUAGUAGAUCAGAAUUCACUCCUGUAGUUACAGAAUCAAACUAGCUACUAUGAUGCUCUAGUACUAUUAGUAAGCCUACCCUCCCUUUUAACCAUUCUAAUACCUGCUCUUUGAAUUCCAAUGUUCGCCUCAAAGUAUGCCUUGUUUAGGUCAGUCUUCUAUCUGCCGUCGCUGUCCAAGCUGCGUAUCCCUUACCUUAUUGCCUUACUUUCAAACUCAUGUCAUUACUAACAGGACUUUCACUACUGUCUCUAGCCUUGCUUUACAAGACCUAAAUCCUAUAUGUUUACCUACGACGAGACUCAACAUUCUGUUUCUAAGCCUUUAUAUUAUUCUUUAGUGAACCUACUAGCCUGCCCCCUUGUCUACUAAUACUUUUCAUACCGAUCAGGAUCUCCGCCUUGCUUCAUAUGAGCCUUGGUUUCAUGCUUUAACUACCCACUUGAGUAUUAUUACUUGUUAGCUUGAGCCUACCUCGCAUCUUUACUUGUUUAUUUCAUUAAAUAAUUAGAUAUUCAGUUCACAUAUAUAAUAUGGAUUAUUAUUCUCUUCUAUUUGAUUAGCGUCUAAAAAGUACAAUUCAUUUUCUCUUUUUACGGGUGCUCCUAUACAAAGGGUAUGCCAUGCGAUAAAAACUAUUAGAUCAAACUCCGCAGUCAAAUAAGAAAAGUACAAAUAAGGAAUAUCCAACAGCCAGUAGCAAUAAGGAAUCCAGCAGCCAAAGCCAAUUAUUUGUAUCAACCGUAGAGUCUUCUUUCUUCUCUAGAGAGCCUUCCUCCCGCUACCAACCAAGCCUUCUUGCGUGUAUCGACUACUAAGUAUUCCAUGCCUGCCUGCCUAGCUUUUCGUAAAAUCGGAUUGAUAUAAGAAUCAGAAUGGAGCUAGUGCUUCUUUAACUCGCUACCGCGUCAAGCAGCCCAAUAGCUCCUGCCGCGCUUUAACUCACUGGUUGAAGCCUUACUAACACAAGUUUCAGUCUGACGAAAACAUAUAUUGUAAUAACGGGAACUCUAGCGGCAGCGCCAUACUCUAAGCUAGACUCCUGACUCGCAUUCUUAUUGUUAGUUAAAGAAUAAUCCAACUCGAACCAAGACUGCGCCUGCUGCUGAUGGGACUAAACCUCUGUAUGGCAAACAAGAAUCUCCCUACUGGUAAACAGGCUUACUGUCCUUACUUCCAUUCUAAAUACGCUGGAAUCUACUAAUGCUCCUUACUUAUGAAAUUCCAGUUUGUGAGUUAGGGCCUGCCACUAUGGAAUCUGAUCCUUACUUAAUAGGCUUUUAGACUCAAACACGUAACUUAGACUUUGACUACUGCUCCUACUCUAUAUACUUGUUCUUAUACCUUCUUCUUCUUAUUAUUCUGAUUCUUGGAAGCUUUCCUGGCACUACGGAUUAUCGAACUGCCGAUUCAGGGUACCCUUACUUUUCGUCAACACCUUGAGACUUUCCUGCCUUUCUUAGUAACCUCAUCAGCAAUAGAGAUGAGCAUUCAAAACUCCAUUCUUCAGGAGUGAUUUCUGAACUGCUUGCUUCAUUUCGAACUCUGUAAGCGCCGAGGACCAAGGUGCUGAAAGCCAAUCAGAUACUGUUAUUGAGAGCGCAGAAACAGAUGCAUACUAGAUCUAGAGGAUCGGAUUGCUGUCAAAGAUGCAUUUAUUACUGAUGUCCCAUAUCUACUAUAUCUAAUAGGAAUGUAAAAACCCUUUCCUAACUACGAAGACAGGAUGGACAGGAAUUGCACCACUUCUGUUAGCGCCCCGAGAGUAAGCUAAUGCACAAGGGCGAAACAAUAAGAGGAUUGGAAGUAUAUAAACCGGUAAGAUUCAAAAGAAAGAGAAGCUAGUCAGAUUCAAAAGAAAGCCAAGCCAGUAGGAUUUCCAAGAAAGGGAAGUAACGCCGGUAAGUUCGUUGAUGCUAAGCUCGUAGACAAGUAACUACUAAUGGACAAGCAGCGGCGUCGGAUUACUGCUGACCUACUUCUAAUAUUCUUUAACUAUACUUUGAGAAUGGACAAGCCAAUCACCUCUUUCGUAGACAAGGAAGGCAGGACAAUCUGUUGACAUGGAGUUCAGUGGAGUUAUGGGCUUUCCCUUGUAUUUCUUUUGCAUCCUUAAAACACUUGUAUUGCCUUUGCAUCCUUAACUUGUAUUGCUUCCUUUCGAACUACAAUCUACUAAAUGACACUAUAACUCCCAUCUACUUAAACACUAGCACCCAAAGACACUCAGAUUCAGUGCGCUGAAGAAAAGGUGUUCAGUGACUUUCUGACUUAUUUAUAGAAGUAUAAGGUGUGCAGUGAGAUUGAAUAAGAGUGACGGGCGACUUAUUAAUUCGAAAUGAAACAAGCAACAGCUUGAGCAAAGGGAGAAAGUCAAGUUGAGUAGCCUGUCAAAGGUAUAAACAAGAGAGUGUUGAGUAGCCUGUCAAAGGUAUAAACAAGAGAGUGGAGUAUGAAAGAAAAGGUAUAAACAAGAGAGUUGAGUAUGAAAGCAGUAAGGAGGGAGGUGACUUCUUUCUAGAUGUGUAACGCUCUCUUCAACAAGAGCAAGGGCGCCAGUGGAAACUACUAUAGAUGCAACUAAGUGUCGGCCUACUACUGCUCCCCUACUAUAUUGCUCGCGUAUCCAGUAAAGUAUCCGCGUGUUCCCCCUGGUAUAGGUAGUUCAAAGAUGCUUUUUCUCAUCGAACAGCGGAAAAUGCAAAUACCUUUCUUUACUCCCUGGGCACUUCCUUCGUCUGCUUUCUUCCGCCAGUACUCUUCUUGCUGCUAUUAUACUAUUCUCUUCUCUUUUCUUUUCGCCCGCCUAAACUCACCGACUUGGAUAUUCCUUUUACGUACGUGAAUUAGUCCCUUGCUUGGCUACUUUAUUACGCUAUGAUUCCCAAAGAGAAAGAAAUAGAGGUAAGCUGGUAGGCUAGGCAAAGUCAAAUGGUAUAGUAUAAAUAUGUCCUUAUCUCUCUAAACAGGGGGCAAAUAUCUUUGGUGGUUGAAUUAGCUCAAAAAGAAAGGAAAGGCCUUCUAAAUCAAAAAGCAAGAAGGUUUCAUACGAGGAGUUAGAAUACAAUAACCGGAGGUGUAGCUAAUGACAAUUCGUGUUGAGUCUAUUUUGGUAAUGCUUGAGAAAGAUUGUUCUUUACCUUACCCUUCCCACCGACCUGUUGUUUUCCUUCCCCGAAUAGAUAGACCUUUUUGUCUUAGUGCAGAUCGAAGAAGAUAUUGUUGGUUGAAGUCACCAAGCAACUACGUAAGUAGCGCGGUAGCGAGCGAAACUCCCUAGUCGAUUGGAAUCCCUAGACGAAAGAGCUAUAAAUAGAAAAAGGCUUACUUGUCUCAGAGGCCCAUACGCAGUCCAUAGGACAUAGAAAAGGGACAUUAGGAUCGAUAGGACAUAGAAAAGGGACAUUAGGAUCGCUGACUUCUAUCUAGACAUUAGGAUCGCUGCCUUCUAUCUAAUAGUAGAGGCCGCAUUUAGCUCAAAUUGGGACCCUUCUCAAGUCCAGAAGAGAAGAUCCAUUCUAUACCAGGAGCAUAGCUUUCUAUUUUUCUACCAUUGGCCCGGAAUACUACUUCUUUGUAUCAAUGGCCCCAGGAGUGCCCAUCCACAGUGUUUCAUAGGUGAAGAAAGAGGCUCUCGCUUCAUAGCUUCUUUCUAGAGCCAGAGCUACAUCUUAAACAACUGGCUUGGCUUCCAAAUAGGCUCGAGCACUAGGACAUAGGAUUUCCAGCUUGCUCAAAACAAAAUAACCCUGCUUGGAUCACCUCGAUUCUUGCUUUCCUGGAUCGUUAACCAAGGGGCAGUGGGGUCGGGUAUAAAUGGCAGCCUAUGAUAAGUCAAUUCUGCACUGCAAGAAAGUCAAAUCAAAAAGCAAAAGAAUCACCGGAAGUAGGAACUUGGUAUAGGUCUUACGCAUAAGUUCUAGUAUAGCACAAUAUAUAAUUAGGGGUCGCCCGAGCACCAAAGACUUUUGCAAAGAAAAGUAAACUAAACAUUCAGUUAUUAUUUAGGAAGAAAUAGAAAGUACAACUUCCCCGGAAAUCCCAAUGGAGGUCUAUCUCUACGAUUAGUAUAGUUUACGAGUUCCUAUCUCUCAUCCGUUAGAGAGAAGGAGAUUCAAAUCUAGGGCCAAGCAGACGCCAAGUCACUACUAGACAAACAACAACUAACGGCCAAGAUGAGAUAAAAAGAUCGAAUUGAGAUGAGAUUGAGAUAGCAAGAUUGGAUUUCGAGAAGAAGCCCUUUUCAAAUAGUGACAUCUAUCGCUUUAGCCCGCUAGAGUAGUUUGCUUUACAGACCAAGAUUGAGGAUAAGACUAUGAAGUUCGAUGAAACAAGUGUGUUUAAAAGCUAUCCGACAAGCUAUUGAUUGGUAAAGAUAUGAUUACAGUUUCUGAAUUUAUAAAGCAAAAGCCUAUUCCAAAAGGAUGGAACUAGAAUUAAUGAGUUAGGUCACGCUGGAGGCUAUCAUUAUUGAUGUAUUAGUGUACAACAGUGUACAGGAUUUCUCGGUAGUUCGGGUAUCUACUGCGAUCGAACAGCUUGAUUCUGCUGUACGAGUUCAAGCGGUUACUAUGUCAAGAAAGAAAGCAGCGGCUAGUUGUAAGGAAGAUGUAAGGUGCUCCGGAUGAACGAGAAAGGAAGGGCCGCCUCGUACUUUUGAGACUCCUCUCCUUUAGUCGCCCCUUCACUUCGACUUAGUUUCGGUGCUCGCCCUAACCUAUUAAAAGCUAGUGCUCAAGCCUAAACCUUACAACUAGUAUAGCACUCACUCCCUUUUGGGUGAAAUAAGAGUUCGCCGCUUUCUUCCUUUUUCUUUUGACCUUUCUUUUGAGUUGUCUUCGAUUCUAAGCUAAGCCCUAUGUUCCGAAUCGAUUUUGAUGAUUCACGUCUAAAUUAGUUCCCCAGAGUACAGACAAGGAUCAUGAUUACCUCUUGGCUCUUUGAUAAAGGUACAAGAGCCGCAGACGGAAGGCAAGGAAAUUUCACCUACAGAAGGAGGAAAGCACUUCGAAGUCAAACUCUUAGAUGGACAGAUGUCGACACUUGAGUCAAAGUCGGAAACCGACAGUACAAAAAGAACGAAUUAUUGUCAUGAUCGGAAACGAGAUACCACAAUGUGUCAGAAAGAAAGGGCCACGACAAUCAAUCUUUCUCUCAGACUACUCUUUCAAACAAAGUAAACUGCAACAACUAACAAAUCCCAAAGAUUGGAAAAGAAGAGACCCUCCCCCAAGGCUGUAACCUCUAAAGGGUCCGCCUAAUAAUCCAGCGAAACUCCCACUUCUAUAAAGAAAGUGGCCGCCUACGGGAAAGAUAGUAGUACGUACAAAAGGGAUGCGGCAUGACUGCUGUUUUAUUGACUUUCAUUUCUGCUGUUAGCAUGGUUUGAUGGCAUAGAAUCAAUAGUUUACACGCACAAAAACAAAUAGAAAGAAGUAAGGGAAUUUCAUAGGUGACUUCUUACUCGGAUUCAUGCCCAGACUCGGACGCAUAAUGAACUUAGGGGGUGCCUUAAUAUCUUAAUCUAAUAGAAAAGGGCUUCUUGCUGCCGUACUUGGAUUAUGCCUCCGGAAUCGCUAAGUCACACAUAUCUUCUCAAAUGGGAUGAAAGAACAAAGCAUUCAGUGGGCGUUAGGCUGUUGAUGGGGGCGCUGCUAGUGAAAGAAACGGACAAGGCCUCAAAGCUGUGAGCCCUCUAUCUUUUUCAGGAAGCAGAGAGAGCAAUCACACAUUUCUACCAGGCACGUAUCGAAGUAGAAGAGGAAGUUGGUCUUACCAAAACACAUUCGCCAUUGCUCUCGGCGGAAGCUUUAGCUGUUGUUGGGAUUGUGGAACUAUGUGAAGGGAGAAAUUAGUCAAAAGGUCCGAUCAAACAUCCCGUGCAAGCUAAUCGGCUUUUAUGAGCAGUCUGACUCACACUUUGGACAUUGAUUAAUGGGCUCGAGACAGCGAAAGCAUGAUAGCGGGAAUGCUGGUAGAGCAAUCGAAGCUAGGGUUUUCUUUUCGAAAAAGAAACGGAGUUAAAGGAAAGGGCGCUGUGAACACUCGGUUUGACUAAAGCGCGUCACGUCUUAGCUUCAAUUCACUCUUAUAUUCGUACGUUUUGAACAGUUCUUUUUCUUCUCAUUUAUAUUACAUUACGAGAUUUCUGCCUUAAGGGAAGAAGGUCAUACUAAUGCGACUAAGACGACUCCGUCCGCCUAUAACUAGAAAAGCUUGAAAUCUACUAUUUCCCAGUCCGUAAGCUGGUUCAAUUACACCUGAUAUGCCAACCGGACAACUUUGGGGGAAGCCUCAUUCUUGCGCACCCACUCUUAGAUGCGGUCCUCACCUGGAUCUUAUUACCUCCACUAGCAAUAGAACUUCACUUAUGCUCCUAACCAUACCCUCCCUAAGGAUCUGACUUAUUGAAGCGAGAUACAGGAACUGCCGAGCGGAGCAACUCGAGUUAGACGAGAGGCGGGGAUGUCAUUUCCAAGAGAGAAGAGGCUCGACCGGACCCAAGAACAAACCUAGACAAAGGAAAGAAGACAUGCCCCACUGUGAUACCUCGUGCAAGUUCUACGGAAUUACCUGAAAGAAGUCAUUAGCUUCUUGAUAUUGAGUGUGCCUUAGCUUACCUUGAGCAGGGCCUCUGCCUAUGUAUAACAACGUCCUUGUCGACGACACCCCCUUUUUGUCCAUUGGCGCGAGUCAACUAUACUUAAGUAGGGAAUUGCAUGCGAGACUUCCAGGGUUUUCUUUAUAUUUCAAGUGAAAGCUGGAUGAAAGGCAAAGGCUCAGAGGAUUUGAUGUCAAAAGAAUGCCCUACGAACGUGCUUUUCUUGAUCUACAGUGCCAGGGUUGCUUGGUAAGAUAGACCUACGAUCGAGGUUUCGUAGCCUCGUGCUCCAACUAGAAAAGCUAUCUGUCGGUCAGUCAAUCCAUUCAUUCAAUUAAGUCUUUGCGAGCGGGGCACGAGAUAAGACAUGAGAUAAUGUGUUAUGGUUAUUAAAGAUGAGGAAGACUUGGUUUAAAGCAAAUAUCGAUUCCAGGUUCACCUUGUUUUCGUGAGUUUUCCCAUCAUAAAGGAAUGGGGACAUUGCGAGAGACUCUCGAUUUGCUGCUAUACAUUUGGAGAAAGUGGAAUAAGAAAGGCCUUAUACCGUAACAACAAAGAGGCUGAUUUGAUAACGUUAGGAUAGGCGCACGGGGCUAGACCCAUCGCAGACCAAAAACGAAAGCCUUUACUAAGCCUAAGAAAAGCUUGUCAAAAGACCCCCGAAGAGCUGACCUGACCAAAGCUAGGGCAUUUAGGCUGUUGGUCGGUAGGUAAAGACCUGUUGGGGACUUUCCAAAAGCUCCUUUCGACCUCAGCUACACAACAAAGACCGAUACAAAAGAAGGGGACCUGACUGGGGGAAGAGGCUAGGAAUAUAGUCAAUGGAUGAAUUUCACCCUAUUGCUUACACCAGAGAGGCUAGUGAGAUCGAUAGAGAUAACGAGGCCAGGCGAAGAGACCCAUUCUGUCUUUCUUUAUUAAGAGAACGGGAAUACGGAAUGGACCCAUACGUAUUAAGAGAACGGGAAUACGGAAUGGACCCAUACCCAUACGCUCAUUUUGGACCGAAGCGAGAGAUUCCUCCUCUCUACUCUUCCGCUUAUUCGAUUAACUCGGCUAUUGCAGAAAGUGAACUUCCAUAAUACUGUAAAACACUUUUAGAGAAACUAGCAUCUUGCAUCUCAAUUCACUAGCACAGCCCUUCUUCCGCUUUGACCAAGCCUUGAGGAGACUACUGGCUAGGAGAGAAAUACUCUAAUGAAAGGAGGGGCGGAUGUGACUAUACAAAACUAGAUCCAUAAGAGGGCAGAGCCUCGGCUCACGUUUUCACUAAAAGAAUCAAGCGAGCCUUUUCCUCAUGGAUAGAUGCAUUUCCACCUAUUGCUUAUAAAGGACCAGACCCACCAAGAGAUCGGAUUAGAUGAAGGGGAGGAGAGAGUACUACUAUGUGAAAGAACGCUAAUCGCUUAAGGAAUAGAAUCUUAUAAAGAAACGGAAUCCACAGCAAUCGAUGAACUGAGCCCAAGCCCACCUGCAGCUAAUGAGAAAAGUCCUACCACUGACAGAAGUUUCAUAAGCAAGCAAAGAACCAAACCAAUCUCCUCUUGACCCGGCAAAGAAAGAAAGGAACGAACGGGAUUCACACCGGCAACUCCCAAAACCAGAUUAACUGGGGAGCCAGCAAGAAGGGCAGGAGCUUUUUCAACCGAGGCUGGGGGAGAUAUUUACACAGAUGUAUUUCAAUAAAUAGGAAUGAAGAAGCCCCUAAACAGAAUGACAGAGACGAAAGAAGUGGAAACUUUCACAUUAGAACAGCCCAACGGUAUAGACUACAUUGGAUUAAUUCAUUCUGAUAUCUUUGAAUCGGUCUCAAGUCUGAGGUCAUAGCAUCCUUGCUGGAAAUAGUUCCUCUCCUCAGGCCCUGGCCUAGUAGCUCGGGUCGGGCAUGCCCUUUUCUUCUUUCUCGUCCAUGAAGCCUGGGGUCCUUUAAACACUUCUCCCCCCACGUGCCCAAACCGAUCGCUAUCGUUUUCUUGCUUUCUUGUUGUCUUGAAUUUGGAUAGAACGGCUUUCCUUUUAUUGUGUAGUGUGUUAGAAAUUGACUUUGUUAAGUAAGUGCAGUUCGUGGUUUCUGGGUAUGCCCCACUCACGGUUAAGAAAGAAUCAGGUGAGUUUUUAGUUGAGCAAAGGGCUUUCUUCCUCUAAUAAAGAUAUAUUCUAAAUAGAGAAGAGAAAGAUAAUCCAACUACGGCUUAAACAACGCAUAAAGGCCAUAUUAGACUACUAGAGCUCCUUGUCGUUUCGGGGAGUACGCGUACAAAAGUUGUAUACGAGAAUCUCAUUGGGUGCAAGCGAGUGUUGUCGUUUCGUUCUUAACUUCUUCAGCGCUAAGUUAAUCAGUAGAAUCCCCUUCUUUUCCGUAGAAUCCCCUUCUUUGGGUGCGAGUUUUGAAGUAUAAGUAGGUUAUUGUUGAGUUGAGUCUCAUAUAGAAAGGGAAAGGGUCAUUAUUGAAUAAGAGGUGAAGCAGUGCCCAGAUGAAGCUGUUUAGUUUGAAUUGUGGAAUGAAAUAUAGCCUAGUGUUUCUUAGGUUUGUAUAGAUAGAUCUUGGUAACCUGACAUUCCAAAGCCCCCAAAGUAAGCUGAUAGAGCGGCCAAGUAACUACGUAAGUGACGAAGAAUCGAAUCUCAAAUCUCAUGUUGAGGUGAAAUAAAUAUCAUCAGCUGGGUACUUAGCAAGAGGGGGGCAAACUACGGCAAAGGUCUCUGUCUAUGUGUUGGGAGUUCGAGCAAAGGUCGUAGAGAUAGGGAUGCUGUGUAUUUACUCAAUUCUUUACGGGGCUCGGUAAGAGGUAUAUUCUCUAUUCUUAUAUUACAGCGCUAUAUGGAAUAUCUCUCGCUUUCGUUGCUUGUCCGUUAGUAUACGCUUGCACUUAUUAACAUUCCUUGCUCCGGUCCGGGCUGCUACCCCAAAAUAGGAAAGAAAAGCAAGGUGCUAAGAGCCUGUUUAUAGCUCAAAUGCACAUCCAGCAAUUAAGGAAGUGCAGAACCGCGCUCUAAGGAAUAUCAUAUAGUGCACAAGUUAUGUAAAUCAUUAACCUUACUUCUAUUACUAGAAAUCAUUAACCUGACUCUGUUACUCUAAGCUAAGUCUGCUCUACGGAAGGAAUAUGCCUGACUCUGUUUGUUACUCUAAGUCUGCUCUACGGAAGGAAUAUGCCUGACUCUGUUUGUUACUCUCUUCUCUAAGUCGGCUCUACUCUUACUCUACGGAAGGAAUAUGCUUAGGGCUUUCUGAAGACGGAUUCGAUUGAUUCAUUUCUUAGUCUAGCUAUCCACAGAAGAAUAACAAACUACUCUGGAACUCACAUAAGCACUUUAAGAACAAGAACUCACGUUAGCACUUUGGCGAAAGAAAAUCAUUGAGCGUUCACAGACAGAGUGCAUAGAAUUCAUGAAAUAUAGGCUUACUUAACUUACGGAAAUAGAAAUCUCAUAUAGGUGAAAACGGAUAAUAGAGUAACCUGACUGCCAAAAGCUUGUUUAUUAGCAUAGUAUAGAAGAAGUAAACAAACAUGGAUUACCUUUAAUCACGAAUGGAGUUUACCCUAGACAGCACGAAUUAAGGCAGCCUUACCCUAGACAGCACGAAUGGAGUUUACCCUAGACAGCUUAUUAAAGGAUAGAAGGACAGAGGCAUAGGCAACACAGCUUAGCUUAUUAAAGGACAGAGCAGAGGACCGUGUGUUAUAAGCUUAUUAAAGGAUAGAGCGGAGGAUCGUGUUAGAUUAGAUGAGUACUCGAUAGAGCAGAGAACAGUGUUAGAUAAGUACUCUCUGUGAACCCUUGCUUGUUCGGGUGUUGUCGACAAGAAAGAUCUUAUUGAUUGCUCUGACUCUAAAGAAGAGCAUCUCUCCUAGCAUAUGAUAACUGUAACCUGACAGCAAACUAACUUCUUGCUUAUUGUAUUGUAGUUCGGGGUGUUAACGUUCUUUAAAUGGAAUCUAGCAUAACCAAUAUCCGAGUAGUAAACAACCUCUCUAAAGCAAAACCAAUAAAGGAAUAGUAUACAAUCUAUCUAAACCUAGCUAAACCAAUAACCAAUAUGAUAGUAGUAAACAAUCUAUCUAAACUCUCUUAUUGUGUUGCGCGGUACACCACGAAACUAAGGAUGGGCACCUGGGGUAAAGUCAAAAAAUGGAGUAUAGUCCCCUAACUCACUAACGCCGAUGAACAAAGGACACUUGUCUUGAUGCAAAGACGGGUUCUUCAGAUGGAAUUGAUUCUUACCUUCCAAGCAAGCCUUUACUAGAUGAUGAUAAAGAUCUGUCUUCCGCCCAACAAGCAACUCAACAAGCAACGAACGAAUAAGAAACUAACUUACGUGAAAAAGGAGGGAUGCAAAGGGCUAAGGCUAACAUGUAGUAGAGUGAAGUUACUCAUCGCCAAUCACUGAUUGAAUUGCGGAUUUCAAAUCGAACAGAUGAUGGACACUAGCGGCCCUGACGCCUUUUCAUUUUGACUUGCUUGCCCAGAACCAGUUCCAAUUUCUUUAUUACUUGUUAUGCUUUUGUAGUAGUAGCUUGGCUGGAUGAAACGGAAACUACGGAUUCUCUAAACUCUAAGGAGAAGGAUACCUCGCUCGCGCACCCUUUCCAAAAUCAAGGUAUCGUUGCUACUCCGUUUCAUUGUCUCCCUUUCUUGGAUUUCCAUUUCUUUUGCCGACCUAAACUCUCACAUCGUCAAUCAGUAUUCGGUGAAUGUGUGGCGAGCUUUUCCACUUCCGAUAUAGUACCUAAAUGUUGGAUUUGCUAUUAGCUACUAAGAAUAUAGGUUAACCGACUCGAAUAAGCUUUCUUAAGCCCCUUGAUAGUGCUCGAUAAGACCUCUUGAUAAACCACAUACACUUCCGGGUUUGAAAUGACACUUCUUUUCUUGUCCCGCUAUAGCUUCUUUCUUGUACGGAAUAUGGAACUUCUUCUUACUCAACUUCUAAGGCACUCGCUGCGUAACCUUAUUGUAUGGGGUUAGGGUACCUAUCAAUAUGAUUCUCUUCAAGCAAGUUGUCCAUCUGAUUCUUUUCUGCACUUUCUAACGCGCUUAAUAGAUGUUGCUUCUUUGUUUGUUUACUUCUUCUAUAAUCCAUGUGCAUUCAAUUCCAUUCGGAAAGGCUUAUAUAGGCAAUAAGCAAGUACUUGGGCAAUAAGAAAGUACGCGGCAGGGCAAAAAAGCCGUAUAGUACCAGGGCAAAAAAGCCGUAUAGUACUAGGGCAUCUCCUCUUUCACUCGUAUUGUAUGAAAGUAAUAUGCUUUGCGCUAACGUUUGUUUCUACUUUACCUGGAUACCGCACAGCUUUGCUUAAUCGCUACGUUGGCAAAAGAAAAGAGUGGAUUUGAUGCUGAACCCUAUGCCUCCGCCUUACCAUGAACCUGAAUUGAAUGCUUGACUUGCUCCUUACGCUCGCUGUAGCUCAAACAAAGUAGUAAAGUAGAGUUGCACAGGACUCAAGUACUUAAUUAUUCCCUCGCCUUGCGCCCAGACUUGAUAGCCUUCUUUCAGCGCGCAGACUUGGAACAUGGGUUAUACGACAUCUUGCUUUCCCCUACAAGUAUUAUCAGAGCAUUGUCGGGAGGCAAGAUUCGGAAUUGAUUCCAACAAUGGAAGUUUACCCCCCCGACGAGCUCAGUUCUUUGCUUUCCUUUUUCCGACCUCAACACUGAUUGAAUUGCAGAUGAAACGAAAACAGAACAUUCUCCCCACUACUAUCUUCUUAACCGAACUCGACUCGUACCUUAUACUUAAGCUAGAGAAGGAAUGGAUGAAUUUCCGAACUCGUAUAAUUCACUCCUGGUCUUCUUCGAAAGAUUGCUUUUCGACAAUCCCACGUUGGCACCCACCUAUAAUCCCACGUUUCACCUAUUUCCUAACUAUAAACUAAAGGAAGUAUCUCCUUUAUAGUGUAGCUCAACGCUUAGAAGUUGAAGAAGUAAAGCACCUUCUCUUGAGGAACUACUUAUUCUAGCUAGCUCUAGAAGAGGAAUAACUCCUAGCUUUGGUUGAAACUAUAAGUUAGUGCGGGUAUUGUCGAGCUGGCCCAAAUUCCAACUGGAAAGAAAACGCCCCGUAGUUGAGAUCAGGCCUCUAAGAAACAAGAUUCGCUCCAUCUUGAGGAUCCGCCCUAUCCUUCUAUUAAACGAUGUUGUUAGAUGGUGAGCUCUUCUUUAUGGAGGUGCUCCUCUGGGCUUAGUUAGCUCUUGCUUCAGUCUUUUCUACCUCUUUCUUCUUGUAGCUAUUGCCCUAUUCCCUCUAAACAAGACCCGGCUUACUCGCUGGCGGAUCAAAGCGGUUUUUUCCUACUUUACCUCUUUUGUUGCUUUUGGGGGUUAGCUCUUCCUGACAAACCUUCUUGAGUGAGAUGCCACUAAAACAGGAGAGGAGAAAGUGAGCUCUUUUUUAGCUCCUCGCUGCUCUAGUCUGUGUAUAACUGCAAUUAAUGAAGCGCGCGGCACUCAGCGAUCUCAGGGCUUACUUGGAAGACUCUUCGGCAAAGGGCGUUGCUACUUGUGACUACUUAUAGUGAUGACCUACUUAACUCCCAGCUACCAAAUACAGCUCUAAUGGGUCGAAGCAAGGGCGGUGAGGCGAGUUGUCGAAGUUAUUGUAUGAGAGGAUGUGGUGAUUCUAUUUUCUUCCACUUUAGAGCUUGUGAUUGAGGAACUUUGCAUUUGAUUAACGAAGUGAUUGAGCAUUUAACUAGCACCUUAAUGAUUGCAUAUAGAAGACUACUUUUCAACCCUAGGGGAAUGGACUGGCGGAGUCGACGAAUACGGUGCUGGAGCUAAGAUAUUAGGCAAAUCCUUAUAUCAAAUCAAUAUGGGGGCGUAGCGAUCAUCAGUAUUUGUUCGUUUCUCUAAUAAAAGGAGGUUGGAACUUGGAACUAGAUGCCUUCCCCCCUUUGGUCGGUAAGUAAUUCUAACAAGGGAAGAUCAGACUCAUAAAAAGAUCAAACCAAAUAAAAGCUACACACACUGUAGAUUCUUGCGUUGCGCUAGGAAAAGUGGCUUGUGCCAAAAUGUAGGGUGAAGCUGCAAAAUCCAAUGCCUUCUUUGCUUCUUCGGGGAUGCUAAUGCUCGCUUCUUUUUCUUUCCUUGCGUGCCUCUUUCUUCGCGCUGCUCCUUCCAUAGCCUAUCGCAGCCAACACACCUUUGCGAAAUCCUUUACUUAACCCAUUUUUCGAAAAAAGAGAAACCUGCCUUACAAACCGAGCUCGGGCCCACCCCCUUGUGAAAAGAAUUAUGGCUCUCCCCCGGUCUGUCUCUAUGCUUAAUUCCGGAUUUCUCCCUUCUUCCCUCUGCUCUGUGAACGUACCGAACCUUCAUCCUUUAUUAUGCCGCAUUCGACUAGAGAACGAAUCUAGAUAGCAAUCAAACCUUAUGGCUUAGAUUACCUAGACGUUAGAUUCCUCAGUUGGCAUUCUAGUAGGCUUUUGGAUUUGCCUUUCGCCGGGUUGGAACAGGGCAGUCGCCUGCGUUGAUCCCUUGUUGGAAACGAUUCGGCUGUGUCAUUCGAGUAGUCUUUUCAAUGUGUGCUCUUCUCUUAACAAGGCCUUUUUCUAGCCAAAGAAUUCGAAUGGUGAUGAAAGUAUUGAGACAAGGAGGGAUGCAUGGUACCCACGUUACUAAGCCUUAUUCCCUAUGUUUUUCGGCCUAUUCUAUAGGAGAACUCUUCUUCUCACGCUUACAAUGACCCCGAGUAGGACGAGCUGGCAAUCUCCGAAAAGGGUUAUCAGGCUCAUGGCCAAGAGUCGCGUGGUGAUCAAACUCUGGACGCACCCACGCUUUCAACAAAACAAACUGGGCUAAUAUAUGUACCUGAUGAUUGCGAGGCCCUUUACUCCACCUAUUGGCAUAGGUUAGAAAUAAAUGUACUUGACCAAACUCACUAAUAAGAAUCAACGUUGGGACAGAAACUCACAUCUAUUCUAUAUUCCUAUCUCCUAAGCACGAGACGAGCCAUAACCUAAGGGGCGCAUUAAAACACUCGCUGGAACAUAACUAUGAGGCUUUGAGGGGUCUUCUAAAGUCAAGCGCUUUUCGCAGUAAAAGCACUUUGUUUGGGAAGUUAUACCCGAAAUGGCUAGUAUCCGGUAUUGUAAAGCAUUCCUCACGGCUGUAACUGGCAAGCUACUACGACACUUCUGAUUGUUGCUAUUGUUGCUAUUAUAGUGGAUGCACUAGACCACACCAAUGAAUUGAAGAAUUAGAGAAAGAAAAGGUAGACUUAGAGCAAAGAGGGGAAGGCCGAGAUAAGGUAUAGUAGGAAUAAGAGAUAGGGCUGUUAUAAUAAUCGAAAGUUAAGUAGUAUUGAUAGGGUGGAAUCAGAAUCAAAGGAGGGAGGGUCUCAGAAGCUAGGUUCCGAUGCAGUGGUCCAAGGCUGAAAGACAGGAAUAUCGGAUUCGAAGAAAGGUGCUUCAAGCCUAAACAAUCGAACUACAAAAUACAAAUAGGUAAUGUCCGCUUUAUGGAUAGGGAAGCAAAGAUCCAUAUCGAUAGCUAAAGAAUUCAAAGAGAAAGUAAUAGGAUAGAUCUGUAUUUAAAGAAUCAGAAGAAAAGUUAGGGUAGUUAGCCCUGUUAGCAGUAGUCAAUUCCCCGGUUCGAGUUGUUUUCUUAUUGGCAGUGUUCGGAUUCCCUUUUCUCUUGUUUCAGUAUUGUUUGCCCUAACUCGAUUCUUUUGUGUUAAUAGUGAAAGGCUGUUUGCCAGCUGCUCAAUUCUUAUUGAACUAGUAUCAAUCUUAUAUCACUGUAACGUUUAUAAAUACAGAAUCACUAUAAGGAGUCACAGGCUAAGAAAAAGGAAAGGCAGACUAAUAGACAGGAAUUACAGGCUAUUACAACAGAGGUAAAUACCUUUUUGAGAUCCGUAGCCUAAGAGCGACAGAAGCUAGUAGGUAGGGGACUACAGUCUAUAAGCUAGGAUACAAAGAGCAGCACCGGAGAAUGAGAGCUCAGGGAUAUAGAGACUUAAAGCAGGCAAGGGAAAGCUUGGAAGCACUAGUUCCUUUUUUCGAUAUAGUAGUAUAGUUCCAAUGGUAUAGUCGUUUUCUUCCAGGAAUCCAUCUUGCUUAGGGUCGGGUCAAACAGUUCUCUUUCGAGCACAGAGCAGAGGUCGACCACCUAAAGAAAGGGGCAUGCAAAGUCCAAAGGAGCUGCGGAUUCUUCUGCUUCAAGUAAAACACCCGAAGAAACUCCACUUUCUUCCUUAAACACGAGCAACCGUAUAAUAGAAACACGAGCAACCGUAUAAUAGAAGUUAGCAACUUUGAACUCACAAACUGACUAUAAGGGCCUCAACUCGACUAUCUUCUUACUCGACCUAAACUUGAAGAACCGAUUGCAGCUUACCGCUUUGAUACCGAUGUUUCAGAUCCAAUUACCUCUUUCUAAUACAAUACACCUUUCUUUCUCUAUUUCUCUUAUAGCAGCUGCGCCAACUGUUUGAUUUGAAACUGCUGAUUCUAUCUCUCCGACCUCAACUUGAACCCUUUACUUAUCCUUUUCAUGGCAAGUUCCCUUUGGUGGCUUCUUUGAAUGUGGAAAAGGAGAAGUCCAGCUCUCUUUCACUGCCUUACUUUGGACUUUAUCUAGCCAAAGAAAGACCCGCAUUUGCGCCAAAGCCAAAGACCUGCCGCCAAGCCCAGGAAGCUCAGUAUUCUUAAUCCAGGAAGCUCUUUAUUCAGGAUGCUCAUUCUUCUUAAUCGAAUAUUAUCUUACUUCCAAGGCAUAACAAAUCGAAUAUAUUACUUCUUCCAAGGCAUAACAAAUCAUCAUUAUUUGGGCAAAGAAAGGAUGCAAUAGCAUCGGUUAGAGCAAAGCCCCCGCAUAAUAAUUGUUUCGCCAAUGAGAGAUUUCACGUCACGGAAUUAAUCGAGGCGAGGAAGGGAAGUUAAGGACGGUUCCAAUAUAGACUGCUGUUUCCACUAAAGCAAUUGUAGCAGCUCUAGCACCCAUUUCUUUUGCAACCUUAUUCAUUUAUUACCUUCUAACAUCUCUGUCGAGUUUCUAAUUCUCGUCACUUUCAUUCACGAUUAUCUCUUGACUCGUUGAUUCUUGGGCGGACGGGCAUGAUUUUCGAUAUGUUUGUUGUAUAGUGGCAUUGGCUCACAGACACAGAAUGAAUUGACUGCUGCAUAUACUAUACUUUAUCACUAAUCAAAGGUAUUACUAAACUUGAUUCACUAACUCAAAGUCUUGGUUGGAGGGAAGGGGCGGGGCGUCGCUGAAGUGCAAUAGAGAUUCUUCAAACAAAUCGUAGUUAGGACCGUUUUCUUCAAUAUCUCGAGUUUAGCCAUGCAAAAGACUUCCUUCGUUGGAAACUAUUGCUAUUUCAUUUCAUCAAAAUAUGGGAGUUGAUGCUUUCUAUUCUAUAAAGUACGCUUCCUCACGAAUCUCUCUCUAAGGAGACAUAUUCCUUUUUGAUUCUAGUCAUGGUUCAGAAAGAAUAUGAAAUGCAAAAGUAUUUCUUGCAAGUCCCUUUAUUUUGACUCAAUGAUCCGAUCCACAUUUCCUGAAGCUCGUAGGAUUAAAGCCUAAUCCCGUAACUGUUCUAUGUUCAUUGAUUGCAGUGCGGAACUCUGUGAGAAAAGAGAUUAGUUCUUCGUUUUUGAUAAUUGUCUAAAUGAUUAUAAGAAAUAUUCCUUAGCGCGCGCCCCCCAAUAGUCUUAUCAUGGGUUCCAUGGGCCAUUUCUCUUAUAUCUUUCUUUCUAUCAUUUGAAUGCAUUUUACCUAUGACAUUAUCGCUCUGCUCUCCUUUAGGUUUCCUUUGCAUCUUGCACACCAUAUGCGCCUCUCUGGGAUUUCCUUCGUUCCAAAGCGAAGUCUUUCCCCUAUUCUUUCGUUUUGACCGAGCAAGGCUUUGCUUUUCACUUGAAAGGAAGGGCCACUUCGCGCUUGACUAAUAUAGAGGGCUUUCGGGUAUGACAAUUAAGAGCCUAUUUCGUGCUUUACUUGCAUUGGGGUCAUAGGUGGCCAUGUGAUUGAGAAAAUGCUCCUUGCUCCCUACUCUUUUCAAAAGAAGAAACGGAACUCCUACUUAUUGAAGAAACUGAACUCCUACUUGAUUGAAUAAUAUUGAGAGGGCUAUUGAUUGGCACCCUCUUGAAAAGGCACCGCACCGAUUCACUUUAGCUAUUGCCAUGCUCCAUGAUGCCUAUGUGUUACUAUAGCGAGUCACCUUGUAUGCAUUCCGAGCGAGUUACCUUGUAUGCUUUCUUAUCUCUUUCGCUUCCUUUUUGAUUGUAUUGAUUUGCCUUACUACGAAGGGGACAUCUACUUUCUAUUCUCAAAAUGGGUUGGCUUUUGACUUUCUCUCUUUAUUCUUUUUGCAUCGAGGAGCACGUGAUACUAGGAACUUGGUUUUGCAUUGCAUCGUGAUACUAGUCACUUUGCCCAUUGGAUUGCAGCAUCACAUCAGAUCUGAGAAGAAAGAUUUGGGUCUGGGAGCCACGAUCAGCAAUAAAGCCACGACAGAUCUCAACAGGACUCACUAGUUUAUCAGCACGACAGAUCUAAACAGGCCGUUAGUUGUAGCUUGGCGUGCCUUAACCGCUUGCUACUGGACUAUUGACCCUUGCUUGUACCGAGUAAACUCAUUCCAUUCCAUUCUGAAGUAUACGCUUGGCCUUAAUAACUAGUGAUUUGAGUUCCCGAACACCCCAGCACAGCACAGGACUUGCUCACUCCCUUCGAAAGUAUACCCUUUUUCCCUAUCGUCUACUUUUAUUGCACUGUUUCGAUUUGGCUUAAAGUCUACCCCCGAACUCUACUUUCAACAGGUGAUUUUCUUACUGAAACACUCCAAUCUAUACCUCUCGCUACUGAUUGACACCGCGCUUCAGUAUUAAGUAAGUUGGGCCAUAAUAAACAAAGUCAAGGCAAGCAGGAGGAAGGCCAUGCUACUGCUGACUUUAUACCGCUCCGUGGGCAUUAAAAGAGAUGAGGCUGACUUUGACUUGUACGAUGAAACGGAAACUGGUUACUCGCGCCCUUGCUUCAUAGAUUACCCUCCCUGCCUGGAACCCUGCUCUACUGGCUACCAUUCUCACUUCACUACCUUUGUUUUCACCCUAUAACUAGCGCAUCCAACAAUGAACCAAUCAACUCGUAAUUGAACUGCUACGGCUAAGACUUUCGCUAGCGCUAACAAGAAUGUAUCCUCUAACUCAAGCUACUGGAUCCGAUUAUUACUACCUUGUCCUUAAUUCUGACUUGAAUGCCUACGCUUGGCUGUUAGCCUCCCACUAAGGAUCUAACAUCUCUAUUGGCCCCUUCGACUCCUUACUCAUAUGACUCAUAUGCAAAUAUUGAUUCCUCGCUUUCACACCUGAUUGAGAGUUGACUUAUGGCUUCCCUUGCCGACCUAGACCCUACUUUAGAACCAGAACUUUACCACUACCCGAGCCCAGUAUAAGUAAGUCUACUACCCUCCCCUAGUGAAGGAAGGAAACUGGAGUAUCUAUUUGCUAUCAGGCAAGUCGACAACUAGGUUCAUUCUUAUACAACUGAGUUCUAUCCUAAGGCCUUGUAUGCUUGUCUGUUUGCUCUUCUCUUUAUCGCCAACGCUCUAUAGCACUCUUCACUUCCAUUCUUUAAUGCCUUUUGACUAAUUCUUUCUUUUUCAUGUCUACAUUUCGCUUUCAAAAGGAAGGAAUGCACUCAUAUUCCUAAUGCCCAGAGGAGGACAAGGCCCGCAGCCCUGCCUUUCAUGCGUUCUGCACGUGAAUAAGAAAAGGAGCCCUAUUUCAGUGCUGUUUCAGAUGGCUUAUUACGAGUCAAGGGACACUUUUCGCUGUUAUGAGCAUCCUUUCCAAUCCUGAAAGCUGCCACAAGGAUACAAUUCCAUGUCUUGCGAUGAUUAGGGAUUAUAGAGGUCAUUAUUACGGAUCUCUUCUCUAUGUUCUAUGUUCUAGAGUUUACGACCAUAAGAAGAAAGACGAUUCUAUUUUGUAUUAGGCAUCGAAGCCUAUGGAGCAGAGCUGUAGUUUUGAAAGGAAUAGGGAGUUGAGCUCGACUGAAAGUAGUCUACAUGGUUAGCUUUUGAGUUCUGAUAUAACGAAUGAAAGCCGAUAAGGCCCUGCAAAGGAGAAUACUAGAGUCGAUGUAAUUGAGCUCGAACGUUAGUGAACGAGGUAUAUAAGCGAGUCAACCAAAUAGAAAUCCUGAGUGGAGGCUCUGGCAAGACCUCGAUUCGGUUAGCGAAUACCUAUGGGCGAGAAAGGAGGGGCUCUCAACAACUUGGAUAACGAACUAAGAGCACAUCUAGUGUUAGCGAGUACCUAACAGGAAAGGCAUCCCACUUUCUUUUUAUGCAAUGUAUGCUUUUCAAACUCUGACUGUUCCCUUUUGUCUCUAUUCCUUACCCUUUCUAUGCUAUAAGUAAUAACUCAAACAGUAAAUGCAAUAUAAUGCCGUAUUUGAAAGAAUGAAGUCAAGUCCGGGGGUAGGAGAAAGUGCUAUCUUAUUCUUAUGAAUAAUUAGCUGAGACAAAAGCAUUAGCAUAGGCAGAAUCAGCAGCAUCAGCAAGCAAAUGCCUUUCUUCUCUUAGAAUGAUCAUGAAUGAAAUCCUACUCGCCUUAUUCUUACUAUGUGCUUUAUGGAAAAUGAUGGAUGAAAACCCAUAUUCUAUAUGAGAAACAUAUGCAACGGGAAGAAAGACCCAUUACAAGUUCUCGGUUAGACAUGAAGGAGGGUUGCUUUCUCAGUUGGAAGUGGAUUUCUCAGCCUUAUUCAAGUGGCCCAGGGAUAGCGAAUGAAUCUUGAUGACGAGCAAGUAACGUAGUUAGAUUGAAGAUGAAUGUUCGAAAGCUCGACCAAAAGAAAGAGAAAGAAAAGAAUCCAGUCGUCCAAUAGAACUCAUUUGGAAUCAAAGACGGGGCAGAGAUUGCUUGCCCGAAGAUGUAGUCAUUUCAUUACAAGAAAAGCUUAACUUAGACCUAAGACGAGCCCUAAUAAACGAUCUGGGAGAGGGCAGUAAUCAAAAGUUCCACCGAAGGAAGUGCUGCAUAAAGGGCGGGUCCAACUUACACAGGAGAGGAUUACCCUAGCACUGAAACGGAAACGGGCAAGGCUAAAAGAAAGGCGUAAAGGUAGCUCACGAAAGACAACAGCGCCUCCACGCCUAUUCGAUAGUGAUUCCGAUAACAUCCUAUAAGAGCUGAUUCAAUCGGGUUAUUAGGAAGAAAGGAAAGUUCUUGCCAUCUCCACAGAUAACUAAGAAAGUGGCUUUUCAAUCGAAAGAUCCCCUGAUAUUACCGAAGAAAAUAGAAUGAAUUGAGCAACUCGUGAGUAAAGUAGUGGAUUUGCCCUCGUAAUGCCGACAAAUGGGAGAACUUUAAAGACAAUAAGCAGUGGGCCAAGCUACUAUCCCGGGGUUAAUCACUCGUCGAGUUCCCGGGUUAGAUUCUAAUCAGUAUUGGUGAAAGAGGAUCUGCCUGCGGAGUUCUCGAAUCAAAGUCUGGAUGCCAGGGAUAAGUAAGGAGCCUUAAGAGUCAAGAGAUCAAGUCAGAAUAAAAGACAGGCGAGGUCGCCUUAGAUACAUUGAUUGAGGCAAGGUUCGGUGUCGUCGGUAGAGGAAGUCCUAUCUCUUUGGUUGACUCUUUCUAGUAGUGAUCCAGUAGUGAUUUCCGCCUGAGGCCCCUUUCUCGAAUGCCUAGUUUGAGUAUACGCUCCAAUGCCUAGUUGCUAGUCCACCUAUUCCAGGAGGAAUUAUUUGACCUAAGAGUGGAGUUCCCUAUCUCGGGGUAAGGUAUUUGUUAGCCAGGGUCCUAUUCUCGUAUGCCCAAGUUCACUUAUAUUUAUUACUAACUCCAUUAUUUAGUGCAAUGUUUCCGGUCUUAUACCAGCUCCAUGUUCUACUACUCUAUCCUGAUCUAUUUCCACUACUCUAUCCUUUAUGUACUAGUUCCAUUCUUGUUAGCAGCGGUUCCAAUCUGAAUGCCAUAGUUGGAUCCCUACUUAUAAGGCUUCUAGUGUUGGAUUUCCCAUUCUCUGUUUCGGGCUGAUGGGCCGUAAAGCAAUAUUUCUUUGUAGUCAAGUAAGAAGGGAGGACAGGCUCCUAGGCCAUUUAAGCAAGACUGAUCUGUGUUUGUCUACGGGUCGGGAUUUGAGGUUAGUGGUUCAAGAAUAAGAGCCUGUAGAGGCAGACCCCAACCUAUAACCAUAAUUUCCAUAAGUAGUGAGAGUUUUCAAUCAAGUAAGGGAGGGGGGAGGGCUAACGGGUGUAUAUCAGAAUGAAAGUGAGAGUCGGUUCGGUCUUUUUAGCAGUAGCAAUAUCUUAUAUAUGUGUAUUGGAUUAGCAGUAGCAAUAUCUUAUAUAUGUGUAUUGGAUCCGAUGCAUUGGUUAUAGCCUGUUUGUUUGUGUCACUAGCUCAUUCUUAGACACUGAAGCGCUAUUCCAUUAGUUGUUUGGUUCGUUACCCAGGUUUUAUUGAAUCCUAUUGAAAGAAAGAAAGUUUACGAGUGUGUCGCCUAGGGGAAAGGAAGUCCAUAAGAUCAAGCAUAGAUAAAGGGAAUGAAUCCAAUAAUAGGGGGCGCAAGUAUAGAGCAAGAAUCAAUAAAGUAACUACAACAAGUAUAGAGCAAGAAUCAAUAAAGUCACUACUAUAAUAUGGGGAAGUCCAGAAUAGAAAGUAUAGAUCGGGUACCUUAUUGUUAUUCUAUGCACUACAUAUAAGGAUUACUUGAAACUCGGUGGGCUCCACUUUACCUACUUGAACACUUUCUAAAUGCAAGCAGGGUUCGGUUCGGGUCACAAAUCUAGUAGUUAUGUAGGUGCCUAUAUGUUUUGUAGUCGUUUUUUAAUGUCCCGUUCGGUUCAGUUGGUUGGUCUAGUGUUUCCUUCCUAUAAGUGUAGGCUGUGGUCAGUACUUCAUGUAGUUUCUAACGGUGCCUAUCAAUAAUAAAGUAGAUCAAAUUCCCCGAUAUCCAAUUCUCAUAUCCAUAUUGCAUGACCUAUAGAUAACAUUCCCCUAUAUCCAAUUCUCAUAUCUAUAUUGCAUGAAAUCAUUCCCAAUAGUCCCCAUGAAUCUAAAUGAGGAGAAUCCCCCUUUCCUUUACCUUAAAGCUGUCACUACUAUUAUUCCUAUGCCUCUUGUCGUGUCGGUAACUUCUUAAUGAGCGGGGCUCUAAACUUCACCUCUAGUUGGCUGGGUCAGACAUUAUAACAUUCAUGAAAUACUUAACAAUCCAUAUAGGGACCGAACUUCUACGACAUUCUAGACUUAUCCGCCCAAUAGACACAUCCAUCUAAUGGAACAAAAGUGACCUGAACCUUGUACAAUAGCAAUAUACACCGAAAUCUCAUAUGAAAUCAAUCAAUGGACAGUUUUCUAAGCGACUCUAACCCCCAAACCAAAGGAAAGCGUCUUUUAUCAAUCUAUUUAUACCUUCCUAUAAUAAUGUGUGAAAAAGACCUUCGCGCGUUCUGCCUUUCUUUCUCGGUCGUCUGUCAAAUAGUUGUGGAUUCCGACCUUCUUUUCUCAAUUACUCUCUAUUUCAUUCCACUUCUUUAAGCGAGUACAUGAAAAGUAUACAUAGCGCGAUACUAGAAUGCUCGAAUGAUAGCAAGGUGCUGAAAGCCUUAAUGAGAGCAGGAAGCGAGUGUAGUAGCAAGCCAGUGGUGAGCGAUCGAAAGCGCCAAAGGUCAGUCUCAUAGGGGCGUGUAUAGCACUUUUCGAUAGGAAGAGAGCGAAGGGCAUAAGAUUUAUUCAAAUGGUUUCGCAAAGGGGUCCAGACUUAGACGAAGGUGCAGUUUCAAAAGCUGGUUUUCUGAUUAUAGGCUUUUAAUUAGAGGGGGAGCGCUUGACUCUCUUUUACACGAGGCGAACCUUUUGGUCUAUCAGCUACUUUACCUCAAAAGCUUGAAGACAUGGUUUCUACUAUAAACAAACCAAACCUUUCUUUUGAUAGCGCUUUUCUGUUAUAGGUAGAGGGAAAGUUCUAGCUUUCUGAAUAAGGCCGGCUUUCCCUAUCCAUUGAAUUGGCCGCUUCGAGAUUGGGCUUAGUCUUAGCUUCACCUAUUCGCUAUUAGAUAGAUAUAGUGGGUCAUAUAGGGAGUCUCCCAAGCCAUUCUUUUCAAUAGUAAUAGUCGUUUCUCAUUUCCAUCUUUUAGUAGUUGAUCAUUUCCAUCUUUCUCCGAUACUUUGACUUUCUUCUUACCUAUAACGCGCAACAAACAUGUAAAGAGAGUCUCGAGGGAGCAGUUAAACAAGGAGAUAUUCUAAGUGGGUCAGCUGUUCUUUGGAGUAGGAAGCUGGUUGGUUACUUUCUUCUAUCUAUUAGAUGUGUGCACUUGACUCAUAUUCCAAUUACUGUCCUGUCCACCAUAUUCCAAUUACUGUCUACGGCAGCUACUGGCCUGUAUGGAAAUUCCAUAGGAACAGCGCAAACAAGUAGAACAAGCUCCGGAACUAACAACAAAACAAGUGAGCGGCAGUAUCAGAGUUCCAGAAGCUUAACCGAUACGAUAAGUACUGAAGUCAAGCAAGGGAAAUCUUUCUAUACUUUAGUCUAGCCUUCCAUGUGCCGAGCCGAUAUUCAGGAUUAGGGAAAGCCAUAAGUGAAUCAGCAGAACAAGCAAGUCGUAGAGUGAAGAGCCCGCAGUAAGAAGAGGGUGUUUCAUCCAAAUAGAUACUCCGGAAUACCAAAUCAAAAGGAACUCGCUUACGCUUAGUGAGUUUACAGUGUUUUGUGACUUUCUGGGGUGCUGGUGCAUUAGCUUACUCUUAUCUUUGGGGCACGUAUUAUUUAGUUCAAUCCGUUUUGUGUGUUAUAAGAAGUUCCAGAGGUGUUAGCGACUUGGACCACCAACGGAUACUCGUGUGAGGGCAUCAAAGGCUUUCUUUUCUUCUGCCCCGACCUAAACAAUAAGUUAUUAUCAGGCUUAUUCAUCAAUUCCUUCUUCAGCGCGGUAUCUUCUAGCUUAGCUUAGUGAAGUCUACUUAUGCUCUUUUCUCUCAACUCCACUAGAUUAGGAUUCUUCCCUGAACGAAACUGGAAUUGCAGCUGACGACUUUCUCUACGACUACACUUGAAACCCUACGUCACUCGUCUACAAGAACUUUCUUUGCAACAGACUUGUUACAACAAGGAAAGCUCUUUAACCCUAUGUCACUUUACAACAAGGAAAGCUCUGUCAAUAAGGAAAUUCAAGUAAGCGUCAGACUCUAAGGGCAAUCAGGCUAUUAUCGGGCUGUCAAUAAGGCAAAUGGAAAGCUCUGUCAACUGUCAAUAAGGCAAUGACAAGUCCCUAUUUCGAAUUCAUUAGUUGUCUGCCAUUACCAAGUCCUGUUUUUUAGAGUUAUAAACGAGUCUUUCUUUUGGGCGGUAGGGCAGCUCUUCCACCACCACUCAAAUGAUAGGGAAAUUCUCAUAUUAACUCAGAAACUGUCCUUGCAAAGCUUUUUGGCCACUAAUCCUAUUCUUUGCGCUCUUCCUAUAGGUGGUGCACCAUCUUAAACAAGCUUAAGGCGCUAAGGUAAAGCCUAGUGAAAGGAAUAGAAUAGCUCCGCUGGUCGAUUAAGAAGAUGGGACAAUCAGUUGAGUGACUUUCUUCUAUAACAGGGGCACCUACAUUCAACAAGUCCCUUUUUCGGCUAACAUGAGCGGGACCGGACCUAUCUAUAGUCAAAGGUGAAAGUGUUAUAACUCACUGCCGCUCAACGAAAACGGAAAUUGUAUGCUCUCUUGCACCACUACUAGGUAAAGUAAGGUCAAACUUGAUAUAUCUCCUCGUAAAGUAAGGUCAAACUUGAUAUAUCUCCUCCCUAAGACUGGAAUUGACUAACAUUCUCCCAAACAAACACCUAGGUUAAUGCAAGUAGCAAGUCCGUAAUUGACAACUAUAAUGGUGCCCAUCUUGAAUCGUAUAUAAUGGUGCCCAUCUUGAAUAGUAUAUGUUGGUGCCCAUCUUGAAUAGUAUAUGUUGGUGCCCAUCUUGAAUAGUAUAUAAUGGUGUCCAUCUUUCUCUCUAAUUUACUACUAUUACUAUGUUGGUUCCUAUCUUGAAUACCGGUAUACCUUUUUGCUAAGUCAUUCUCUUGCUAUAUGAGGUCAGCUUUAGUGUAUGUAUUUGGAUGUUAAUAUUCCAUUCCGUAAUAUGAGUUAGGUACAAGUGUGCUAUUAGUUGUGGAUCAUUUAUGGCAACGAUGGGGUGUGGGCUCGGUGUUAUUAAUUUACGUAUAGUUCGGGUUCCAAUAAGUAAGUGAAAGGCGUGGGGGUCAAUAAGAACUUUGCUAAGGGUGCGUGCGCCUAUACCUAAUGUUUUGAGUGGGUUCAAUAAUAAAGUCGAUUUGGAUAACGGUUCCGAUAUGUGAUUCUAGUUCAGAGCGUGAUCGGGCAAGGGAUUAUUCAUCAUUUCAUAUAUAUAUAGGACUUCUAUUUUAGGGUUCGGUUCAAUCUUUGAUAACAAACAGUGCCUAUCGCUAUUGCCUCAUGUGCGCUUUAACCCUAUCUAUACUCUAACAGGCUGGCUGGCCCUAUCUAUUCUCCCGAUAGGUUAUGUCAAUAAAGUCAGGUACCCUCUUUCUAUUCAAUGCACCUCCUAUUCUUGUUGACAGCUUUACUUUGCUAGCUCGGCUUAGGUUGUUUCUCAAAGAGACUUUAGUUUGGCGCUGCUUGCUCUUCAGCUCGUACUUAAUUGGAAGUCAAUAAUUUCGGUUAGGCUAUGAGGAUCGAUAUAAUCUUAAAGGCGUACGGGAAUUACACUUAGAUGAAGGAAGGUAAAGGAAAGGAGUCUUUUGUAGGAUAACAUAAUCUAAAAGAUACUAUUAGUAGGGAACCAUUACUUCUCUUAUAAUCUUAUUAGUGGGGGUAGGGUACCAUUACUUCUCUUAUAAUCUAUUCGCUAUGGGGAACUAUUCUAAUCUAGACGGUCUGUCAAUAAUCAUAUAGUAUAGAUAAGACGGUCUGUCAAUAAGAAAUAGUAUAGAAAACGCAGCAUACAUUAUGUAUGUUAACCCACGGAGCGGUACCAUUACUUCUCUUAUAUGUGGAAAAUGGAUGACAAUGCUGGAUGGGACUUUCCGUAUAGUAAUAAUAUGGGGCAUUCUCCUAUUCGAGAAAUCUAUCCACACUACACCAACAGGCGGAGCAGCUCCUAGUGCUCUGGCAUUCUCAUCCUCCUGAGAUGGUCUUUCAUAUUAUUGCCCCGCCCUCCCUGUUUCCAAUUAUCAAGCUCCCUUUUUGAAGUCAUUUCUAUCUUGAACGCUUUCUGAACUACGGAUUAUUUUGGGAUUCUUCAGCGGAUUCUGUAACCGCUUUUUCAACCCCUCGGGAAGGACUGUAAGAGAGCAGCCGAUCAGGGCACUAGAUCGUUCUAAAGUCACCUAUGUGUGGAUCUGCUCCUAUAGUCAGUUUACAAUCAUAACCCAACACCCAAAGUCACCUAUGUGCAGAUCUCCUCUGCUCCUAUAGUCAGUUUACAAUCACAACCCAACACCCAGUGCAUUUCUUGCACUUUCGUCUUUGCUUGCCCACUUACCAAUUCCGUUCUUCUUCAAUACAAUAAGAAGAUAGACCAUAUUCCCAUAUAUUCAAUGCUUUCCUUGGCUUUUGAUCUCGUCUCGAGGUUUCCUAUCCUUUGGAUUUCGCGUCCAAGUACGAGCCGGAUUGUGGCAUUAGCCCCCCCUAUUGUGGAAUGGGUUCCAAAUCCGGAUCAAUUCGUUUUUCCUGCUCCAGCUGAGGCUUACUUUCGGGUAAGAGUCAUCAUAGUACCUCCAUCUAUCAAAAUGCCUCUGAAUACUUGAAUCAAUCUCUCUUAAGCACUCUGAGCUGAGGAGUAGCUUCACUCAAAACACCUACUUUACUCAGGAUGUAGAUACGCACGAGCGACUGCCCUCACACGCUCUAAACUAGGAAUCCAUACUUCUCUUUGAUUCUAAUGUCAUUUCUGGGCCUCUUCGCUAAACGGCUUGUUUCAUGUAAGUGUGCACCUGUUCUGUUCCAUAAGUCAGUAACGAAACACCCUUAUGAAGCGCAAAAUACUCUUAUGUAUGGCCAAACUCCAGAAAUGUGGUAAGCUGAUUCCUGGCAACGAGUAUCUUUCUGUUCGCCCUGUUCUACUUUCAAUCCUGAAUCGGACCGGACUAACUAACGCCGGUUGUUUGUUCUUUCGAGCUCACGUUGCUUGUUGAACUAACUAAGGCACUUUCAUUUCCAGUAGAUAAUUCGAAUAGGAAUCGAAUUGUUGUGCACCCAUUAGAGAGGGCACAGUAAGUAACCUAACCUCCGAACGAACUCCACAAGAAGAUCAUUUAGUGCACCUCACCUAGGAGCAGCGCUAAGAAUAAGGUUCUAGUAUCAAGUAGAACAUGCGCUAAAUUACCAUGUCAUCAAUGCGCUAUUAGUACGAGUCAGAAGCGAGUCUUGUUUUCGUUCCUUUCUCAUUACAAUUCCUGUUUUUGGCUCCCGUUAUGAGUAAGUCCUAAUUCUUCCUUUUUUCGUUUUAGGAGCGAGUCUAGAUUGAUAGGUUAAGCGCAAGUCAACUAUACCAGUUAUAGAAUGGGGUAACAAAAGAGAUAGGUGGAGAGUGGUUUGCGGGGUGCUUAGGAGUUAGCUUGUGUGUUGAGUCACAAGAUCCGUUUUAGGUUACUUGUAGGGCAAAGGAGAUCGAAAAAAGGCGAUAAAAGGAUUCUACUAAGCUUGCCUACUUUCUAUGUGCUCGUAGCGAAUGACUAUAAGGCCGGGCUCAAAGGAGUGUCCGUCCUGUGACAACCUUUCUAUACAAUGCCAGUUCCAUAUUCUUUUGUUUCAACUGAUCCUGACUUUUCAUCUACAAAAGCUUCUGGUCUUGCUGAUGGUCUCGUCGACAUUCACUUUGGGCAACCCUCACUUUCGCUAACACACAAGAAACUUGACUUUCCAUUCCUUUACUUCCCGCUUCUUAUCCUGCUGAUGAAACUGCUGAUUAAGAUCUGUCUCUUGAAACGAUAACUCCACUUGAAGACCCGCCCGCCACCAAGUCAAAGUCAAACGGAAUGAUGAAUGGAAAUGGAAUUGAUGCCCUACGCUCCAAUAAGAGAAGUGUUCGCGGUACUUGUUGAAUGGAAAUUGGACUAUCUUGCAUCACCAACUCUGUUAUUCUUAUUUCUUAUAUAUAUAUCUAUAUGAAACUCCCUUAUUUAUUGUUGAUUCUUCGAGACAAACAGCUUCAUAUCGUGCUCUUCUGGUUAUAAUCCUUCUUUUGCUUAGCGAGUCGAUUCCACUCAAAAAGUGCAAUUCCCGGUUGCGCUACUUCUCACUCAACUCUCCCUCUGUGCUUUAAUAAGCAGGGUUCCUAACUCAAUUCAACAAUAUGCAAAUUAGGCGCUUUCAGCACCUUUAUUUACUAUUUCUUGUAUCGGGUCUGUGUCAGGGGUGAAUUCUGAAGUUUGGGAUCGGCCUUUGACUUUUCUCGUUUUCCGUCUUCCAUUUGUUUACUCUCCACGACGCACUCGCUUCAAUUGACUACUUUUACCACUACUCUACAAGGGAAAGCCAGCCAAGUUCAAGCAAAUAACUCAACUCCAAGACUACAAAGGUAAAGAACAAAACUGGAAUUUCCAACUGAUAAGGAUGAAAAAAGGGCUACUAUUGGAUUGGGGUCCUAUCCUAAAGUAGGAACUAAACUAUCUUAGCGCCAACCUAUACAGCUUACUUGAGCCCGCCUCGCACAGAACAAGCUAGAAAUCAUUCCAUUUCUCUAUCUUGCCCCAACUUAUAUAAUAGCUUCCUUUCCUUACUUUUCAUAUUAUUUUCUAUUUGAUUCCGUGGGCCUCCUGUCUGACUUUCUCUAUUUGUUAAUGGGAAGCAAGCGGUGGGGCAUUAGUUGAUCUAUACGAUAGACCCCGGACGUAGCUUAAAGGUGAACCGGGUAACCACAGAACAAAAGGAAGUUAGCAGGGAUUGUAUUCAUCAAACAGAGGUGCUGGUUCGAAUCCAGCUUGUGAUAAUACCUUUCUUUGGUCAUGCUCAAAUAUAGAAUGGAUAUUUACCAGAAAGAUGAUUCGAUGCUUAUUAUAGGAUUAAUUAGAUUAACUGACUCCACACCUAGGAUUAAUUAGAUUAACUGACUCCACCGGCUCCUUCUCAGCCUUAAAGUAUCUGAGCUGAUGAAAUAGCCGUUAUGUAUUCUUUAUUGAUUUUACCACCAGCAGCGGAGAGGAAAGUAACCAAGAAAAUAAGCAGUUUCAAGUCGAGUGAGGGAUGCGCAUACGCCUAUUUGUUCUUUUCGGGAUGCGCUAACGAGAUACGAGUUCCGAGUUACUGACUAAGUAGGCUAAGCUAACAGGAGUGGAUCUGGAGUAGCUUGGCUUGGAUCCUUAACAUUCCUAAUUGUAGGACUGUGUAAGUCAGCUCAAAGAGGGAGUGUCAUCGGUCUCUUCUCUUGUUCUAGUCCCUUCGCUUCGGUCUUUAAACAAGGGAUAGUUAUCCUCCAAAGCAAAUAUACAAUCAUUGAGGAAUGACACUAGGAUCUCCUCUCUUGUUCUAGUCGCCUUUGGUCUUUAAACAAGGGAUAGUUAUCCUCCAAAGAUACACUCAUUGAGGAAUAUACUAGGAUCUAAUACUUGGCUAUCUCCUAAUUGGCUAUCUCCUACUGUCUAUCUAAUACUUGUCCAUCUCCUAUCCUAAUGGGCGGCUAUUUCCUACUGUCUAUCUCCUACUGUCUAUCUUAUACUGUCUAUCUCCUACUAGCAAUAUAGUCGUAGCUUUUCGUGUGCUGUGUUAUUUGAUGAAGUCAGACUUGUUGGUAUUUGAGAGCACUCUUACUGAGUGUACCAAGGCGGUGAUUGUACAGUAUAGUGGCCUUCGACUCGAUUUUGACACAGCUUGCUUCGAUAGUGUAAGGGGCAUGCAUCUAGUUCAUAAGCAAGCAAGGGUUUACUAUGUUUCAGCUUGCUUGUAGUGAUCUAUGCAACUAAAUAGAGAAGUCUCCGAUCGUAGCGAGAUAAGCCAAUAGCCCUUCCUUCAUUGCGGGCGUGUCCCCGCGGAAUCCUAGUCUAAGGCAGCGAAAACAGUAGGAUGGUUUUGAAUCGAGCCUCCACUGGCGAAUGGUGUAUACGGAACGAAGUAGCAGAGACUCAGGUGCCCCCGGCCUCCAAGGCAUGAAGCUCUGACUCAGCUAUCCAAGUAGAGGCAGUAAGGAGUAGAGUCCUAGAGAAUAUGCUAUAUCCAAUAGGACACACGCUCCACGAUGAUAUGAGAUAGCGAGCUAACUAGGGUUCAACUACUCUUAGUAAGAAGACCUAACAUAUUGAUAUUCGAAUAUUUCCUCCGGUAGCUAGCAUAGUAGGGUAUGUGUUAAUUAAUGUCAGUGUGUGUUGUGACGGGCCCGGGGAAAAGAAAAGGAAGUAUUGCUAUGGCUGGUGGCAAUGAAAUGGCAUUUGAGGGGCGAUAGAGAAGCAUGGCCUAAUAAUGCAGAAGGGUCCAAACAUGAUUGGCAAGUCCCCCUGCCUGAGAAAACUCUAGCUCAUAAGUCAUGGUCGGCCACUGGUUCUGUCAGAGCUGCGUAAUCUCGCUUACCUAUAGGGUUCAUCCACAAAUAGAAACUCUGAUCUCCCUACGUUCGCUCCGCCCCCCACCUUACAUCUUCUUACCCCGCACCAAAGGUCUUUAUCCUGUUGUAGCCGAUAUCUCAUGUAAUAUCCUAGCUCCGCUCCUGGCUUCGGGUCGAGCGUAAGCCCUCUCUUUCAUUCGUGAACAAUGCCGAACAUUGCUUUAAGAACUCCGCUAGGCAUUAGAGAUUUGAGGCACCAGCUUCUCUUCUACUUGCUUAUUGAUCCGAACCCAACACUUUAGAAGGAAAGAGGCAGACUGCUUACUCUCUUGGGGCUAAGGCAAACUUAUAACGCACCCCGAAAGCGAACAUUAGCACAAUAGUUCUGUUGCUUCCUUUCUUUCUAGGUGACUUUCUACGAGAUACUUGACUUAGAGCUGUGGGGCCAGUGUUACUUACAAUACUGCAUGCUGCCCAAUUCACAUAAGCACCCCUUGCCAAGCUACUACGGAAGGUAUAAAACUCAGGAUCCAAAGUCUAGUUCUCCGAUAACUAAACAUAUAAGUAUUUGGAAUAGUUACUUGGCCAGUGUUUUCUCUUGAUUUCUUCUAUUCUAUUUCCAGUAGCUGUAGUAUUCUAUUCUAUUUCCAGGAGUCAGUAUCUUUUUGUGAUUCUCUUCUAUUUAUUCUCUUCUUUUUCUAGUUUCAUAUGCCUAACCUCUUUUUGUCUUGCUCCAUUGAUUCCUUUGAUAGCUUUCGGGAAUUCUCCACUACAUCUAGACUUCCAUUUCUCCCCCACGUUUCAAUCUGUACCUUUCAAACCAAACCCUGGACUUAUUGAUUUUGAUCCCACUCACGUUCGUUUGCGCUGCGCCGCUGGGCUCACUAGACCUGAGGAUCUUCAAGAGAGAGAGAGAGGAUGCCGGCUUUGCUUACUCAACUCUUCUUUUCUAGUCAUACUUGAACUCUGGCUUCAGGCGGUGGCCCAGACGUAAUGGAGAUUAUCUCUGAAUAAAGGGUACUAAAGCAAUGAAUGCACGGAGUAGAAUAAGGGAGUCGAUUAGCAAUGAAUGCACGGAGUAGAAUAAGGGAGUCGAUUCUCGAACGAAGAAAGAAAAGGAUACAUGUGUUUGUUUUGUUGACUUCGAAAGAAUUGAACGAGAUGGAAGAGCCGUAUAAGGUGAGGCACGCCCUUCUUCCUCAUGUGAGUAAGUCUAACUCGCACAUCGGUCAAAGCGAUGUCAUCGUUGUGGUAUCUGCUUGUUCCUUCUUCUGAUACAUAGCCCGCUCAUUCUUCUUCUCGAGUCGACUUUCAUUGCUGCUCCGCUGACUCCUUACUUGAAGCUCAAGCUAACUGACUCAACAAGGAAGCAAAGCCAUGAGGAUAGAUAGUUUGGUUACUAUACUUAUACAAUGUGUGAGUUCAACUCUUUUCAACAGGUAACGGCGCUAGUGAGUUAAGUCAGUCUUGAUACAAUGCUCCAUUUUUCAUAUCUGAGUGGAUAGCUGGAUUCAAUAAAAUAAGUGAGGGCAGGGCGUUCCGCUAAGGCUUACUUUAUUUGGUGCUUACAUUCAUUCUUUCGCACAACAUCUUGCUAAACAAGAGCACCUGAAACAAUACUCGAAACUGCUCCAUCUGUGGCUGGGCUUCUGCGCUAAAAGAAGAAAUCACUUGUUCUGUCCUAUUGACUAAUAAUAUAAUAUACGAGAACCUAUGUGACUCGAAAGAAGCCUAUUCUUCCGCCUCUACCUUAUGUAGAACUCAUUAAUAAUAUAUCAGGCAAACUACUUAUAUAAGACUCAUUUGUUCCCUUUCACUCUAAUACAAGGAAAGAGCCCCCCUAUCUCUUAUAUUUCAUGAAAAUAGACUCUCAAUUCAGUACUUGGAAAUAGCUACCCGUAACUUAGGACUUGGAAAUAGCUACCCAAAGAAAAUACACUUGAGAAUAGAACACCAGAUACCACGCCCCUAACUAUAGUCAAAAGCGUUAGCGCCACAGCUUGUUGAAUUGAUACUGCCUCCCUCCAGCUUAUUCAGUAAUGUGAGCUUUGUAAGGAGUGUCGUUUUUCAUUCUAUAUUCGUUACGCUAGAUUAAUUCCGCAGUCUAGAUUCAUUCCUAUGUGUAUAGUAAGUAUCACUGGCCCACUUAUUGUUAAUUGUUGUGUUGCUGCGCUUAUAGUAAGUAUCACUGGAUUGUUGUGUUGCUGCGCUUAUAGUAAGUAUCACUGGCCCACUUAUUGUUAAUUAUUGUUAAUGUUUGCUCAAGCAGUAGAAAGUAGAGUAUCUCGCAGCUCGAAGUAAAGUAGAUAGUGUAAAGUUGCAAGACCAAACUGAUCCCCUACUAUACUUGCUCCAAGCAAAGAAGUACUACUAACGGAAAUGAGAUUAUGUUCUGUGCAGUAAGCAGUGCUGUCUUACCCGACCCUCUUUCUUCUAUAAUCGAAUGUGUCCCCACCCUAACCCUAAGAUCAGGAGUUAUGUUACUAUGCUUCUAUCAGUGGUGUCUCAUAUAAUCAAUGAAUGGUUGACUUCGGCCCUACUUUACUUAGGUGCUCAAGCAGUAGAAAGUCAAGUCUAUCGUAAGGAGUUCUCUCAAGCAGUCUAAGGUAACGGUAUCAAUCAAUUAGUUGCUCAAGCAGUAGAAAGUGUAGUUGCUCAAGCAGUAGAAAGUGUAUUUUCCAGAGGGGAGUAUAUUGAUUGUCCAUUUGAAGUCAUGUUCUAAUAUUGGAAGUUAUGUUAUUAUUUGGCACUAUAUUCUAUUCAUUAGGGAAUUUACACUAUAUUCUAUUCAUUAGGGAAUUGGGUUCAAGCUUUCCCCAGCCCCUUUUCAUCAAUGGACUCCUAAAUCAAUCAAUAGUAUACGAAGCAGUGGUUGGUUACUAUUAUAAGAUGUCAAUACUUCUCAAUAUACAAUUAUUAUAGAAGAUGUCAAUACUUUGCUUAGUCAAUAAAUCCAUAUUUGAGAGCGUUUUUACACAUAAGGAAAUAAAGUCACACACGAUAUAAUCAUUAUCUAACCAAACUCACUUAUUACUCUAAAGAAGAGAAUGGUUGUUAGUACCCCGCCUCUUAAGAAUAGAAUGGUUAGUACCGGUACCAAUAUCACCUAUCUACCAGAAUGUCGGCACCCAAAGCAAAGCAAAGAGACUCCACUAGGACUUCACCGGUACCAAUAGAACCUACCUACCGUCGUCACCCAAAGCAACUAGGACUUCUAAUUUGACUGAUGGAGGAGAUGCCUUUUCUCUAAUUCAUAUGAUGGAACCCACUUAUUUCUAUAUAGCAUAAGGAGAAGAAUUGACGAGCGAAAUCAAGUAGAUAGAGCCUACGAGAGAUUCUGUACUUCCUGUUGAGAGAGCUAGUAAACAAGUCAACUCGUAACUACUAUUCUUUAAUGAAUUCUAUGUGCGCUACUAUGCUUUAAGAGAUCUAGAUUCUAUUAGAUGUGGAUUGCGGGCUACUAUGCUUUAAUGGAAUCCAUUCUAUGUGCGCUACAAUUCAGAAAUCAAUAGAUCCAGUUGUGUCUACUUGUGGUGUGCAUGACCCGAACGACCACCUGAUGGGCAAGUGCUUUCAUGAAUGAAUGUGUUAAACCAAUCAAUCUUUUCGUUACAUAUCAGGAAACCUGCCCCAGCUAACUCGAUUUCCCUAAUAAAAGAGAGAGAGGGCGUUCCAUAUGGAGCUCCUGAAGAAAGGACGAUGAUACCUUUGGUAGGCAUUGGGGGUAUCCUGGAUGAUACCUUUCCUAUUUCGUUGGAAGUAAUCAGGAAGAUUCCUCUUUUUAUAUGCCUACAUGACCGCCGAUCGUGGGAAGAUGGAAAUCCCAACUAGAGUCGCCUUGCCGAUAAAAUGCUAUUGGAUACCAUAUGUGUCGAGAUUCCGUUUGGGUCUACUCUCACUUUCCGCUGACGCCCCUUAACGCCAUUCAUUUUUUCAUCGUAAAUACCCUGCGAAACCUAAACUACGUAACAGGGCUGAUAUAUGUAAUACUAUGUUCCUUUUUCAAUCCAAAGUCGUGGUUAUCAAACUCUUCAUCGAAUGAAAAGUGAUCACACUCGGAUAGCAUUUACCGUGAAAGGGCUAAGACUUUAGGAGGGGGCCCCGCAACAAGGAAUGUAAAAAAACUACCAACUCGGGGGAACUUCCAAAGUAUUCCUUGCUGGCAAAGAGAUAAGGCUGCUAACAUAACAGAUCAAAGCCUAUAUCCGUUGAACAUUGCUUUAAAUAAAUGAAGCCGGCUCUAGCCCUGGACCAUAUGGAUUACUUCACCCGUACCUGAGUCAGAGGUAUUUCGAAUUUAGAGACAGACACACUUUCUUGCGAUCAAAUAUCUAAUAGAACUUGAACCCACUUAUAGUAGAUCCCCAUACAUUUGCCUUACACUGGCUUACAACAGGGAGGAACUGGCCAAUAGAGCUCACUCCUAUGGACUUAUCAUAAUUUCUACUUUCCAAGUCUCUCCCACGCGUAGAUCCAAAGGGGAAGAAAGCCAGGGAAUAGUCUAACUUCCUUAACCAGAGAUUCGAUUAUUCCGCCAGACUGCUUGGACCUAGAAUCUCCUUUUUGUUGACCUAUCCCUACUUUGGAAAGAGAAAGAUAUGACCGGCCCCACCAAUCACCUAUGUAUAGCCUACAACUCUUAGACUAGCUUUAGCCUACCACUCUUAGACUAGCUUGGAAAGACUCCUUCCUUCAAAAGUCACUCGCUUUAUUACUGGAUAGAAGCAAAAAGGAGCAGAACCGGAUGAAAGCACAGCACAUGGACCUAGCUUGCAGGAAAAAGAUGGAACGGAAAUUGGCUCGAAGAAGACCUCUUUCGAUCGAAUCUGUAUCUGGAUAGGCAGGCUAGAGGGAUUCUAUGGUUUUUUAGACUCAAGGAUAUUUCCAAAUACAAUAUCUUAGCAGCUUUCAAAAAGCACUUUAUUACAAAAACAAUAGCGAGACGGAGACAGUUGGUCUAGAGACUACCUUAUUUCUGAAAUGGAAAGAAUAGGAAUUAGCAAUUCCAUUGGGUAGGCAGCUUCUCAGAGGACUCAAACUGGCUGGGCAAAGUGUAGGAUUGAAAUGGAAACUAGAUAGAUGGGCUUGGAAUUGAAACUCCAACGCGCUCACCCGGAUAAGAGAAAAGAAAAGGCCUGGGAAUUAGCGCGGAAAGUCCGGAGGCUUCACUUCUCCCCAUGGAUAUAGCGGGAAACGACAACUUUACAAAGCUGUAAAAGAAGCUUGCAACGGCUCGCAAGGACCAAAAGCAAACGGAACUAUAACUUGAAUUGCAUCUAUCAAAAAGGAUGGGCCCGCAAGAGAACUAAAAGAACCUGGCGGGGAACUUGAAAUAGCUAACGAAUGAAGAGAGAAAGAUAGAGGAGAGCUUAGUUACUGCAUUGUAUGUAAACGUAUUUACGGAAAGUCCUGUAUCAGAGAACGGGCCACGCAGACAAGACGGCGCCAAGUCGACAAGCAACAACAAGAGUCCGCCUUGGCCUUAGCGCUUCCAAGCCUGUAAGAGAAUCUUCCCUUACCUUAGCAGCAACGCCAGUACCUAAUCCCUCACCUGCUCGGGCAAUAAAGGACUCCAAAUCUGGGUUAACGAAGAGCGGUCAAGUAUCUCGGAACAGAGGGAGGCUCAAGCUAGAUGCUCCGGAGUUUUCGUAGCAUUAAGGGAAAGGACAAGAUCCGAUGAAGCAACAAGCGGUGGUGCCAGAGAACAAGAUAAGAGUUUUAGGGGUUCGUUUUUCUAGAAUUGUUGUAAUCAUAAGCACUUAGAUGCAACAAGUAGAGUCGGAACGGAAAGAAAAGAUUGGAAUUGGAAUGGUUCGCCACUUAACCAAAAGAAGCUUCCGCCGUUGCUAUAAGAAAAGAAUAGUGAAUCAGAGAGAAGCAUAGUUACUACACUGCUGACUUAAAAGUAAGGGUUAGCUAAGUGGGAAAUGAGUGGAAAGAGAAGAGCGGGAUCAAUCAGGUAAGCGUCGCGGGACGGGAAAGAAAUAAGCUCUAUAUUAACCCCGAGAAAGUUAGUAGCUGGCUCACUAACGCUGAUUUGGAGUAACUCGCUAACGGAGCCCUAAACAAGUAUACUAUAGGAUUGUGAAUCUCAUGCUCAUGUACGCUCUGCUGCUACAUCUCAUGCAUCCUCUGCUAUUACAUCUCAUGCACCUUCUAUUUCUUUCUAUAUCUAUUCCAAAGGGGUGUCUUAAGUGUUACAGUCAGAAGUCACUCCUCUUUCUUUCUCGCUUCCGAAGCCCAUAAUCCUACAAGGCAAUCAGUGACGUGUCUUAGUUUCGAAGUUUCUCAGUCAAGGGAAAUACUUUCUGCUCGAAGUAUCGAAGUAAAGUCCCUUCUUUAUGCACAUACAUAUACAUAGCCAGACACAAAGGUGUACAAUCCGGUGAAAUUAGACUUGAAGUGUUCAGUAACUAUAGGUUCUAUUACUUGCUCUAGUGACCGGGCCAACCGAUAGGGGAGAACGAAUGGCUCAGGAAUCGACUGGUUCCGAGUAGACUCGUGGAGCUACACAGCUUGGAUUAUUUUCGAAUAUAUAUAAUAAGAGGAGCCGAGCUAAAUGACUUAAAAGAAAAGAGCCGCUGCGAGGCGAGGGGGGGCGUAGAGAGGUCGGUGCACUCACUCCCGUUACGAGAAUGAAAUGACGCGCCACGAGCACUUACAACUCGCACGAAUAGCGCCACUUAGUGGCCGGAGAUGGAUUGAAAAGGAAGCCCACCCCCCUUUUUGGAUUGUGAGAAAGAGCACACAGGACCUUACCCACUAAUCAUCAUCUCAUCUUAGCGAAGCAUAAAACAAACCCACUAAUCAUCAUCUCAUCUUAGCGAAGCAUAAAGAAGCUCCCCCCGCCUACCUACUCGUGUUCGUAGCUCGAUCGGAGGUCAAGAGUGUGGCGGAAAAAAAGAGGUAGUCCGUAUCAAGUGAGACGUGAAUUGCUCAGUAGUGCUUCGCCACUGGACGUUGACCCGCAGGCGGAAAUAGCUUAAUGGUAGAGAUAGCCUUGCCAAGGCAGAGGUUUAGGGUGAAAUUCCCUCCUUCCGUUCCUGGCUUCGUCCUUUAGUGGUAUAGAGUUGAGUGCAUAAGCCCCUUUCUACAAACCUUUAUAUAAUAUAAGGGAAACUCGAAGAGCUUUCUUCGCAUGCUCCUGCAGUACGAGCCUCAUAGCCGCGCUUUAAUAUGAUGAGAAGAAGAGGGGCUCCUUAUAUUCCGAGAAGAAGAGGGGCUCUUUCUAUUCCGCGAAAAUCCUUAUUUACAUCUUAUGGGGGGUGUAUAGCUCAGUUGGUAGAGCAUUGGGCUUUUAACCUAAUGGUCGCAGGUUCAAGUCCUGCUAUACCCAAACCUACCUUACACUAUACAAUGAGUAUGAGUAAGGAUGCGUUCAAAGAGAACUCUUUUGCCUUUGGACUCGCUUCGGCGACUUCGCCCUUUCAGUGACAAGGGUUGUGAGGUAAGGAGUAGUUCCAAGAGUGGCUCGGUCAUCGAUAGGCCCAUCCUUAUUAAUUCUCUCUAUAGGGCAGGCGCUCCCUACCUCUCGCAUUUACUUAUCUUCAUUCUUUUUUCGCCAAGGUAGGUGAUCGGCCUUACUUUUCUAGAAGGAGUGGAGUAUCUUCCAGUAACGGCGAACAGGGGUCCCGCCUGGAUUUCCUUUUUCGUUUAUUUUCUUAUUUCCUCGAAUAUGGAACUUUCGCCCUCCUCCUUGGUGCUCCGCCAUGGUUCCAGCAUGUGAUUAGUGAUUAACUCCAUUGCUUCAUCACCUGAUAGACACCUAAACAGAAUUCCCGGUAUGCCUCUUUUGAAUAGCUUACCAUCAUGCACUAUAUACCUUUUGACCAUCUUCUUGAGAAAGUGCCUUUUGUCCGAUACUCAAUAGAUAUUAUGGCUGUCUCCAAUCCACUAAUGGAUAAAGGAACAUUCUGAUCAAUCGGGGGCAUCCAUGUGCACUGAUUGCUUUAGUUCUUGAAUCACAGCAUGUCUCCCAUCUCCUUCUUUAAUGACAUCUGAAUAUAGCUUAUCGUGAAAGUUCCAUGUAGCUGAGCAGGAGUUCGUCGCUUGCGGAUCUUCUCAUUAUCUUCGCACUUUUCUCUUUGAAGCUAGAGUUGCCAAAGAAUCCGGUAUAUAUGCACAAACUUUCCCUUUCUCGCUUUUGGAGUUCCCAAUUCUAUGUAAAAUUCUGACAGCUGUAACAACCAUUGCGCUGUCCUUCCCGAUGGGGCUGGCCUUGACAGCAAGUACCUUAUCUGAUUAGCCCCCACAACCAACUUUCUCUUGUGCACCAGCAUAUAAUGUCUGAACUUUCUUUUGGGCUGCAUAUACUCAAAAGAUGUAAGCGCUUUUUUCUCUGCUUUAGUGUAUCUCGCUUCCGCUUCUUUGAGAAUUAUACUAGCAUAGUCGAUUGUUGGCUUUUCUUAACCAUUUUGAUCAUCCUGUGCUAGCACUCUAUUCCGAUAAGCAUUAUCAUUGAAAUGAAAACAAGAUAUAGCGUAAAGUGCCUUACCAGCUAUUGGAGCCAUCAUCACUGGGGCGUUCGCUAAGGUCUCCUGUCUUUUGGAAAAGGCUUGCGGACAAGUAGCAGAAUCUUGUCAAUAUGCCUCUUACCAUUUGGACUCUACCUUUUUCUCUUUGGCAAUUCAAUAAGAGGGGCGGAACAGAAAAGGCAGCUAACCGCGUUGUGAUGAAAUCAAUGUUUGCCUUCAAGCGUUAAGUAUUGCCCACUUAUGGUUAAUAGCAAGUUGAGUAUAGAAUUGAUUGGUAAUUAGACAGAGGCAGAGCAGACUAAGCACUAUAAGGACAGAGGCAGUCUAAAGGGGCUGGCUUAUGCACUCCACUCGUUACCACUAGCAGCAUAGACACCGUUAUCAAGGACAGAGGCAGUGGCAUAGACACCGUUAUCCAAGUGAAAAGCAUAGAAAGAGACAGCAGACAAGCAUCUCCUCAAUCAGUUCCGUAAUAUCUAUUUCUUGGAUUUCUCUAUUAUGAGUUAAGUAAUAAGUGAGUUUAGUGUUUGUUUACUUAUAGAUAUAAGUGUGUGUCAUCAACGGAAUUUCUUAUGGUUGUGUUUAUUACAUUGCUUGUUGACUUUCAUUACUCAUAUCGGCAUAAUAAUCCUAUACGAUAAGUACAUAGGCAUAGGUACCGUUAUCUAUAUUAUAUGAGACCGACUGAACUUCCCGUGUAGUGACAGCUUCUUACUAUUCUACUAUAUACUUAAUUGGACUAUUCUACUAUAUACUUAAUGGAGCUCCCGAUAAACAGUUUCGUUUAACUAGACUAGAUGAUUCUUCUUGCUACAACAGUUGGACCUGUAGCGCCAGUAAGAUAAUAUUUCUUCCCGCACCACACCGAAGCAGUUCCUUGUAAGAUCCAGCAGGUAGAAAAAAGAAUACUACUUUCAAUCAGGUUCCCCACAGUAGAAAGUAUGUCCUCAAGAUGCAUCGACUGAUACUAUGAUUGUCGGAGAGGUAUUGUCUUAAUCAAAGCAUUGAUUGUGUUCACCACUCUCCUUUCUUUGACGGCGGGUUUCAGGGCACUACCAAGCAUUAGCCCAAGAGAAGCGAUAUCGCAAACAAACUUAUAGCAUUUCCGGGCGAGGGCAACCACACUCUUCGUUUCUAGAAAUGGGGAACAGCAUCGCUUGAUUAAAGGAGUUAGAAUAGAAUAGGUCUAGAGAUCUGUGCCACUUUCUGGUCUGUCUGUUCCUCUGUAUCAAGCCCGUAGCCGUGCAGCCUGAAGCCUGUCUAAUCUUCUCUUUCUCGCAAGCUUCAAAGAUUCGAAAAGGAACUAAAUUGACUGAUUGAAUGGUGGAAUGGACAUCCCAUGUCUUCUUGAUCAAAGUAUGUUGUCAGAAGAAUUGAGACUUUCUCAGUGGCAUAAGCCGAAGUAGAAGCAUUAGCGUACCCAACGUACAAGACGGAUGCCGAGGCAAGAAACCCCGAAAACGCUAUUCCUGAAGGAAAUGUGCCUUCCACCUUUAGAUACCAGGAAAGGGUAGACGAAAGAAAGAAGGUAUCAGGGAGUGUGAAGACAUCGGUUGAAGCGCUUCGUUUACAGACGAAAUAAGUUGCAAGCAAGACUACGGGACUAAAGAAUAGAAUCCAUUUCUCUUUAUCACAUCACGGGGCUUGUCUAUCGAUCUUAGUCUUAGAUAAAUGGGUGGUAGCCACUACGUCAAGAGCAAAUCUCUAAUCUAUAGAGAUGUAGAAAGAGAAGAUUGCCUUUUCCUCGGUGAGUUGAAGGGACUCCUUCGUUGAAACCAGACCUCCACUUUUCUCUUUAGAAACAAGUAGCACUUUACAGAUAUAGAGUUUUCAGAUCUUAUUUGUAUUAAUGAGCUUACUAGUAUAUUAAUAGUGAUCUUGUAGGAGUGUGAGUUAUUAUAUUCCUUGUAUUCCUAUUAGGUUAUUAUAUUCCUUUGUAUUCCUAUUGCAGCUGAUUUGCGUAUACGAGGUUUAGUUUGAUUCUUUUCUUUUGCUCUGGACGAAGCAAUUCUAUAUGAUUUCCUUUUGCGCCAGUAAAACCCCAUGAUGAGCCUAGUUCACGCUCCACCAGAUGUGAGACUUGUCGACGAGUCUAGUAUACGCUUGGUUGCUCCUCUAAGAAGGGAGUUACGUUACCGCCUAUAACUGAUGCUAUAUAUCUAUCCAGAAAGAAGGAAUGCACCCAAACCUCUACACCUAUAAACUCUCUACUUCGAUUUAAGAACCGAAAUAAGGAAGUAUCACCUUAACCUGAACCUCAGGAAACUUAUACUUAAACAUUCGAAUCUAUUCUAUUCUAUUUGCUACAGCGGGACAAGAAAGACAUUCUCUAAGACAACACCUAACUCGACUAGAUUCUUUCCUUCAAAGCGAAAACAAGUACUAUCUUAUUACCGGAAUCCAACAAGUUGCGGAUCAGUGUAUUUACACUUUACCUAGUGCCUUCGAUACGAAAGAUUUCAUUAAAGAUUAGUUGACUCGGUCCGGUCCUCGGCGCAAGGCAAGACUCAGUGCGUUAGGAUCAGUGAGCAGCUCAAUUCCCAUUAUAUAUGAGGUGCACCAGAGAUGGAUUCAAUUCAAACUUGAGAGUUUCGGUCGGGCAAGACGAACAAAGUAACAGGGCGAGGGCAGUAAAGCAAGGGUUUUGAGGUCGUUAGUUUCAGUUUGAAAGUCAGGCAAUAGGGUUUGGGCUACUGCUGAAUAUAAGGGCCCUUGUAUACUCUUAUGAUUCUUCCUUAUCCGAAAAAGUAGUAGAGCAACUGAAGUAGCAAAGCAAGAAUCGGAAAUCACAAAUAUAGUAUAUGUUAGUACGUUGCCAUGAACAAGUCCUGUAUUCAUCUGUCCGGGCCGGGGUAGCCAAUGCCCCUUGGGUAGCAAGUAGUGGUCAAGUUUCAGAAGAGAUGACUGACUCUAAGGUCUAUAGGUAACCAACCCUAGGCAUUAUAUCAAUAGGUAACUCUAAGACUAGGAUUCCACUGGGGAUGAAACUAUAACAAUUAUAAAGAUAGAAUGAAUUCAUAUUGAUUUCUUAUACAUAGCAGUCCGGGUAGGGAACUAAGGUAUUCUUGCCAGCCAACACUCUCACCUCCCUCUCGCACAGGAAUGGAAUAGAAAACUCUCUGCCACCUGAUCGGUCUGUAACAAAGCAAGACUCCCUUACAUUACCCAUUAGGAAAGAGAUUCAUUCCUCUAACGGAAAUCGAUUCAUGAUGGCGACUCCCUACUCUGAUAAUUCCUACAGCUGUAGCGAGCUCCAACCAACUGCUUCUGUCGUUCUGUGCCGAACCACACGAGAUAGAGAAAGAAUGCAAAGGUAAGAUGUCACGUCACCACAUUAUUGACUGCUCGAUUAGUAACAUAUUCUAUAAUUUAUGAAAAACAGAGCCAAUACAGAAUGAAAUCCCCUCUUUCCUUUUCCUACUCGCUUGUGAUAAGGACAGAAAGGGGUCAAGUAAAAGUAUAAGGAAGCACUCAGAAAGUGGCAGUCCGCAGGAAGAACUUAUGGUACUUAGUUCAGGUUUAUUGACCUUUAUUUGUCUCCGUUAGCGUUUCACUUAACUAUUCCAUGAUUCUAUUCUGUCUUUCUAAGGGGUUAAAGGAUAAGUAUAGUUGGAAUCGAGAAAGUUCCGGGGAGUUCAUAAUUGCAUUGCAUAAAAGGAGGAUAAGUAGUGGCUGCGGCGCGUCGAGGCACUUCUUCGACGGUCCCCGUCCGCCCUAGGCCCGUAAGGCCGAUCUUUUAGGGCCCAUCUCUAUCUCCCUCUAUCCCAGAAAAGUACUCUAUACUAUAAGAAAGAAGGACAGCUCAGUUCUAUCUAUGAGGUAAAGAUACCUGAUGAAGGCAGAACAUCUAGCUAGAUAAUAGGUUUCCGGGCAGAGCAGCUCGAGGAGGGGCUUCUAUCUCUAUUGAUCGAGCUUAAGUAUAUAGGGGAAAUUGAUGUAUUCCGGGUAGGGUAAAAGGCAGUCAAGUGCUACCGCCGGCUAACCUAGGUAGUGAGCUAUUUAUAGGGAAGGAGUUAUCGAGCGGAUCGAGAACACGGUCUACCAGGGAUAACUCAUUAGCUCAAAAAGUCAUUAGCUAGAUAAGAUAGAAAUACCUUAUGGAGCGUAAGCAUUGGAUAUAAGCGACUCCUAGCAUACCUCAAAAGUGCAGUAGGAUUGUUCUGUGCAUACCUCAAAAGUGCAGUAGGAUUGUUCUGUACGUGGACCAGAUGUAUAAGAACUGGUAAGGCGAUCUCGUCUCCCGAACACCCAUGCUAAUACUGUGUAUGAUAUAGCCCAUUGAAAGCAACUCGGCCACGAUUUUGUCUAUCUAAUCCUGAAUUCGGCUUCCGGUAUGGAUCCGCUAUAAGUAAGAGCGGGAGGACCUUACAACAAUUCAAUGACAUGGUCCUUUGCCUGUUCGGUGGCAAUCCAUUAGGUAGUUUCACUGAAUCCAAAUUCCUAUUUGUGGACUAGCUUUAGUAUUGCUUCUGGUUUAUCCACCCUUCUCUCAGUACUAACAUCUAUGGCCAAUGCCUAUACAUCUUGUCUAAAAUUGUUACUCUGGUACCGCUUCUCGAUCGUGUGAGCAUAGAGAAUUGGAAUUGAAGUGGGUUGGUGGCCCCGUGAUAACCUUCGCAUCCCGAUAGAAAUAGGCUCUUAGCACCUUCAUUUGGAAGGUGACGUCACCCGCAUUCGGCACCCCUGCCCAUAUCACUACAAGAUUGACUCUUCUCAUCAGGAAGGCACGGGAUCGCCAUAUUGGAAAUUGUUGAAAAGCAAGCUGCUGCCCAAGGGGUCCAAAAGUACGCUAUUUGAAGGGUUAAGGCAAUCCUUAUCCCCCAGUAUUUCCUCCCAGGUCGGUGGUGUGGGACUAGUGCAAUCAUUCCCUUCGUUACAGCUCCUUAUUCUUCUUCAUCACCAGGAGUUGAUUCAAUUGCUAAGAAGCCAUUUCCUCAAAGAGCAGGAGUUGAUUCAAUUGCUAAGAAGCCAUUUCCUCAAAGAGUUUCUUCUUUAAGAACAACCAUGGCAUUCGAUGCUUAUUAUAGGGAUGCUUAUUAUAGGAUUCUAAUAUGGAUAACUCACUAUCAACAGGAAAGGGGCAUAUUGUUGGACUAAAGGUGGCAUACUAUUCUAUACGAUGAAUGUGCUGCUAGGAUAUACUUCUGCACUUGAGAACUUAAGCUAGCUGACUGGUACUUGCUUUCCACCCUUGGACUGCUAUCCUUGGCAUGCGUGCUACUGGCCUGGCCCGCCUACGGAACUCCUACUGUCCAGCAACCAAGCAUUCUCUCUAACAAAGUGAGACUGCCUCUUACGAGUGGGUAACCCACCUUCUAAACCAUGCCCCACUAGACUUUAGCCCACUUUGCACUCUGAGUUUUCGUAUCAUCUCAUUGGACUUAUUUCAAACUAACUCGUUACACUCGCACCUGAUUACACGGGAACGAAGAAAACGACACGGGGAGCACGCUUUCACCUGCAAGAACAGAGGGCCCAGACCAACCAAAGACAGAUGGAAUCACAAUACCCAGAAAAAUGAAGUAAGGUAACGAGCCACAGUUGCGACUAAACGAUUGGAAACAUAGCCAGGCAAACAUCAACUAUGAACCCGCAUCGAAGAAUCAACACUCUAUUCAAAUCCAAAAAACAGAAAUCCAAAAUAUCCGAUAUACUCCUGACGCAAGAAAUCCAAAAUAUCCGAUAUACUCCUGACGCACGCGCAAGACGCCAACAAUCAGCUGAAGCAUCAACAAUGUCCCCAUCCAACGAAAAGAAAAUAGAACAUCAAAGAAUAUACUUAAACCCAGAGAGGUCUGCAAGUGGACCAUAUGACCAGUAGGAUUCAUACAUACCAUCAAAAUGCAGAUUAAUGAAUAAGAUAUAUGCAGAUUUCUAGUAUCAAAUGCCCUUGAUUCGCGAGAACCAAUCCGAGAUUUCAAACGCUUUGCUUUCUUUGAUUCUGCAUUCUUGAUUCUAUCUUUUUACGGUGAAUCAAGGCUGACUACUGGAAGAGUGGAUUGAGCCAAUAGAACUUUCUACCGGAAGAGUGGAUUGAGCCAAUAGAACUUUCUACUGCAACUCAAACUAUAGCCGUUGCCACCUUAUGAGAGCCCCUUCACUGAAAGGGAGGUAACCUUCGCAACACUCGCCAUUGGGCAACCUCCGGGCGGGUAUCGGCUUGUUCCAUUCUGAUGUUCUUUUUGUUAUCUAUGAUAUAUCGUGAUCAAAGCAUAAAAUCUCUACUAAUCCAAAAAUAGAAGAAAAAGGAAGACAAACGAGGAGCAUAUUCAAAACUGACAACCGGUAGCUAGCUUCUCUUAUAGCUCUUCCUUUAGCAGCCAGACAGAUGUUACCUUCAGAGUGCGUUAGUUCAGAUAAGGCAAGGUUAGCGCUGCUGUUGGUUGGGGUGCAAACUCGUAGCUUACGUUGGUUGUCUAAAUCCGCCUCUUCUUCUUCUGUCUUUCGCAACGCCCCUUCCUCUUGUUCUCUGGAUGCUUUCCCCGACGCUAUAGGGGUCUUUCUUUGCUACUCGCUUUCGAAGGAUCUUCCUUAACAUUUCUCAUUCUGGCCAUAGACUUAUUCUUUGGGGCUGGGUUAUUGUUUCAUCCCUUGUAGGUAGUCGGAUAGUAGUAGCUUAUCUCAAUGGAUAGUCCAGCGUCUUAUCUAGACCGCAGGCAGCCUUAGCUAGAUCCACUGUAACAUUGGGUGCAAGUCCUGCCUUGAACGAAGAGGAACAGAGACUCCUUUGGAUGGGGGACGUUCGGAUCUUGGCCUUUCCUAUCUGCUAACAACCUCCUUUCUAGGUUUGAAACCACUCGUUGUGCGGCUCUAGGCAUCCUGAGCUGACAGCACUUCGAAAGGCCUCGCUUAAUUAAUGGGCUUCUCAUCGUACUUACUUCUUUGUUAUGUUAAGGUGAUUGUUAUUUGUUGGAUGGGUAUGGCUUAUUCUUAGAGGAUAACUUAAUGCAUUUGUCAUGAGUAGCACGCGCCCGCCCUAUACUAAGAUUAGGUACGCAAGACAGACAUCGUCAGCCUAGCCCUGAUGCAUUGGUUUUCUCAAGCUGUCUCAUUCAUUCCAUUUAUUCAGCUGCUUUUAUCUCAUUCGUGGCUUGGUUUUUGUGGACAGGAAGGGAAAGUGCCAGCUGACAUCCGGAGCUCUACAACUACCUGUGUUGCCUUUUCAGUAUGGUUCUGGAUACUAGCAUUCUGUUGAGCGAGAUUGUGAUUGUCUUCCCUAAAGUCACUCCCCUUAGAGUCGAAUGGUCUCGAAAUAGGCUUCAAGAAUAAGCUCCAUUUAGUAGGUAUAUUAUCCAUGGAUAGAUCUUACUGGUAAGCUCAGUCAUUGGCUUUCACUGGGCGUUUGUUAUAUGCCAACGGAUGUCGCCAACAACCCGGGCUUUGCCCACUUUCGUAAGGCUUAUUACCUUUGUUACUUUCAUCGGUACAUAUAAUAAAUAGAAUAUAGUCUCUUUGGGCUAUGCAUUCUGUAGGGUAUUGGCGUUGUGGUACACUAGUCCUGUCGUACGCCUAAUUCGUUUAGUGGGGAGACCUAUAGAGUAAGGUAAGGCGCGGUCAGCCAGCUCUUCCGGUUGCAAAGCCUGUAGAGUGUCCCUGAACGGAAGGAAGGAAAGAGACAGAGAACUCUAUCCUAGCUACCUGGGUACGGGGUGGAGUAAGACUAUUCUCAUAAUAAGCCCGGCCAAGCUACUGAAACUAUGACUGCUGAUUCUGUUGAUGACUUUGGCACUGAUCUAGCUCCUUCUUCUUUACCUACUCUGGAUAUAUCUUAUGCUUCUUCUUGAUACAAUAACAGUACUAGCACAGCAUCUGAUCUCGUCGACAAGGAGGCGGGACAAUCUGUAUACCUUGAAUAUGGUGCUCAACUCGAGAAAAGGUGCAUUAAGGUAAAGGAAGCAGCCAACCCGGAUUUCACUGUCAACUCUCAACUCCUUACACGCAGAAUGGAAUUGGACUUUUGAACUAGGAAUGUGAUCAAGCAGCUCAUUGACGAUUAGCACAACGUCUUGCCCGAACUACACUACUUUGAACUAGAGCGAGACAAGAAGAAUAGGCCGAAUCACUACAAGCUAGGGAAAGCCUUAUUUGGAUUAUUAUUCGAAAGCGGAAGCGCCAUUAUCGGUAAAGCAAGCUGUAAACCUUUAUUUCUCUAAGUAAGACCUCUGCACGCGGGCUGUAAACCAUGAACCCUUACUUGACUUUAGCCCGAGAUACUUUGAUUCUUCUGUAGCUUAGAUCCUGUUUCUUAUCCUACUGCUCGAACUUUGUCUUUUGUUACUGCUGAUUCUGGAACCGCAGCUGCUUCAAAUCCAGAUCCUGCUCCACCAGAUUGAGAGGCGGGCUCAACUAAUACAACAUUUUCUCUGGAGAGUGCAUGUAUAUAAAAGAGUCAUAUUACCCACCUAUAUCUAUACUCAACGAACGAUACCACAUUCCUUCCCUUCUGCUAAAACAUCUUCUGCCCCUUCCUAUCUCCUUUACCGUAGAAGUAGCUUGUCCGUUGUUGGUUCAGAAAGCAAUGUAAGCAAUAAUAAGUAGAAGCUCUUUGUAAGUAAUGAGUUGGGGGAUGCCAGAAUUCCCAUCUUAAUGCAGCGGGCAAAUCGACAAGCGAAUAAGAAAGAAAGUCAAGGGCUUACAGUAGCUGAGUUCCAGAAGCCGAAUCUAAUGCUUACUUACAGAGCAGUAAAGUCUCCACUCCUGGCAAAAUACGGACUUGCUCAUAACUCUAGAACAGUUUCAUCUCCAGUUUCGUCAACAAGUAUAGUGGAAACUUACCUUCCCGCCCCGUACGCCACUGUUAUUUGACCUGUUCCGAGAGACUUUCCAGUGCGAGGAGUGUGUCUAGAUCGGACCCGCACAUGCAUGGUUGGUGAAGAGCACAGCACUCGGUUAGUUAGUUAGUUAAGUUACCUGCGGAAAUUAUACCUAGCGCAUGAUUCAUACCUAGCUCAGGCUUCUGUUUCUUACCUUGGAUCAAUAGUAAUAGGUGGAUCUGCUUUAACAGCUUGGAUCUGGAUCUGUAGAAUCUGUCUUUGUUGGCGACUCUCUAAUUUCAUUAUGACUUUCCUACUUGAGAGCACGAGCACUCCUUCCUUUAAGAAUAGAGUUUACUGGUAAAGAAAUAAAGUCAAGCAAGUAAGAAUCUAAGAAUGCUGUUUCAGAGUUCAAGUGUGUUUUCACCUCCUGGUAGUAAAGAUGAACUCCAGGUAUGCCUGCUUGGCUUGGCCCCUACGAAAAGAUGUCAUUUACAAGUCCUGUGCACCUGCAUUUGAUUCCCGAGUUCACCUGUUUUAGAGUUCAAGAAGAAUAAGAAGAUUGAUAUGAAGCAAUAGUAGGGCCUAGCAUCCACUAGGAAUCCUAUCUCCUAUAUAAAGAUAAGAUAAAGAAUUCAUUUAAUGUAAUUGCAGAAUGAAGAGCAACCAAGCAACAGUAGCAAGAAGUAGAGGAAUGAAACCAUCCAGUAAGAAUGAAAGUGAGCCAGAUAAUCCUCAUUUGGGUUUACUUGUAUAGAAGGGCGCCUCUUCGGUGCAGAAUAACUGGUUCGAGUGUUGAAUCGAGAUCGGAAGCGGUCUUUAGAAGGAUAAGAAGCCCUUAAUUAGGAUUCCGGGCCAAGCUUAGUAGUUAGUUGUGCUAAGGAGCCCCACUGUUCUUUAAGUAAUAGGACCAUAAUAAAUAACUUGCUAGCGCAUCUAGUAGAAGACUCAGAAAUGAACUCACUCGUCUUAUAGCUCGGCAGUUCUCUAGUCUAGGCGCCAUAAACUGACUAUAAGGGCCUCGCCACUGAUUUCAUUGGGUGCGAAGGAAGGCUAGACAGUUCCAUUUCUAUUUAUUUCUCAUAGCAAGCUUAGGCCAAUAGGCAAGCAACCACUAAGUAGUACUCUCAAUCUGGUGUUAAAGCCUUUCAUCCGAGUCUCCCAGAGAAGUAUCCGGGUGCAUAGUUGACUUUCCAAUUCAUUAAGGUCACUGCCGCGUAACCAGUAAUUAAGGGCACCGAAUACAAGUGAGAAGUUCGGUAGUUAUAUAUAAUUAAGAAAAGUGAGAAGUUUGGGAUCUAUAUCAAUAGCUACAGGGUGAGAGCAAAGGUAGUGAAAGAAUCACAAAGGCAAGAUACGGUCUUCAAACCAAUAAGUAAGGCCCCGGAUCAGUGUUUAGAGAAUAAGAGGCGAAUCGGAGACAGGAGAGAUCGUUUUCAAAUAAGUAUACGCUUGGUGGCAUACGAGAAUGGACUUACCCCCUAUUGGAUCGAACUACCAAUUCGGUAUAAGAGAAUUGCACCGAUGCUAACAAGGCUUUCACUUAUAAGGUAUUGCAUAUUUCCCCCAAGUAACCAGAAUCAACCCAAAACAGAUGAGACUUUCUCUAAGAAAUAAGGCUUUCACUCCUUCAGCGCCAACCCUCCCCGAGUUCUUUCUUUCUUUGCCAACCAAAACUAUAUCCUUUGAUUUCUUUGCCCAACAACCUAGUAUGCGCUCCCCCUCUCGCAAACCCAUAUAGUAGUGCUAGUGUUGUGUCUCUCAGUGUAUAAGAAUUGAAGACAGAAGUCAGAAUGAAACGAAAAAGUAGAAAACUACGAAUUCCGCUACAAAGUAAGUAUGCAUCGGUACCCUCUCUAGCUUUUCAUCUAAAGUCAGAAAAAAAGACCCACCAGCAAUAUAUCCUGGCUAUCGGCCUUACCUUCCUUUAUCUCUUUCUGGAGCUACUGAGUGAGUUGACUUAUUUAUUCUUCUUGCGUAUUCCGUUAACUUAGUUUAAUACAAUAAUUCAUUAACUUAUAUUAGCUAUUAGCAUGUGUUUUAUUGUUUUCAUAUGAUAUAUACAUGUGUUUUCUUGUUUUAGUGCAAGGAACCAGCAAUCGAUUCUUCAAGAUAUAAGCCAUGCGAAAGGCUGCAGAGCUUUACUCUUCCUUAAGAGUCUGAAGUGGGCUGGGUGUUUACUCAAUGUUAUAAGCGGGAAAGAAAGAAACCCAUAUUUCGUAAAGUUGAAGCUCUGUUAACGACUCUUAUGGUUACCUACACCGAGCGCUUAACUCCUUGUUCUCUGGUUGCGAUAUUCGAUUUGAAGUAAAGAUCCGGAUCUUGGAAAGUCAUCCGAUCCCCCUUUCCUUAUAAACUAAAGAAGAAAACCGGAACUACUAUAUCUUAUCUACGGAAGAGAGAAAACCAGCUUCCAAUUGAAUUCUAAUAGGAUUUCACAAGGGAUAUGGAAAGUAUAUACCUAGUGUUCGCCUCCUCUGGCUAAUUCUUCUGUUUCUUCCGAUCCGAUCCUUUACUUCUUGAUCCGAUCCUGUACUUCUUUACUUAUAGCUUAGCAACCUCUCCUCAAGCUACUACUACUGGGCUGGGCUCGCUGACCAAAGAAUGCAACUAUCAACUCUAAACUCAACUUUCCACUAAACCUCUAUCCUCUACCUAAGUCAACUAAUUCUUCUUUCUGAACUUUAAGUAGAGCUCGGGGCGGAGGAAGAGACAAGAAACUAUGCCAUGUUUUAUAGGCUUUCAAUGCAUUCUUUCUCAUCGCAACCCAAGAUGUUUUUCAUUGGAUUUCCCAUAAUACUAAAUAAGUGCUGUGAUAGUGCAUUUCUUCUUAAUCAAAUAGACCCUUCUUUGCCCUUUAAUCAUGUCAUACGCCUAAGAGAGCUUCUAAUUCAUUUAAAGCCUAGUUGAGCUCCCCCAAACAGGACUUAGUAAUGACUUGUAAUAUCUUAGUUUUGACUCAAUGAAAUAUUUUGGAUAGCUAUAUUCUCUUUUGAAAGCAACGGAACAAAUAAACAAUGCCGCAAGAAACCCAUGACCAUAAAACGACUUAUAACUGUGGUCCACAGAAUGGUGUCCACUUGGUUCUGUUGUACUUACAAUAGUUUUUGAGUUAGAGUUAGGUUACCACGGAGUGGGUCAGUUCUUAUUUGGAUUCUUACAUGAUUUAUAUGAUUACACUAGAGAACAGUUCCACUAUUCCGAGCCUACUUACUAUGUCAAAGAGCACUACUAGGCUAGAUCCACCUUCUUUCUAUACUGAACGACGCUUCCAUUGGAGAUGAACUACAGCACCGAUAACGCUUAUUGAACAAGCAAGCGCACCUUACCGGACUCUUUUCUUCAAAAAGCAGGGAGUUAGUUUAUUACCGGACUCUUUUCUGAAAGCAACAUAAAAUGCAGUUAGGUAUCAACGGCGCAAGUCCUGUUUACUGCGUUAGUGAGCUGGUUGAUGCUAGUUAGCGAGUUGAUCAAAGUGCUAUAGGAGUUCUACUGGGGUCUCAAGUUAGGUAGAAAGUCAAGUGGAGUAGCCUGUUGCUCAAGAAAAGAAGUCGAAAGUCGAAGAUAUUGUUAUUGCGCUUGAAGGAAAGUAGAAAGUAGCAAGUAACGUUGAAAGAAAGGAGUUGAGCUCGCCAAAGCCUAAGUGCCUUAGUGCAUUAGUCAAUUCAAGCUUUCACCGACGCUUAGUUCUUAAAGGAAAUAAUGCUCUUUAUUAGUUUUUCAUUACUUAUAUAUGGUGGGCGAUAUUCUCUUCUUAUAGCCAUGAUAGCGAAAUUCUUUUCAACAAGCAGUUUUGUGCGCGUUAGCCCACUUUCAGAGGAGCUCCGUUAGCGACUAUCGUUUGUUUGGAGUUAUCGACUAUAGAGCCUUUGUGAGCUUUGGAAGAAAGGAGGCAAUGCUGCUGUUUGUUUAGAUUAGAGUGACAGUGCCUCUUUCUAGUGUUGGAUGAUGAAGCUUACUAGAAAUAUGAUUGGAUUUAAGCAACAGGUAGAUCGCCCUUUAAGCAACAGGUAGAUAAAAAGCUCUUGUGCGUGCGGAAACGAGUUGAGUUUCGAAAGCUCUUGUCUUGCGCACCGGGCGUUGAACCGCUCGUGAGCAACAGUAGGACUCGACUGACUUGCGUCUAGGAAAGGAUGGAGGGUUGGUGCUCUAGCUCUAGGUCGGGCAUAUUUAUGAAGUGAGUAUUUACAUGCUUUCUUUGCAAGGAGAGGAUAGAGGUUCAGAGUAUAGAUCAUCUCUUUCUGAAUGAAUACCCACCGGAGCGAGCGCUUAAGGCGUCAGUGAGCUCCCCUACUUACUUAAUGCGGAUAACUGAUCUAAACCCAGUAGAGUAAGUGGGAAAGAAUACAGUAGAUGUUGGGGUCGGAUGCUGUUGACUAUGUUGUGGAUAAUUUCCUGUUUUGGUUAGUUAUCCUAAUCUAUUAGAAAAACCCUUCUGGCAAAUGAUUAUGUUUCUUACCUUGCAACUGCUCCACCAGCUUCCUUUCUAACUGCUGCAUCUGUUGACACGAUUGUUGAAUGAGAUUGAUUGAACUAAUUGAACUGACGGACGGAAGCUUCCAUAUUGAAGGUGCUGAAAGCCUAAACCUAAUUAAUUGGAUACUUACCUUCCCUUCCUGCCUAACCUGCUCCAACUCAAUAUACAUCAUUGCAAACUAGAAUAUUUCCUGGACCCCUGAUAUACCCGCUUAGACCCGAAUUGAAGACCUACAUUGAGGACCGCCCAAUGCUUCUAAUGCUUCGUACAGUUGGGCCAGUGAGAAGGUAAACUCGCUUAAAAGAGAUGGGUAGCUGCCCUGAGCGAGUCCAGUUGUAACCGGAGCGAGUCCUGGUCCUGUGUGACUUGAAUCUUUCUUUUCUUUGUUGGUUGGACACUCGUGCUUGUGUUAUCUUUGACUUAUAAUCAAAAAGAGAAAGAGCAAUUAGUCAGAAGCAUCCGAUAAAUACAGAUCCAUCCUCUAUUGUUGUUGGGCAAAACAAGAAUCUAGUUUAGGUGCACAUAAGCUUACUUCUUGGGGCAAUACUAAAAUGGAGUUCGGGAUGCGCUUACGGGAGCUCGAUAAGAAAUGAAUUCCUAGUUUACUUAAGACAGGACAGGCCAGUACCAACAAGUUAUUAUACGUAUAGGGUGCGCCUACAGUUACUGCCAUAAGUAUGACUCUCCUCAGGUUUCAGAUCUUUAUUACUCUAAGGUCUAUCUUUAUGUCCCAUCUCAAUAAGCCGUCCGCAAGUGAAAGAAAGUCAGGAGCCCCAUUAAGUAUAUAGUCAAAGUCCCAACCUAAUACGCUUAAACAAGAUACUUACCUCCCUCACACUGCAUUUGCUCUUGUCGACUUUCCGAGCACCGCUUCUGAGCCUGUCACUUCUGAAACCAAUUCUUAAAGAGGAGACGAUACACCUGAACAAUACUUUUCUCUGGAACAAGGCUUUGCACAGAUCAAUCCUCUGACUCAAGUUACCCACUUUCCUCUGGCUGAGGGUGUUGACUCUAAGUCAGGAUAGUUUGGAGCUGUACCCGGAGUCGGAGAUGGAGAAGUUAGAGAGCCGGAUACGAAGAUGGAUAAGCAGUAAGUAUAUGUAGAUACGGAGAUAUAGAUAAGGAGUCAGUCUCAAUAGUCUGAGAUGGAGAAUCCACUGUGCCUAACAACGUUGCUUGUAGUUUUGUUGGCUUAGUUGUUCGUCGGAUCAGGUUCAGGUGAGGGAUUGGCUUUCAAAGCAAUAAAACACGCUCGGAUUGAUUUCUUUCCUUCCAACUUUACACCACCGGAGAAAGCAUCUGAUCGAAUUGACUGAACAUCUUCUGCUCGAACGAAACUUCCCGGACACAGGGCUUAACCGAAGAGAUGGGCAAGGAAGGGAGUUCAAAAGGCAGAUAUGAAGUAUCCAAAAAUGCCGUAGAACAGCCUUUCGGGAGGCAAGAUAACGCGUAAGCCAUAAGAGUCGUGGAACAGAGGUUAUAAACUAUAAAUGGGGGGGGCGUUCAAGCAGGGCCCUUAUAGUAAGUUGAAGAAAAGAAUCUUAGAAUACUGGCGAUGGCUUUGAAACGCUAAGUCAAUCAGUACAUUAAUAUACCCCUUAGUUUGUUUUAGAAGUGUGUGUGUUGCUAUUUGCAUUUCAUCCAUAGAGAUAGGUGUGAGUGUUGAAUCAGGCAAGCUCCACUCGUACUCAACCACUUCUUCUUAUUGCCCAGCGUGCAACGGAACCAUAAAGAUUAGAGUCGUUAGCGAGCCGGGAACCACUUAACCUCUUCCUGGUUCUAUAUAGGAUAUAGGAUGAAAGUGAAACCUCGUAGACUCACACAAGAACAGAAACAGAGCAAACUGGCAAUGUAGUGGGCUUCUCUACGAUGACACUCUACUUGAAGAACCGCUCCGUGGUCAAUCAAUAGUACUUACCUUGGUCAAUCAAUAGUAUAAGAAUACCCUGGUCAAUCAGAAUACCUUGGUCAAUCAAUAGUACCUGAAUAGCCAGCCUGGUCAAUCAAUAGUACCUAAAUCCGAACCCGCUGCUUCUGCAGACACUGCACUAGCCCCGAUAACUCCAAUAAGGCGUUAGCACCAUGAAACAAACAAGCGUUGCGCGUUAGAAAUAGUAUGUUUACGCGUCGGGAGUUCAUUGAAGCUGCUGUUUGCUUCUUUCGCUCGCGUUAGGGAACUUGAAAAGACAUGUUUGCUCUAACUCAACUCUACUGAAGUACAGAAGCCAUAGCUUGUUGUGAUGUUUACUUUGAAAGCCGUUGCUUGCUGAAUGGAGUUAGGAACCCUUAACCCAUGAGGACAGAGGCAUAGUUUCGAGAAGAAAGAGGGAUGUUGUAAGGUGUACCCACUUAUUAGAGUAUAGCAGAGAGUAUAGAGGAGUUAGAGUAUAUCGAUAGUAUAGAGGAGAGUUCACCUAUUUAUUAGAGUAUAGAGGAGAGUUCACCUAUUAUGUGAGAAAGUCACCUUACUGUGAAACUUACUUAACUGACAUCUAGUAUAGCCUUCAAACAACUAAGCUUCGCGCUCUUUGCCAUAGACCAGAGAGAUUGGCUAGUGUUGAGGCCAUAUAGGCUAAAAAGAAAGAGGUAGGUUUGCCCUAGUGGAAAAGAAAGAGGUAGGUUUGUCCUAGUCGAUUCGUAACUUCCUACCGGGGCCUAGUGCUUGCUAAAGGAGUAUUCAAUGCGCCCUCCUUGCUAAACUCAAAUCAAAAGGAAUGCUUACCGCCCUGCCUUGCUAAAGGAAUGCUUACCGUCCUGCUUGCUAAAGGAAUGCUUACCGUCCUGGGAGUAGAGACGGAGCGGGAAAACAGUCUCUAUUGAGUGCGCCUUAUACUUAGCAUUGUCUAUUUAUGGGCUUUCCUGUAUACGAGUUUCGUUCUUGUGCUUACGCUUACUUCUACUUUUGCCUUAGCCUUGUGCUUACGCUUACUUCUUGGGUGCAUUAGGAGUUUUCUGACUUUAUUCCAUUAUUGGGUGCAUUAGGAGUUUUCUGACUUUAUUCCAUUAUGGGUGUGCUAAGAGCAUUCCAUUAUUGGUGUGGAUAGAGCUCAAUUCUUUUCUGAUUGCCAACGCGCUAACGCAACACUCAAACCUGUGCAAGAGCAGCAAAGCAAACAAACAACGGAAAAAGCUUUGUAUAAUGGAGCGUUAGUAUUAGAAGCGCUUACGUGAGUUCUGACUCAGGCCUCCUCUCUUUAUCCUUUACCUGAAACGUAUUAUGCUCUGGUAGCUUCAACGACUACUGUACUUGAUUAAUUCCCAGAAACAUCAUUUCCUAGCACAGCUUCUACUCUGGCUUCUGAAACUCUAACUUGACUUUCGAACUGCAUCUUUAGACUGGACUUCAGCAGUUUCCAAUGAUCUUCUUAAUUCCAUUGACAUAGGAUUCUCAUCGCGAACACUGUAAACAACACUCGCUCGCCCUCUUGCUGCUGCCCUUGAUACCCUGACUUAUUCUUAUGAAACUGCUUUGUUACCGUUCCGCUGACUUGAUACUGAAUUAGGCAACCAUGUAGCUGACUUUCUACCCGUUGCACUAUCACUUAUUGACCCAUGGAGCAGUAGUACUAGAGUGAGUGGAGAACAAGCUUAGAAAUCUACAUGUGGUAGAGUUAAGUUCGGAACAAGCCUAUAGCGAGAGCUUGAUGUUUAGGCGCUUAAGGCAAUAAGUACGUUAGUAUAGCCUACUACACGGGAUCGGGUAAGAGUAAACCACCCCUCACAGGAAGAGAACUCCACUUCUGUUCAAGCGUAAGUCAGUAGUAGAGGAAGAAGAAAGUACUGGUUUAGUGGAAGCUUUAUUUGAUGGCAGCUAGAUUAGAUGGCUCUUUUGCCGUAGCCGGGUUAAGUCAAGAUUGAUUGAAGGGCUAUGAUGGAAUUGAUUGAAGUAAUCGUUUUGCCAGUCAAUUCGUCUUCGGUACGGACAAUGCCGGAUGGAUGAACUUUCAAGGUCUCAACGAGACAAGCACUAAAUGGAAUUGAUAGAGGUGCGUUGCAAGAGCAAGGUCUCCCAUUCAUUCCAGUUGAUUGAUGUACUCGCCGUGUUUUGAUCGAUGGUUCACGGCCCGGGCGAACAAAACACAGAAUGACAGGGGGCGGCCCGCGGUCGAGAGCGAAAGCCCUCUCAAACCUUAUUCAUUUGUUUAGGGCUAGUUGGUGUCCUUCUUCCGGUCUUUGAGGCUUUCAGCACCUUUCUUUCUUUCCUUCUUUACCUAUUUAUGACUCUGAUCCUCCACCCGCCAAACGAUGGGAAACUGAAACAUGAGCUUCAAUCCUUCGCGGGCGAUAUAAGAUAUUAUCUUUUUGGUAUUAGAGUGGAGUGGGAGUUCCAGGUAAUGGAAUGGAGAGUCUAGUAGUUUCUGGCUGGACAAAUGGACUCUUCACGAGCCUUUAGUAUCGCGGGAGGAUGAAAUGCCCCUGAAGAGGAGAAGCAAUGAGCAAUGGAUUGUUAGAUCUUUUUUGACACCUAUGGGAGGCUGGAACUUGUCUCUUAUUCAGGGCAAACUUGAACAGUCUUUAUGCUACGUCCCUGAAAGGGCAAACUGUAUCGCAUCCAAUUUCUUUUCCUUAAACUCAUUAGUGGGCAGGAGCGACUUGCAAUUUCUCUGUUAAGUCAGAGCUUCUUUGAAAUAUGAUUUUCAACAGCAAUUGGAUGUGCCUUUCCGUUCUACCAAGAUGGAAGGACUUAUUGUGGUUGUUGUGUUGUAACCGGCUGCUUACCAAUAAUAAGAAGGGGCCAUUUGUUUCAUAUCAGAUUUGUACUUUUUCCCGAUGGUUUCAAUAGAUUGUUCAACACUGGAGCAUGUAUUCCAGCAGUGUCCUCGAGCUCAUCAGGUUUGGUUUGAUUUGUAUUCCAAGGAAAGGUGAGUUGGGCCCUAGCUCGUUCAUGGAUUGGAUUCGUUGAGGUGCCCUUAGAAGUUUGUGUUCAUAUCGGCAUUGUGGCACAUUUGGAAGUGUCGUCACUUUGUGUUUCAACCUAAGAAUGCAGUUCCCUAUGACACAUCUGCCAUGACACAUCCGCCAAGAAAGUGAAAUCCACCAAUAGGUAUCACUUCAAUGGAAAUCCUCCGUUGAGAAUCCUUCUAACCUAUCCGAUAUGUACGGUGGUUACUUAAGCAAGCCCACUGUAGAUAUCUACUCUCGCUACCGGCUCUUCACUUCCCAUAAUUCGAAUCAUUUUGGAUAUCAAGUUAGGACCCGAGAGAAUCAUUCAUGUAAUUAAUUCACUCCAUUUGCAGCCGUUUGAGAUCAACAUAUCUCUGUUGUCCAAUAGCUCUUAAUGUUGCUAACGCGUCACAUUAUACGUUACUUGUUGCGCAACUAACUACUAAGCUUGGUGGACUCGGAGGCGAGACCUGAUAAUGACUUAGCUCCUGGUGCUUCUCGUCCUUUAAUGAGUGCUUUUCAUAUUGAAUCUUAUCAUAAUCCAGAAAUCCACUAGUGUAAACAAGGGCAGCGAACGAUGGCUGCCUCUCGUACUCUAGCUUACAAUAGGGAAUCAAACCACUGCUACACUACAAAGCAUGAAAAGGGUAAGCCAAAGAGUGGGUACCAUAUCGGAGGGAAUCCAGUACUGAUUGGACUUUCACCCAGGGACGAUCUAGCACAUAUAGGUAUAAUCCAAAGUAGUAGAGCAUAGAAUCAAACGACAGACUGAAAGGACCAAUUCUGAGACUUGUGACUAUGGGUGUAAGGCUCCAGGUCGGUAGUAACAGAGUUCAAGGGCUGCUUUGUUAGUCUAGGAAAGGAAGCCUUUGUUUCGUGUUCAAGUCCUGUUGUCGGUGUUGUAUUCUGCUACUGAUGAGUCGAAGCCAGUUUUGUUUUUGUUGGGUUAUGAGAAGCACUAGCUCCAUUCUUGGAUUUUGGGUUUGUUUGUUUGAUUCUCUUACUCAGGUCUUUAUUAUAUUAGUAGAUGCUAUAGGGCGUCCCCAGAGUAACAUAACGAGAAGCUGCAGUGUAAGGAUGUUAGGCAGUGUUCGAUCCUAGUAUAAAUAUGAUAAGUCGUGGUUUCACUCUAAUAGAGGAGGGCGGCCAGCAGCUCUAUUCUUGUCAGCGGUGGAUCUCUUCUUUAUUCUAUAAUAAGCCCCAAAGUAUUGAGUUUAGGUAGCGGUGUCAGUUUGCAACAGUAUAAUGGACUGUGAGGAAGUAGUGGUAGAGUUCAAGAGACAAUGAGAAGGCUCUCACUCUAAGAUGGGUAGGUGCAAGUCAGGAGUAUAAGAGUCAAGCAGUAAAACAAGGCUCUAGGUCAAUAAGGGAAGGCUUAGCGUCUGGGGGAGCUCACAUAGGAUGCGGGUUUCUAGUUCUACUCUUGUUGGCAUUAGUAUCAGUGGAUUUCUGUAAUAAGAUAAAGUAAUCAAAGUAAGCCUAAAAGGCCGUAAAGCAAGAGUCAAAUAAAAGAAAGAGAAUCAAGUCUUAUAGGUUCAAUAAGGAUUUGAUCCAAGGGGAGGUAGGCCCAGCUCUGCAAACUAAAGAGCGAAAGGCGUUAGUGACAGACUGACUUGUUGUGUCAGGAAGGGCAGGUUCACAAUCGAUCCUAGUAGUUGUGGUUACCAGAGCAAGGGCUGCUUUUAUGCCAGUAGCUAAAGAGUCAAGUAAGGCUUAGGGGCGGUAUUGUCCGUAGUGUUUUCUUGUCUUGAUGUUAUAGAUUGGUUCUUAGAGGGCUCCCUACUGACUCUUGUGCUGCUGAGUGUUAUUCCCUAUUUAUUACUUUAGGGUGGAAUUACUUGUUUCUUUCUUCUGUCUUAGAUGCACUGGCAAUUAUGUAUUAGGGCACAGUUCUCUAUUCUUAUUCUUUUAAUUCAUGGUUAACCCUUUCAUUCUCUCUAGUAUUUGUUCGAGCCUUACAAGCAGUAGUCAGAUUCUUUUCACUAAGAAGCAAGGGCAGCUUUAGCAGCGAGCAGUACUACGAAUGAAGGUGGGCAGACUGAUCGACAUGGUAUUGAGAACGGAAGCAAGGGUAGUAUCGGAAUACUUUUCAAGGGUUUAAUAAAUAAACAGAAAAGAUAGACUUUAAUAAAGGAAAGUAAGGCUAAAGCUAGACAGAAGGAGAGGUGCAGAGAGCCUAAAGAUCAAAUCCAAGAUGGAAGGGGCAAGUACAGGCCCUAGAGUGGAGCUAAAGAGUUCAAGGCAGAGGAGCCUAUGAAUCAAAGAAGGGAAAGUCAGGCUAACAGGCAUGUGUCUAAGAGUGAAAGACAGUAGUGGCAGACCUAGGCUCAACCUACAAGGUAAUAAGGCAGGCUUUAAGCACCUGUAUUCUUUAAUUCCGAGUUUCUUUUUGAAGGCUUUCAGCACCUUACUUUGAAACUAAAACUCUUUGCUUUGAGCUUUGCUUACUUGCGAACUAACUUAUACUAUUAUUACAGUUCCUAAUCAUAAUGUCACUUAUUACAGUUCCUAAUCGUAAUGUCACUGGGUCUACCAAGACUUAAUGCUAUGCUGGAAAGAAUGGAACUAAGGCAUAUACCCUUAAACUCACUUCAAAGACCGUGCCCUAGAAGAAAGAAUUGAAACCGUCCCCCAGCAACAAGGGAUGCCACACUGCCCUAACGACUCCAACUGCUGAAGAAGAGCGACAUUAAAGCAAGAAUAUUAGACCAAGAGAGACAUUACAGCCAGGAUAUGAGAUCAGUAAGAGUGAAAUAAGAUUUUCUAUUAGUAUUUAAAUAGUAAGGUGCUGAAAGCCUAGUGGUUACUUGUCUAGUUACUUGCCUCUGACAGUUUCGUUUGGGUUUCGUUCUCUAUAGCUCGAUUCCAUAGUUCCUGUUUAGGUAGAUGCCCUCACUCAAAGUUCAUUCCUGUAGUCUCCGAUCUCCUCUUUCAUCCCGUAUACUGCCCCGAACUCCUAUGCUUAUAAAGUUAGUUCCGAUACUGACUACUCGAAGCUUGCGCCCCAGGGAAUAGGCUUCUACCAAUAUAACGGAAGUUCAAUUUGGUUUAUGCUUCUCCCUUGUCUAGCCCCAUCCUUUGACUUACUCAGUGGAGGUCUGUUACUUACGAGCGCAACUCUCACUAUUUACCACUAGGAACCUAAGAGCUCCUCCGCUCUAAUACUAUCUAGUACUAAUCGUUUUGCGCAUGAGACUAAUAGGAAUGGUCAGAAGGAGCCUAGAUCUAGUUAAACUAACCUAACCAGGGGGGAGAAUAUAGUUGACUUUAUGGCCACUCGGCAUUUAAAUAAGAAUGUAGGCGGUAUCUUCUCUGUAAGUAAUAAUAUAGUAGGCACAAUGUACUGCAGACUAAAAGCUAAUGCGCUCUGGUGGUAACGUAACCACAAGGGAACCGCUCCGUAGAGUAGGAAGUAAAGGAAUCGUAGACAGAUAAGAUAAGGAAGGGCAUAUAUAAAUUGAAAGAUCAUUAGCGAAGAAGGGGAGUCGAGUUUGGAAGUAAGGAACAGAACAGAGGAACAAGCGGAUAAGCAGAUAGUUAGUGAAUGAAAAGCUUAAUUAUAGCAUAUAUAUAUAUAUAUCAAAAGGUGGUUUCAUAACAGUAGUGUUAAAGGGAUAAUAACCUAUAUGCUAACUAAGAAAGUAGUGUCACCCAUUCUUCAACCACUGUCACUAAGACUUAAGCCAGUGCCGAGUAGGCUGAUGCGGUGUCUGCUAAGACUGAUGUGGCCCACUGCUGUAUGGGACUGCUGCUAUGGAGUUAGAGAAUGUAGCUAGUCAAUUGAAGUAAGUGAAACACAAGCCUACCCGCCAAGUCUAGUUUUCAUUGCUUAUGAGUUUCAUUCCAUUUAUACUGUCUUAUCAUUGCCACCAGCUCCGGUCCUUUCUUUGGCUGGCAGCCGCGUCAGUGAGUUACACUAGUUUCAUGAUUUGUUUACAGUGUCAGGUCAGUUGCUUGGCGGUAGCGAGUUCAACCGAUCCAUGCUUUUGACUCUGAAUUGGUGCACCCAACUACCUUACUUGCUAAUGGAUAAGGUAGUCAGAAUGCCAGGUAAUUAUCCACUCCCCGCUUCCAAGUAAGUACUUUCUUCUUCGUGAUAAGCCACCCUUUCUUUCUUUUUCUUUUCUUUCUCAGGUCUUUCAUGGUACCAGAGCUGUGACGUCAACUUCGCACACACUUUCUUUUGUCAAAAUAUCUAAUGAAAUCAAAUUGGAUUACUUAUAAGUUCGUUUUCGUAUCAUAUAGGUGAACAAGUAAGGAAUAGAAGUGGUUCGUGUUUUCUGUGUGUUCAAUCGAUGUUCCUAUGGGUGUGAAGUCUACCUUUAUCUUCCAAAGCUUUUUCUGUGUGUUCAAUCGAUAUUCCUAUGGGUGUGAAGUAGGCAAAUAACUUGUGAUGCGGCAGGAGCGGUGG
rnacentral:lncRNA from 1 species